rnacentral:lncRNA from 1 species
ACAAUCCAAGUUGAGCAUUUUAAUCAUAAAAUCAUAAGUAUUUCUCUUUAUCUAAAUAAUUACCUUUAAUUCCAAAUCGACAAGAGUUGACAUCCUCACUAAAGAUUCACUCAAAUCACUCAAAGUUUUUAAGGUUCAACAAUUAAGUACUCAAUAGUCAAACAUGAAAAGUUAUUACUAUAGGCUUGCAUGAAAAUCAAAUCUUCACCACUAUAAAUGAGAUGAUACACAAAUCAAAAGGUCUUUAGCAGAGUUGUAAUGGGGCUUAGGUUAAAGGUGUGAAUAAAGGCUGAAAAAGAGGGUUAGAAUCGAGAUCAAUUUAAUAGAUUACCAAACUUAGAAAAAUAAAACUAAUUACUGAAAUACAAACAAGUGCCAAAAUUGAAACUAUCCAAAACUAAUGAAGUGAACUUUUUCUCAAAAUAGUAACUUUAACUUAUCCAAGCUUGUUAUGAAAGAAUAACAAUAUGUAAUUACAUGAAUAUAUAAAUAUAUAUAUUUUUAAGAAUAAGAACAGAAAGUAUAUAAUAAGAAAUAAUUUAGCAACUGAAAUGAAUGAACAUAGUUAGGUAACUAAUCAAAUCAAAUCUCGAUAAAAAGGGAGUCAAUAAAUAGGGAGAAAUUCUUAACGAAUCAAAAAAGGUUAAGUUGUGGGUUAUCAUUAAAGGGAAAUCAAGAAAUGAUGUUCAAGGCUCAAAAGGGUUCACUAAAGGUUAAUUAUGUGGGUAGGCUUUUUAUGGAGUAAGUGGGUUAAAACCUAAGUGCCUUCAUCAUCUUAGUAUAUCAAAUCAAAGGUGUGGUCUCGAUAUGUAUAAUCAAUGCAAGUUCUAGAAUAACAAAUCAGUAUUGACCCACUCAUAACCAUCAAUAAAAGUGUGCAAGAAAGAUAUAUGCUCUAAAAGGCUCAAAAUCUCACAAAAAUUAUGGGUUUUUGAUGUCAAUCCUGUAAAUUUAGAACUUCAAGAUAAUACCUCAUUUCAGGGAAACAACCUAACAAUUUUAAUUCUUAAAAAUUCAACUUAUCAUGCUUAAUUCUCAAUUGUCCUAAAGUUUAAAUAAUCAAUGCACAAUUACCUAUGUUUUAAUCCAAAACAUAUCAAUAAAAAUUAUAAAUCAAUUAAAAUUCAUUCUAAUAAUAAUAUGAGAAAAUUAUUUGAGAACAACUUAUAAUUUAGGGUUUUUUUAUAAUCAUAUAAAUAACCUCCUCACACUUAAGAUGUACAUUAUCCUCAAUGUACAAAGAUAGAUAAUAACAAUAUAAGCAUAAUAGCAUAAAUGAGGGGGAGAAGCGAAACUACCCUGAAUUUGGAUGUAAUCCAUGGAAUAACGAAAGCGUAUUUAUAGACAUUGGAAAUGAAGUGCAUGCAUAAUUAGGUAGAGUGAAGGUGGGGCAGGAUACUCUAGUGGUGGUAGAGGUUGGGUUCCACAAUUACAGCGCCAAGCGAAGAGGUUAUCGUGGUGGUCGGUGUCGUGGUGGCUAUGGUUGUGGUCGAGCAGAACAUGGCAAUCAUAGAUUAUCUUUCCCCAGAGGGUUGUUUGUAUAUUCCUGAGUAGCACCAAUCGACUGAACCUUUUGAAACUGCGAUAUCACUAGUAAUGUUGUAGGGAGUUAUAUCAAUAGGGUUGUUAUGGUUACUCAUAAAAGAAUAGCCAUAUAAUUAAGGGGUUCAAAAUAUACUAAUAAAAGUCUUUUAGAACAUGAAAAAUAAAAAUAAAAAUAAAAACAAAAGGAAAGGAAAGGAAAAACAAAGUGAAAAUAAAAGGACUCAAAAGUCCUCAUCGGCAGCUGGAUCAUGAGGUGGUGGUGCUGGAGGCGAAAUGUAAAAAUGCUAGCAAAUCUGCUGUAGAGUCGCCUCUAUACUGUCGAAUCGCUGAGCGGAGCUGUUGAACUGCUGAGUGCAAUAUUGCUCGAAUCGAGUCAGGUGGUCAGAAAUUUCUGUCAAUGAAGUAGCCGCAUGAACUGGUCUGUGACUCGACGGUGGCUGAGAAGGUGAGUUCUCAUGAAAGGAAGGGAUAUCGUCAGUAAUAUCCUCGGGGUCAUCCUGAUCGGUGGCUCGUGUUAAUCGGUAUUGAGGAGGAUCAAACCUACGACGACGCUCUAUCACCCUCAUGUGGAGCAUACUUGAGAUGCCCUGUUGGGACAUCUAACCGAUGAAUGUGAGUGAUGAGGAUUGCGCCAGUGUGUUCAGGAGCCCAAAGUGUCGAGCUAGACGAGUCACGUAAGGGCCGAUGCAGAUGACUCUUUUUCUGUGUCGUUUGGUCUGAUGGCGAAAGGCGAGGGUGAUGAAGUAUGCGAGAUCAAAAACAUGCCCUUACCUCAUACUCCAUAAGAAGUAUACGUUGUGAGUAUUAACGACGCCAGUACUCUCUCGUCGCCCUGUUAAAGUCUGGGCAAGUAGUGCAUGAACGUAUUGUAGGGCUGGGGGGAGAGCUAAUGCCUUCGAACAACUGGGAUCAUAGGCUCCUACUAUAGGUAAGAGACUGUCCCAACAGGAUGAGGGUGAAUAAUGAAUCUGACGGUGAAGACGGGGAAAAUUUUUAGCCUCCAUAAAUUCGUCAGUAUAAAGUCCCAAGGCCACUCCUAAUUCUAGGACACUCAAUUAACACACUAGACCGCCAAGACAGAAAUGGACUGUGCAUGGGUCGUUGAACUCUGACAUAACCGUCUGCAACUGAAAUGUCGAACAAAUUUCCAAAGUGAACUCCAAGUAUGUCGGCUCAAUAAUGUCGAAGAAACGGUCCCAAUAAGUAGUAGUGAGGAGGGCGCGAACUGAGUCAGCAAGAUGGACUGGUUCCAAUGCAACCUAGUUGAUGCACCGACCCACGCCAAGGGGUCUUGUACGAAGAAUCUGGAAAAGGUCCUUUUGAGGUCCUGGUGGGAACUGUAGAAAGGGAUGGCUUAUCUCAAUGGUCGCACUUGAGGAUGUCGCUCCUGGACCCUUCUGCUUUUUAGAAGCGGGGACUGGAACUUUGGUUUUUCCGCAUGAAUUUGCCAUAAUAAUCCUGUAGAAGGGAGUAAGGAAAUCAAUUUUGAAAAAUCGUCCAUAGGCAACAAAGUAGAUAUCUAGGUGUAACUCCAAAUCGGACUGAAUGGGAUGUGAAGGAAAUUAAAAUAGCUAGAAUCCAUGUAAUUAUUAAUGAAAAAAGGGAAGUAUGAAAAUAAUAGCCGAAUGAAAAAUACUAGUAAGAAUAAUAUGCAUAAUAAGAUUUAUAGGUAAAAUGUAGAAAACUAAUAUAUGAAACACGAUAUUUAAAAGACUUCAUGGGAAUGUCAAAAUAAAUCAUAUAUGAGUAAGUAUGAGAAUACUAGUGACUAAAAUUGUGCGAAUGAAGAAAUUAAUAUCAUCAAAGAAUGAAAACUAAAAGUUAAGAAAUAACAAUGAUCAGAAGCCAAAUAGUGGCAAAAAAUAAUAAGUAAAAAUAAACAAAUAAUAAUAGAAGAGAAGAAAAAGAAGAAUAAUAACUGUAAAAGAAAGUGAGAGAAAUAAUAAACAAGUUUAACCAAUGGCGAUAAGGGCUGUGGCUGGGUGGUGAUAGCCGAAUGGUUGAUACAACGAAAUAGGGAGUCAGUUGGUAGGGGUGUAUACGGGUGGUAUUGGAGAAGGAGUAUUGGCCGGAAGGGUUUUGGGAAAGGAAAAGAAAGGUAGAGGAAGGGGGAAAAGAAGGGUGGUUUUAGUGUGGUGGCUCAUCAGAAAAUGGUGGCCAGAGUAGGAGGUUGUUGACUGUGGCGGCUAGGGGACGUGAAUAGUAAAUGGGGUGAAAGGGUGAAUAGUGGGGUUUAAAUAAGAAGGAUUUAGGGUUUGGGUUGAAAAUGAGGGGGCCACGGUCGUGGCCCAUGCCAGUGUGCCUCACUCCUAGCCCGUGUUUUUCGUGAAAUUUAAGUCAGUAUUGCACACGACCUUUAGACACGCCCAUGGACACACGGCUGCAUCGCACGGUCGUGUGCUCUUUCAUUCGCUUCUCCCAUGUCUAUGGGAGUUCCAACACGCCCGGGUCUUAAUUUGUGCUCAUGGUCGAUGAUUUAAGUCAGUGUCACCCACGGCCCGUGGACACACCUGUGCGUCACGGUCGCAUCGCACGGUCGUGUGCUCUUUCGUUCGCUUCUCCCACGCCCGUGGAAGUUCCAACACGCCCGGGUCUUAAUUUGUAGUCAGGAUUGCCCACAACUUUUGGACACGGCCGUGGGAUCUACCCAUUUUCCAUUUUGACUUGUUGAAAAUUUCAAAGUGUGUACUCAGGUUCCCACAAGACUCAGGCACGCCCGUGUUUUAUGACCGUGUGGGUUAUACGGUCGCAUCGCACGGCCGUGCUAAUUUAACGCAUUCUGUGCCUCUGGCGAUUUUUGGGAAAUUGAAGUGCAGUUUCACCACGGUCUGAGACACACUCGUGUUUCAUGACCUUGUGGUUCGCAAGGCCGUAUCGUACUGCCGUGGCUAGUUAUCGCAGCCCGUGUAUCACUUUGACUUGAGAAAAUGUGUGUCCUAUUUUAACACAGCCAUGGGCAUGCCCGUGUGUCCGGCCGAGUGUGUCAAAAAUACAUGCAUUUAAACUAUAAAAAAUGAAAGAAAAAUAAACUUAUUUAAUGGGGUUAGCGCUCAGGUUGCCUCCCGAGGAGCGCUUAUUUAAAGUCUAAGCUCGACUUUACCUUGUGGGCAUAUUUAGGCAGGUUCACAGAGCCAUAGCUCCUCUCUAUUAUCUCUAAAAUCCUCACCGUUAUAAAGUUUAAGACGAUGUUCAUUUACCUUGAAAGUGUCGUGGGUUGGAUGACUUACCUCUACUGUGCCAUAUGGAAAAACGGUUUGGACUAUGAAUGGACUUGACCAUCGUGAUUUUAGCUUCCUAGGAAACAAUUUGAGCCUUGAGUUGUAUAGCAGGACAAGAUCUCCAACUUUAAAUUGCUUGUGUUGCUUUAAACGAGCAUCAUGGUGACGCUUCAUUGCUUUCUUGUAUAAUCGCAAAUUCUCAUAUGCAUUAGCUCGCCACUCAUUUAGCUCAUUCAACUGCAUCAACCUUUUAUCACUUGCAAGUUUGAGAUCAAAGUUUAGAAACUUUAUAGCCCAGAAUGCCUUGUGUUCUAGUUCAAACAGUAAAUGACAACUUUUCCCAUAAACAAGUCUUUAAGGAGAUGUUCCUAUGGGGGUCUUAAAAGCAGUUCUAUAGGCCCAUAAAGCAUCAUAUACUUUCAUUGCCCAAUCCUUCCUAUUUGACUCUACAGUCUUUUCUAAGAUACUUUUAAGCUUUUGGUUUGCUACUUCGACUUGUCCACUAGUUUGAGGAUGGUAAGGGGUAGUUGUUCUGUGGUAAACUCCAUAUUUCUUAAGGGUUUUAUCAAAUUAAGCAUUACAAAAAUGAGUACACCUAUCACUGAUAAUUGCUCUAGGUGUCCCAAAUCGAGAGAAGAGUUUCUUAAGGAACCUCACCACCACUCUAGCAUCAUUAAUAGGUAAAGCUUGGGCUUCCACCUAUUUGGAUAUAUAAUCAACGGCUACUAAGAUGUAUUUAUUCCCAAAUGAGCGAGGGAAUGAACCCAUAAAAUUAAUACCCUAUACAUCAAAUAUUUCACAUGAAAGCAUAUACGUUUGAGGCAUUUCAUCAUGUUUGGAGAUAUUACAUGUUCGUUGACAUUUAUCACAAGAAGUAACAUACCUGUUGGCGUCUUUGAAUAGUGUGGGCCAAUAAAAACUUGAUUCGAGCUUUUUAUGUGCAGUCCUAAUCCCACUGUAAUGUCCUCUAGUCGGUCCUGAAUGGAAAUGUUCCAAGAUUUUAAUUGCUUCUUACUUUGUAACGCAUCUUCUAAUAACUUGAUCUGUACAUAUACGGAAAAGAAAAGGAUCUUCCCAAAAGUAGUUUUUCACAUCAAUAAAAAAUCGCUUCUUUUGCUGAUGUGUCAACCCUUUUGGUGUAACGUUAGCAACUAAAUAAUUUGCAAUGUCUGCAAACCAAGGUACUCAGAGUCAGUUAUAACUAUAACCAGGAGUUGUUCUUUAGGAAACGAGUCAUUUAUCUCAUGUUCAUCAAGCUCCUUAAGAUGUGGAUUUUCUAAUCUGGACAGAUGAUCUGUUGCAAGAUUUUCUACUCCCUUCUUAUCUUGAAUUUAUAAAUCGAAUUCCUACAACAAUAAAAUCCAUCUUAUUAGUCAAGGCUUUGCAUCUGCUUUAGUAAGGAAGUAUCGAAGAGCUGAAUGGUUAGUGUAAACGACAACUUUAGAUAAAAUUAAAUAUGGUCUAAAUUUAUCGAAUGCAAAAACCAUAGCCAACAACUCUUUCUCAGUCAUCGUAUAAUUUUCUUGUGCAGCUGUCAAUAUCUUGCUAGCAUAAUAGAUCGAUUGAAAAUGCUUGUCUUUUCGCUGUCCAAGAACCGCACCUACUGCAAAAUCACUCGCAUCAUACAUUAGUUCAAAGGGUAAAUUCCAAUUAGGUGCCAAUACAAUCGGAGCAUUAAUUAAUUUGUCUUUCAAAGUAUAAAAUGCUUCUAAACAUUCCUUAUUAAAAUCGAAAGGCACAUCCUUUUCUAGUAAAUUCGUUAAAUGCUUAGCUAUUUUAGAAAAAUCAUUAAUAAAUCUUCUAUAAAAUCCAGCAUGUCCUAAAAAGCUUGGAAUAGCCUUAACUGAACUAGGGGGAGGUAAUUUCUCAAUAGUUUCAAUUUUCGCUUUGUCAACCUCAAUCCCUUUACUAGAAAUUCUGUGGCCUAACACAAUCCCUUCAUGAACCAUGAAAUGACAUUUUUCCCAGUUCAGUAUAAGGUUCGUUUCCUCACAUCUCAUUAUAACUUGUUUUAAAUUUUUAAAGCAAAGAUGAAAAUAGUUACUGAUACCGAGAAGUCAUCCAUAAAUACCUCCAUAAAGUCUUCUACGAGUUCAUCAAAAAUAGCCAAUAUGCAUUGCUGAAAAGUAGCAGGAGCAUUACAUAAUCCAGAAGGCAUUUGUCGAUAAGCAAACGUACUGUAUGGACAUGUAAAUGUUGUUUUCUCUUGAUCUUCAAGAGCUAUUGGGAUUUGGAAGUAACUAGAGAGUCCAUCUAGGAAGCAAUAAUACAUGUGCUCAGAUAAUCUUUUCAACAUCUGAUCAAUGAAUGGUAAGGGAAAAUGAUCUUUUCUCGUGGCAUCGUUCAACUUCCUAUAGUCAAUGCAAACUCUCCAUCCCAUGACUGUACGUGUUGGGAUUAAUUCAUUCUUCUCAUUAGCCACAACAAUCAUGCCUCCUUUCUUAGGGACAACAUGCACAAGACUCACCCAAGAAUUGUCAGAAAUAGGAUAAAUAACUCCAGUAUCUAGAAGUUUAAUUACCUCAGCUUUUACGACUUCUUUCAUGUUAGGAUUCAGUCGUUUUUGAGCUUGGACACAAAGUUUAUAUUCAUCUUCUAUUAAAAUUUUAUGUGUGCAAAAAGAAGGACUGAUCCCUCUUAUGUCAGAAAUCUUCCAAGCUAUAGCUCUUUUAUGCUCUUUCAAUACUUGAAGUAAUUCGUCCUUUUUGGUUGGCUGUAAAUCUGAAGCAAUAAUCACUGGUAAUGUGGAAUUAUUUCCAAGAAAUGCAUAUUCUAGGUGAUUUGGUAGUUGCUUCAAUUCCAAUUUAGGAGGUUCUUCAACAGAGGGUUUUAAUUUUAAUUCAUUGUUUACUUUAAUUCUUCUGUCUCAGUGAAGACUCAUUAGAAUUUAAUUCAGGUUUUGUCUUAUCUGACACAGAAUCAUUGUCAUUUACCUACUCUCCUUGUGUAAGACUGGAACGGUGGAAAUGUGCAAGUGUACACAAUCAUAACAAGUAAUAAAGUGACAAGUAAAUGUCGAGUUAUCGUACCCACAGGGACUGUAAAAAGCGAUAUUUAUGAAAUUAAUUAAAACACUUUGGUGAGGUAAAAAUGAUUUUGGUUUGAAAAGAGUGAUUUAUAAACUAAGAUUUUAAAACUAAGCAAACAAUUUAAAUAAAUUAAAAGAGUUCUAGUGCACGAUUUCAAUUAAGAUUUAAUCAAGAUGAUAUAAUUUUGUUGGAUUAAUUAUACCUUUUUAACUUAGAAAUAUUAAAUUCGUGCUUACGCUGUUAUGAAUAAAUUCACGGCAACCCAGUAAUUUGCUAACUUAUGAACAUAUUUACUAAUUAAAAAAAUUCCAUUUAUCUCUUGAACAUAUCCCUAUGCCAAUUCAACCGACUAAACAGAUUUAAUAAAGUAAACAUGCUAUUGCACAUACAUACUUAUUGAAUUAAAUGAUCUCUCGCAUAUUCCUAUGUCGAUUCAACCGAUUAAUUCAACUUAAUAAACAUGUAAAAGAUUAUGUGAAGUAACAAAGUAGCCAUACCUUGAAACAAUUUAAUCACAACAAUCUUGCAAGUUAUGCAAGGCAUAUGUAUCGCCAAAUACAAUGCUAAUUUAAUUUUUAGUUACCUUAGAAGAAUUAAACAUGCACUGAUUAAGUACUGAGUCCAUUAAUUGCAAUUUCAAUUCGUUUAAAAAAUUAAUUCUUUAGUUAUCUAAACAAUUACAAUGCCAGAUAACCUAAACAUGAUUUUACUUAAUCAAGCAUUUCACUGAGGCCUAUAACAGCAUAAACACUAUUUUAAUAAUUCAAGUAGGCAAAAUAUAAUCAACCCAACACGAAUUAAAUUCAAGCUAAAUUGAUUAAAAUAACCAUUUCAACAAUAAUAUUUUUCAUAGAUAUGUUCAUCAUAAAAACAAUAGAAAUUAAAAAGAAAGGGAACAGAAAGCAAAUCCAGUGUUUCUCUGCGGCUUGACUGUUGCUCCGUUCUUAGUCUCCGUUGUCUUCGCCGAGCAAGGCUUCUAUGAAUCCUUGAUCGCUGCCCAAGAUGGCUGAAGCACACCUCUUUCUCAAGAGAGGAAAUCAGCACAAGAGGAAGGGAAAAUGGGAUGGAGAAAUGGAGAGGAAACUUUGAGAGAAAUGAAGAGAGGAUGAAGAAUGUUGUGGAAUGAGGGAUGUUGAGGGAUGCUUUAAAAUGGGCAGCAUAGGGUGGCUUUUAUAGCUGAAGAGGGCUGCUAAAAAUAGCAAAUUCAGUAGCCAAGAGAGCCCUCCCAUGGCCGGCCACACACAUGGCAAGGUUGAAGCUUUCAACCUUGCUAAAAAUAGGCUGGGCCAAAUCUACAAAGCCUAAAAUAAAGGUGGGGUUUGAACGUAAUUUGGAGGUUUUUCAAGGGCCUUUUUGCAAGAAUAUUUUAUCAGCUAAUUUUCUGAUUUGGGUCAGCCAAUGGACGGUUCUGGUCAGCCCAAUUAGUGGCUGGUUCGGCUCACUUCAUUCGGUUCAACCAGUGCGGUUCACUAGGCCCUUUCUUUAUAAUUAAUUAAAAUUAAUUCAUUUAACCUAAAUUAAAUAGGAAAUAAAUUAAAAUUAAUUUAAUUAUGAAUUAAUACACAUUUUUGGACCGUCUUGGGCUGGAAAUUAAUUGGCCUCGAUACUUCAAAUUGCUCUCAGUUUUGUUCUUCUCGCAGUGUUCACAGGACCCUUUUUCUCCAAUUGUGUAAUUCUGUCAAAAUAACCAAAUUUAAUCAAAAUUAACUACAAAAUUAAUUAAAAUUCAUAAUUUUUAUAUUUUUAACAUAAGGUAAUUAUUUUAUAAUAUUUAAUUAUUUUUUUGACAAGAAUUUAACUAAAUUUGCAUGAAUUUAAGUAGAAUUGGGUAUGAAAAAGUAUAUAAAUUUUUGUGUUUCCACACCCCCAAGUUACUUCAUUGCUCGUCCCGAGUAAUGCGCAAAUUUUGAAAAGAAUCUCUCAGAAACACCUUUGAAAGAUUCUUUCAGAACAACAUUUUUUUCAAAAUUAUGAACUUAAAAUACUUAUGCUCAAAGACAAGAAAUCUGUUAGUUAUGCUACUUAAGUAUGCAUAUUGUUCAACUUAAAUUCAACCACUUAUUAUUAUAGCAAAAUUUAGACUAAAUCCUUUUGUAAUAAAGACAUGUUAAUCCUUACCAAUUUGAUUUUUAUUCCUUUAUUAGAGACUAAGCUGCAAUCAUUAAGCUUAACAUAUGUCUUCAUAUGUUGAUCGUAGCAAUUUCUCUCCACUAAUGUAGGUAGCAUGAGGACUUUGAAUCAAUAGGUCUUUAUCAGGGUUGUAAAGUGGCUAGGCUAGGGGUAAGUGAAAGAUGGAUAAAUUUUGGUUUUAAAAAAAACCCUAGACUCAGCAUCAAUUGAACCUUCGGAGUUUUUACCUUCGAUACACCAACUUGACUUUCAUACGCUCUUUUUCAAAUAUAUCUGCUUUUUUUUUUCAAUUAACACGAGCACUUAUUUUGUGUACUGCAAUUCUCGAGCAAUUGAUACUUCUUGUCAACUCCCUCAAACUUAUUUUCGAACAAUAUCUAGAAUAUUACCGAGUCUAGUGUUUGGGACAAUUUUAAGAUUAUUAAGCGAAAAGUAAUGGCUAAUUAUUAUAAGGGUCGGAAUAAAAUCAGGCCAUAUAGUCUCAAAGUUGGGUUUCAAUGGAUAAAAAUAUACCAUGGUGGGCUUGAAAAGCUCAAACGGUCCAAACAAUAGUUGCCUAAAUCAUUUCCAACGUUUCAUGCUCCCUAGGAUUGCACCUCAAGAAACUUACUAAGUCAAUUCUAAAGACUUAAACUUUCAUGCAUACCUAACUUUCCUAAAGAACUAAAAAUUUUAUGGUACGAAUUUACAUGCUUUUUUUAAAAACACAUUCAUGUCAUUAUUAAGCUAACAUAAUAAUUUAUUGAAAUAAUAGAUCUUUAUUCAUACUUAAAUUGAGCAUACUUAACAGAAUUCAAAUUUCUGAACAAAAUAUAUCCUAAUCAUAAUUAAAAGAAAAUUUUUAUCUUGAGUGGAAAUAAUUCAAUUUCUCGGUCCCCCCAACUUAAAAUGAACAAUGUCCUCAUUGUUUAAAGUGAAUAGAUACUAUACACCAGGUAGGAUUUUAGAAAAGAGGAGGUGAGUCAAUUUGACUGCUUAAGUACCAAGCUCUUUCUAAAUCCAAUCCUAGACAUGUAUAUAUCUAUUGCCACACUUUAAGUUUUGUGACUUGCUCACAUUUUAUUAGUGAUUUUCCUCUCUUAUUUUAUUAUGAAAAAAAUAGAAAUAAAUUCCCAAUUAAACUUAAUCCUAAAAUGACCUAAGAACAGAGAUAAAAUAAAGUCAAGAUCCUCCUUUUAUUUAUUUGCAGACCCUUCCGUAUUUGACUCAUCUUUUGCUCCAUCACUAUUGCCUUUGCAUGAAUCGCUUCGCUCCUUUUUCGAGAGUGGAGUCCAUGGCUCGAAUAUGAAAUCUGGAAAUUCAGGCACAAAAAUAAAUGGGUCAUUGUAUAUUUUCCUAAAAGCACUUCUCAUCGAGUCAUCCAUUAUUUUUGAGUAUCUCCAGUAGUCUUGUUGCUGCCACUGCAUAUGUUGCAUUAAGUCCAUCAGUUUUGAUAGCUCAUCUCGAAGGUCUGGGCUCAACGAUUUAGCUCGAAACAUUGAAGUUCCAGCAUCCGAUUCAUCUUUUGGCUCUACUGGGUCCACUUUAUCAAGGAUUUCAAAUGAUUGCAUCGUGGGAUCUUCUUCUUCAUCAAGUUCCUCAGGCUCUUCACUUUCUUCAACUCGUUGUUGUAAAACUGAGUCUUCGGCUACUCGGUAGAGGUCCCAAUCUGUACUUGUGCCUUGGGUGUACCCUGUUUUCUUGACAUUAGUAAGAAUUUCUGCUUUCAAGCGCAGAAUAAUUAUUGUAAAGGGGAAGUAAGCAGGGCCAGAACGUCUAGCAGCACAGUUUCGAAUUUCUUUCAGGAUGAUCUUUCCCACAUCAAUGGUCUUACCCGUUAAGAUUGAGUAUAGUAAGACCAUUCACUCCAAUGAAAUUGUUGUCCCAUGUGAGCUAGGCAGAAGGCUGAAACGGAUAAAAUAAAACCAUACAUUUGCAAUAGGUGUUAAGUAUUCCCUUCGACACGUGUGGGUUCCUUGUUUCAACACAGUCCAACUGGAACCUUCAACUGUAAGCUCCUCGAGAAUUUCUCGUAGAUUUUCAGGCUUGAUAUUGCUCAUCAAUGUGGAAUAUUCAUCGUUUUAGAGAUCUGGUAAUUCAAAGAAUUCAUUAAUAGCAUUUGAAUUUAUCGGUACCUUAAUUCCGUGAACUGGAACUUCUAUCAUCUCGCCUGAAGUUAAAUUUGCAUAAAACUCACGAACUAGUUCCUCAUCCACACUUGGUCUCUUUUCACAAAACAACUCCUAAUUUAGGGUUUCAACAACUUGACGAAUACGAGCCAUAAAGUCUCGGUAGUUGCUCUCCUUUAAAGUGAAGCCUUUUUCUGGAUGCAUCUGUUGGUUUUUUAAGAUACUUUCAUAUUUUACUUUGGCUUCUUCACAGUGGAAUUUGUUUUGUGCUUCAUCAAUUUGAGCGGAAGCACGAGUUUUUUUGCGAGGCAUGUUUAACCUGAUCAUAAAAUGAAAAAAUUAGUUUCUCAAUAAAUUUUAAUAAAAAUUAUUAGUAAUUCAAUGAUUUGAAAAAUUAAUUAAUUAAAAUUAAAAUUAAGAAAAACUAGGUCUUACCACUUUUUUUUGUAAAAAUAUAAAAAAUCUAGGAAUUAAUAAUAAUAAUGAAAAAAAAGAUGGGAAUUUAAAAGAAGGGUUGGAGGUUUGUGGCUUAGGAUGGAUAGGAAUGGAAUGCCGCGCAAGUAGCUAGGGCGUGCGAGCGUGUGGGAGCCGCGGUGCGCAGUAGGGCUGGUAGCAACACGGGCGUUCGGCACCAGGUGGGACUCGGGCGCGCGCAGGAUGGUGCGGAGGGUAGGUACUGCGCGCGGGGUUAAGGCCUGGUGCGAGUUGAGGCUGGGGCCGCUCGAGGCAACGCGCGUGUUGUGCGCAAGACGUGCGUGCGAUGGAGCUGGGCGUGUGCUGGCCGACUGCUUGGAGCUACUGCUGCUUGGGGUUUCGACACUUGGGUAUUUUGGUGCUUUAGGUUUUAAGUGUUAAGUGAAUGGGAAGAUGGGUAGUAUUUAUAGGGGGAGAAAUAGGAAUUAGAGUAGAAUUCUUAAAACAAAUUAAUUAAUAAAAAUUCUAAAUUCUAAUCCGAUAAAAAGAUAACAACAAUUAAUAAUUAGAUAUAUGCAUAUAUUAAACUAUUAAUUGCUAUUUAAUUUAUUAAAACAAAGAUAAAAUCCUAAUUUUAUGCUAAAUUGAUAAAGAUUAAUAUAUAAAUAGAUAUAAUUAUAUAUUAAAGAUUAUCAUCUUAUUAUCAAAACUUAUCAAACAAAAUCCAAAAAUUGAUAAUAAUUAAUAUAUAUUAUAAUGGGUAUAAUUAUUUAUUAAUAAUUAUCAUUUUUUUAACUAAAAUCAUUUAUUCUAGAAGCCCUUUAAAAAAUAUUUACAAAAAGAGGCAUUUAGAUUUUAUUAUUUAUGAAAAGAGCAAUCAAAUUUUAAAAAUAAUUCAAUUUAAGUCCCUAGACUUAAUGAAAAUUAAAAAUUGAGUUGCAAAUUAAAAAUUGGAUCAAGUUGACCCUUUUAUUUGAAAAACAAAAAUUUAUUUUAUUGAUUAGGGAAAAAUUUCUUGGAAAAUUAUCUUAAAAUAAAUUCCCAGGAAAGAUUGGAGGGGUCACAAAUAGUCCCGCUUAAGUUCCAACCUUCUAGACAGAAUUUAUUUAAACAUACUAAACCCGAAAAAUAGACCCUAAAUUAUUUAUUAAACAAAACACGAAAAUUAUUAAAUAUCUGACAAAAUGAACGAGACGUUAUCCCGUUCGGUUUUAUUCCCCCAAUAGUGUUUCAAACGCUGAGCAUUAACUUUACCUCCCUUACCUUGGAGUUCAACAACUCCGUAUGGAUAGACUCUGUAAAUUGUAAAUGGACCGGACCAACGUGAUUUUAGCUUACCUGGAAAGAACUUCAAUCUCGAGUUGAACAACAAUACUUGCUGACCUACUUCAAAUUCUCGAACCCGGAUGUGUUUGUCAUGCCAUUUCUUGAGUCUCUCUUUGAGUAAUUUGGCAUUUUCAUAUGAGAACAUUCGGAAUUCUUCUAACUCGUUGAGUUGGAACAUCCGUCUUUCUUUUGCGAGCUUAGGAUCUAAGUUGAGUCGUCGAAGAGCCCAGUAAGCUUUAUGCUCUAACUCCAAAGGUAGAUGACAUGCUUUACCGAAAACUAGCCUAUAGGGUGACAUCCCUAAAGGUGUCUUGUACGUUGUCCUGUAGGCCCAUAAAGCGUCAUCUAGUCUUUUGGACCAGUCUUGUCGGUUCGGGCAAACUACCUUCUCCAAUAUGCCCUUCAUUUCUUUAUUUGCCAGUUCAGCUUGCCCAUUCGUCUGCGGAUGGUAAGCCGUUGCAACCUUGUGUUUCACCCCGUGCUUGUCUAGUAACCAUUUUAACCACUUGUUCACAAAGUGGGACCCUUCAUCACUAAUGAUGGCUCUCGGGGUUCUAAACCUCGUGAACACGUGUUUCUGCAAAAACUUCAUCACAACCCUAGCAUCAUUUGUCGGAUAUUCCUCUGCCUCGACCCACUUGGACACAUAAUCUACUGCGACUAGUAUAUACUUGUGACUAAAAGACGAAGGAAAGGGCCCAAGAAAAUCAAUACCCCAAACAUUGAAUAAUUCGACCUCAAUGAUGUUUGUUCGAGGCAUUUCAUUUCUGUUGGUGACAUUUCCAACUCUUUGACAUCGACACAACUUUUUACAUAUGCAUAUGCAUAUGCAUCUUUGAAUAGUGUUGGCCAAAAGAAUCCGGCUUGCAAUACUUUGGCUGCAGUACGAGUUCCUCCGAAAUGACCCCCACUUGGGGCUGAGUGACAGUGGUAUAGAAUAUUCGGUAUUUCUUCUUCUGCCACGCAUCUCUUAAUCAUCUGAUCUGCAUACUUUUUAAACAUAUAUGGUUCCUCCCAGAAAUAGUACUUCACAUCGUGAAGAAACUUUCUCCUUUGUUGAUAUGUCUUAUCAUACGACAUUAAACCACAAGCUAAAAAGUUAGCAAUAUCAGCAAACCAAGGGGUAUUAUGGACAUGACUUACCUUCAGUAUAUGUUCAUCUGGAAAUGUUUCUUGAAUCGGUACAAGUGAAGAAUUCCCUUCUUGCGGCUCUAAUCUGGACAAGUGAUCUGCUACUUGGUUUUCUACUCCCUUUCGAUCUUGAAUUUCCAAAUCGAACUCUUGAAGUAGUAGUACCCAUCGGAUCAACCUCGGCUUAGUGUCUUUCUUGGCAAGUAAAUAUUUAAUUGCCGAGUGGUCUGUAUAGACAGUUACCUUUGGUACCUACAAGAUAAGAUCGAAACUUGUUGAAAGCAAAUACGAUAGAAAGUAACUCUUUUUCUGUUACUGUAUAGUUUAACUGAGCUCCUGUCAGAGUUCGGCUUGCAUAGUAGAUGGGAUGAAAAUUUUUUUCCUUCGUUGGCCCAUGACAGCUCCUAUUGCAAAGUCACUAGCGUCACACAUCAAUUCAAAUGGCAAGUCCCAGCCUGGUGUGACAAUUAUGGGUGCCGUGACUAAUCGAUUCUUUAAGUCAUUGAAAGCUUUUAAGCAUUCUUCAUUAAAUUUGAAUAUCGUGCCCUUUUCCAAGAAUUUGCAUAAAGGUUUAAUAACUUUGGAGAAGUCAUUAAUAAAUCUUCGAUAGAACCCGGCAUGGCCCAAAAAGCUCCUAACACCCUUUACAGAUGUUGGCGGUGGGAGUUUCUCAGUAACAUCUACUUUUGCUCUGUCUACCUCGAUCCCAUGUCUUGUUAUCCGAUACCCCAGAACGAUACCUUCUCGUAUCAUAAAAUGACACUUUUUCCAGUUAAGGACUAGGUUUGUCUCUUCGCAUCGCCUAAGUACCUUAGCCAGAUUGGCUAAGCAAUCAUCGUACGUAUCUCCAAACACUGAAAAGUCGUCCAUGAAAACUUCCAAAAAUUUCUCAACCAUGCCAGUGAAAAUAGACAUCAUACAUUUUUGAAAUGUAGCAGGUGCAUUACAUAAACCAAAUGGCAUGCGUCUAAAUACAAAUGUACCGUACGGGCAGGUGAAUAUGGUCUUGUGUUGAUCUUCUGGUGCUACCGUAAUCUGGUUGUACCCUGAGUAUCCAUCGAGAAAACAGUAGCAAUCUCGCCCCGCAAGUCUAUCCAGUAUCUGGUCUAAGAAUGGCAAAGGGAAGUGAUCCUUCCUAGUUUCCUUGUUUAGCUUCUAGUAAUCGAUGUAGAUUCUCUAUCCCGUAACUAUUUUAGUCGGUAUCAACUCGUUAUUCUCGUUCUCUAUGACCGUGAUACCUUCUUUCUUUGGUACACACCGGACCGGACUUACCCAUGAACUGUCUGAGAUAGGGUAAAUGAUACCCGUAUCUAACCAUUUGAUAAUCUCUUUUUUCACUACGUCCUUCAUGAUGGGGUUCAGCCUUCAUUUUCCAUCGAUCAUCCCUUUUUCACCAUCUUCCAGGAUGAUCUUGUGCAUGCAUACAGAUGGACUAAUACCGCGAAUAUCGGCUAUGGUCCAUCCGGUAGCCUUCUUAAAUUGUUUUAGAACUAAGAUAAUUUUCUCUUCUUACUCAGUAGUUAACUCUGCUGAAACAAUCACAGGCAGAGUAGAAGCGUCACCUAAAUAAACAUAUUUUAAAUGAGAAGGUAAUACCUUUAGUUCUAGUUUAUGUGGCUCAUUGAUUGACGCUUUUGGCUGUAUGCAAUCUCUCUCCUCUAAAUCUAAAGAUUCAAAACAGGAUUGUGGAUUAAAUCCCUAUUGAUUAGCUUCUAGCAAAGCUAAGUUUCCAUCCUCCUCUUCAUCACUUGGAGGGUCUGAUGUCAAAAUUCUUUCCAGAGGAUCUUCAACAGAGUUGAGUUCCUUCUCCACUAUUAAAUCCUCUAAGUUGGAUACUGCAAAAUAAUCAUCUAUUGUUUCAGGAAAUCGCAUUAACUUGAAAACGUUAAAUGUUACCUGAUCAUCCUGAACGCGCAUAGUAAGUUCACCCUUCUGCACAUCAAUAAGUGUCCUUCCAGUUGCUAAGAACGGUCUCCCCAGGAUAAUUGGUACUUCUUUGUCUGCUUCGAAAUCUAAAAUUACAAAAGUAAUAGGAAAGAUAAACUUAUCUACACGUACCAAUACAUCCUCGAUUUUUCGUUCUGGAUAUGCUAAGGAUCGAUCUGCUAGCUGAAGUGUAACCGUUGCAGAUCGAACUUCACCUAUCCCCAACUUCUUAAAUAUCGACAAAGGCAUCAAGUUGAUACUUGCGCCCAAGUCACAUAGUGCCUUACCACAAUAAGUUGCUCCAAUGUUGCAUGGAAUGGUAAAACACCCAGGAUCCUUCAGCUUAGGGGGUAAUUUAUCUUGAAGAUAUGCACUGCAUUCCUUCGUCAAAGCUACCGUCUCAAAUUCUCCAAGUCUUCUCUUCUUGGACAGGAUAUCUUUCAUGAAUUUUACUUAAUUUGGCAUUUGUUCAAGUGCUUCAACCAAUGGGAUAUUGAUAUGAAGUUGCUUGAGUACGUCAAGGAACUUCUUAAAUUGGACCUCUUGUUUUUUCUUCUGGAGUCUUUGAGGGUAAGGUGGUGGAGGUUUAUAUACUGGAGUUGGUACUGGUUGAUUUGUCUUUGGCGGUAAUUCUGCUGCUAACGGAAUGGUUGGCUGAUCAAAAUUGGCUGGUUCUGAGGUUACCUUUUUAGGUAUUGCAGGUUCUGGUUCUAGUGGAACAGGAACUUCAACACUCGGUUGAACUUCUUCCGAAUCUUGAGCUUCAGCAUGCUCCUUUUCAGCUUCAAUGAUGUUAGGCUCUACCGUUUUUCUGCUCCUCAAUGUUAGUGCUUUACAAUGCUCUUGCCCUGGAUUUCUCGAAUUUUCCGUAUCACUAGGUAAAGCACCUUGUAGACAGUUCCUAAGUUCAGUAGCAAGCUAGCCCACUUGAUUCUCCAAAUUCCUUAGAGUGGCAUCAUUCUUCGCCAUGUAUGCCUUCAAUAAAUUCUCUAAGCUAUUGGACGAUUCAGCCUGAACUAGUUUCUGAACUUGCUAUGAAAAACUAGGCGGCUGGGUUAGUCUAGGUUGGUCAUAGUUGUUACUGCCUCCAGCCCUUUGGUUACUCUAGGAAAGAUUGGGGUGAUUUCGCCACGAUGGGUUGUAAAAGUUGGAUUGCAGCCCUUGCCUUCCUCGGUUCUGGUUCUGAUUACCUAUGUAGUACAUGGAUUCUGGGUUUGACGGACAUUCUUCAAACACAUGUCCUUCCCUACAAUAGACACAGGCUAUAUUCUCAUAUUGGUUAGGUGGUUGAGCUACAAAACUGUUAGACCCAUUAGUGGUAAGAUUCUUUAACAUUGAAGAUAUCGAAGAUACCUGGGAUGCAAGUGAAGUGAGAGCGUCCACUUCAUGGAUUCCAACAACUCGUCUUCCUAACAUUGCUCGAUUGGUUGGCCACUGAAAAUUGUUAUUGACAAUCCUCUCGAUGAUUUCAUAAGCCUCAUUGUAAGACUUAAUUAAGAUAGCACCAUUAGCAGAAGCAUCUACUACCAUCCUUGUGUGAGCGUUGAGACCAUUGUAAAAUGUCUCAAGUUGGAUGCAAUGCGGAAUUCCGUGAUGAGGGCACUUUUGUAAUAACUCUUUGAAUCUUUCCCAUGCCUCAUACAAGGACUCAUCAUCCAUUUGUUGGAAAGCAGUAAUCUCAUUUCUCAGCUUAGCAAUCUUGCUAGGCGGGAAAUACUUCAAAAGAAAUCUCUCUGCUAACUCUUGCCAUGUAGAAAUCGAGUUUGGUGGUAGUAAGUUUAACCAGGCUCGAGCUCUAUCCCUCAGCAAGUACGGGAAUAGUUUUAAUCAUAAUGCAUCUUCGGGUACUCUGGCUAGCUUGAAAGAGUCGCUCACAUUCAUAAACAGUCUUAAAUGAAGAUGAGGAUCUUCAGUAGGCAUUCCAUUUAACUGGCCCACUAUCUGAACCAUCUGGAACAUGACUGGCUUCAACUCGAAUUGUUGUGCCUCAAUCUCAGGUCUUCCAAUACCUGGAUUAAUGUCAUUAAAAACUGGCACGGCAUAUUGUUGUAAAGGUCUAUCCCUAUCAUCAGCAAUAAGGAUAGGAUUUUGUGCAAGGUUUGCUCCGUUUCUUUGAUUGAUAUUCUCGAAAUUCAUCUCUUCGGUCCUUCUCUGGUUCGCUUGUCUUCUUCGUUGGUGAAAGGUUCGUUCUAUUUCAGGGUCCACUGGGAGUAAGUCGAUAAUUCAGUCAAUACUCAUAAACACCUGAAAUAAUCAGAGAAGAAUUAAUUAAGUAAGUAAAAUUGAAUAGGAAAAUAAAAGAACCAAAAUGUAAAAAUAAAUUCACAAAUAAUGCUUUUUUUAAAACAGUCCCCGGCGACGACGCUAAAAACUUGGAACGGUGGAAAUGUGCAAGUGUACACAAUCGUAACAAGUAAUAAAGUGACAAGUAAAUGUCGAGUUAUCGUACCCACAGGGACUGUAAAAAGUGAUAUUUAUGAAAUUAAUUAAAACACUUUGGUGAGGUAAAAAUGAUUUUGGUUUGAAAAGAGUGAUUUAUAAACUAAGAUUUUAAAACUAAGCAAACAAUUUAAAUAAAUUAAAAGAGUUCUAGUGCACGAUUUCAAUUAAGAUUUAAUCAAGAUGAUAUAAUUGUGUUGGAUUAAUUAUACCUUUUUAACUUAGAAAUAUUAACUUCGUGCUUAUGCUGUUAUGAAUAAAUUCACGGCAACCCAGUAAUUUGCUAACUUAUAAACAUAUUUACUAAUUAAAAAAAUUCCAUUUAUCUCUUGAACAUAUCCCUAUGCCAAUUCAACCGACUAAACAUAUUUAAUAAAGUAAACAUGCUAUUGCACAUACAUACUUAUUGAAUUAAAUUAUCUCUCGCAUAUUCCUAUGUCGAUUCAACCAAUUAAUUCAACUUAAUAAACAUGUAAAAGAUUAUGUGAAGUAACAAAGUAGCCAUACCUUGAAACAAUUUAAUCACAACAAUCUUACAAGUUAUGCAAGGCAUAUGUAUCGCCAAAUACAAUGCUAAUUUAAUUUUCAGUUACCUUAGAAGAAUUAAACAUGCACUGAUUAAGUACUGAGUCCAUUAAUUGCAAUUUCAAUUCGUUUUAACAAUUAAUUCUUUAGUUAUCUAAACAAUUAUAAUGCCAGAUAACCUAAACAUGAUUUUACUUAAUCAAGCAUUUCACUGAGGCCUAUAACAGCAUAAACACUAUUUUAAUAAUUCAAGUAGGCAAAAUAUAAUCAACCCAACACGAAUUAAAUUCAAGCUAAAUUGAUUAAAAUAACCAUUUCAACAACAAUAUUUUUCAUAGAUAUGUUCAUCAUAAAAACAACAGAAAUUAAAAAGAAAGGGAACAGAAAGCAAAUCCAGUGUUUCUCUGCGGCUUGACUGUUGCUCCGUUCUUAGUCUCCGUUGUCUUCGUCGAGCAAGGCUUCUAUGAAUCCUUUAUUGCUGCCCAAGAUGGCUUAAAAACACCUCUUUCUCAAGAGAGGAAAUCGGCACAAGAGAAAGGGAAAAUGGGAUGGAGAAAUGGAGAGGAAACUUUGAGAGAAGUGAAGAGAGGAUGAGAGAAUGUUGUGGAAUGAGGGAUGUUGAGGGAUGCUUUGAAAUGGGAAGCAUAGGGUGGAUUUUAUAGCUGAAGAGGGCCGCUAAAAAUAGAAAAUUCAGCAGCCAAGAGAGCCCUCGCAUGGCCGGCCACACACAUGGCAAGGUUGAAGCUUUCAACCUUGCUAAAAAUAGGCUGGGGGAAAUCUACAAAGCCUAAAAUAAAGGUGGGGUUUGAACGUAAUUUGGAGGUUUUUCAAGGGCCUUUUUGCAAGAAUAUUUUAUCAGCUAAUUUUCUGAUUUGGGUCAGCCAAUGGACGGUUCUGGUCAGCCCAAUUAGUGGCUUGUUCGGCUCACUUCAUUCGGUUCAACCAAUACGGUUCACUAGGCCCUUUCUUCAUAAUUAAUUAAAAUUAAUUCAUUUAGCCUAAAUUAAAUAGGAAAUAAAUUAAAAUUAAUUUAAUUAUGAAUUAAUACACAUUUCUGGACCGUCUUGGGCUAGAAAUUAAUUGGCCUCUAUACUUCAAAUUGCUCUCGAUUUUGUUCUUCUCGCAGUGCUCACCGGGCCCUUUUUCUCCAAUUAUGUAAUUCUGUCAAAAAUAACCAAAUUUAAUCAAAAUUAACUACAAAAUUAAUUAAAGUUCAUAAUGUUUAUAUUUUUAACAUAAGUUAAUUAUUUUUAUAAUAUUUAAUGAUUUUUUGACAAGAAUUUAACCGAAUUUGCAUAAAUUUAAAUAAAAUUGGGUAUGAAAAAGUAUAUAAUUUUUUCUGUUUCUAAAGACAUAGUUCCAAUGUAUCCUUAUGAACGAUUUCCUGUAAAGAAUCUUGAGUAGCAUGAUCAAUAGAAUCAAUAAAAUAGCAGGAGUCAUUUUGUUCUCUAGAAAAUCUCAUGGCAUCAUAAAUUUUAAAGAUAAUCUCUUCGUCACCUCCCUAAGCUCAAGUUUACCGUCACCCACAUCAAUAAUAGCCCUAGCAGUGGCUAAAAAUGGGCGAACCAAAAUUAAAGGCACCUCAACAUCUUCAUCCAUGUCAAGCACAACAAAAUCAAUAGGGAAUAUAAAUUUAUCUACUUUUACUAGUACAUCUUUAAUAACAUCCCCAGGAUAUUUAACAGAUCUAUCAGUUAGUUGAAUACUCAUCCUAGUAGGUUUUGGUUCCCCAAGGCCAAGUUGCUUGAACGUUUUGUAAGACAUCAAAUAAAUGCUAGCGCCUAAAUCAGCUAGUGCCUUCUCAACAUUUAAACUACCAAUUAAGCAGGGAAUAGAAAAACUUCCUGGAUAUUUCAGUUUGGUUGGAAAUUUAUUUUGGAGUAUGGCCAAGCACUCCUCAUUGAGUUCUACUGUAGACAACUCUUCAAACUUCCUUUUAUUUGUUAGAAGCUCCUUCAAAAAUUUUACAUAUGUAGGCAUCUACGAGAUAGCUUCAACAAAAGGUAAAUUAAUAUGCAGCUGUUUAAAAAGUUCAAGAAAUUUACCGAAUUGUGCAUCCAUGCAGUCUUUCUUUAACUUUACUGGAUAUGGGAUUGAUGGUUUAUAUUCCCUCAACACCGAUUUUUCAUUGAUUUCGGGUUUUACCUCCUCAUCCUCUUUCCUAUCAGCUUCUUGUGGUAACUUCUUUUUAGAUUCAGUUAACACUUUCCCACUCCUUAGGGUAACUACUUUCACGUGCUCUUUUGGGUUGGGUUCAGUGUUACUAGGUAGGCUCCCUUGUGGUCUCUCUGAAAUCAUCUUAGCCAGCUAUCCUAUUUGAUUCUCGAGCCCUUGAAUCGAUGCUUGUUGAUUUUAAGUGCAGUUUCAGUGUUUUGAAAAUGGGUUUCUGCCACUGAAAUAAACUUCGUCAUCAUCUCUUCAAGGUUUGGCUUUUUCUCUUGCUAGUAAGGUUGUUGUUGGAAGCAUGGAGGGGGUGGUAGUCUCUGAUUUCCUUGGCCUUCCCAUGAGAAGUUUGGGUGGUUCCUCCAACCUGCAUUGUAAAUGUUACUGUAAAGAUUAUUUUGAGGUCGAGGAUUAUUACCCAUAUAAUUUAUUUGCUCGUUCUCCAUGCUGGGGCCGAAGGGUAAAAAUUUUGAAUUGCCUAUUCCACCUCCACUCGUGUCACACUAUAUCACCGGAUGUACAUGAGUAGAACCACUUAGACCGUCAAUCUUUUUAUUCAAGAGUUCUACCUAGUUUGAUAACAUGGAGACUGCAUCUAAGUUGAAAACACCGGCUGAUUUCGUAGGCUUUGUUCUCAUAACUUGCCAUUAAUAAUUAUUCAGUGACAUCUCUUCAAUGAAAUCAUAAGCCUCCUCAGGUUUUUUUUAUUUAUGGUUCCACCGAAGCUGCAUCGAUAGUUUGCUUAGUUGAGUGGUUCAAACCGUUGUGAAAAGUUUGAACCUGUAGCAAUAAAGGUAACCCAUGGUGAGGGCAUAUUCUUAGUAAGUCUUUAUACCUCUCCUAUGCGUCGUAUAAAGUUUCUAAAUCCAUCUGCACAAAAGAAGAGAUAUUGUUCCUCAAUUUAGCUAUCUUAGCUGGUGGAAAGCACUUUAGUAGAAACUUCUCGGUCAUCUCUUCCCAAGUAGUGAUUGAACCUCGUGGUAUGGAGUUCAACCACUGCUUAGCCUUAUUUCUUAACGAGAAGGGAAAUAGCCUUAGGCGAAUGGCAUCGUAAGAAACACCGUUGAUCUUGAAAGUGUCGCAAGAUUCCAGAAAGUUGGCCAAAUGAGUGUUUGGAUCCUCAUCUUACAAACCAUCGAAUUGAAUAAACUGUUGGAUCAUCUGAAUUGUAUUUGACUUUAGUUCAAAAUUGUUUGCAACAACGGUACGUCGAACAAUACUUGAUUCAGCCUCAGUGAGAUUAGACUUAGCAUAAUCGUACAUAGUAGAGGAGCAGGAUUCUGAUUUGCAGGGACUGCGGCAAUCAUAAGAGGUAGUGGAUUAUUUCGAUUUUCAUCCAUCUCCUCAGUAGUAUUAGUAUUGUCCUCAUGCUCUCCCUCUAUAUACUGUAAGCUCUGCCUUAUUUCUCUACGAUUUCUACGAGCUGUACUUUCAAUUUCACUAUCGAAUAGUAAUGGUCCUGAUGGAUUCCUUCUAGUCAUAAACUACAGAAACCUGCUAGAAGCAAAUAAAAGAAAAACUAGUAAAUUAAAAUAAUAAAAAAAGUAAAUUGCAAUAAAAAUAAAAAUGGCUAAAGUAACAAAAAUCAAACGUUCCUAAUAUCUUAGUCCCCAGCAACGGCGCCAAAAACUUGGUGGUCACUAAACUGACUAAAAAUUUGACUAAGGCAAGGCACCUAUCAAACAGUAGUAUAGUUAUGGUGAGACCAAAAAUAUCGUAUCUACAAGGACUAAAAGUACUAGUAAUUACUAUCUUUUUAUUAUCUAGCCUAAGAAUUAAAGAGAUAUUUUUAAACUAAGAUUAACUAUCUAAUUAACUAAGAACACGACAGAGAUAAAAGUUGGAAAAUACUUUUGGAAAACUGAUGAAGAAGACAAUACCCAAGGAAGAAUCCACCUAGACUUCACUUAUUACUUCUGAAUUAGAUAAUUAAUUCACUUGACUUAAUUUGUAGAAAUCCCUAACUUAUGUUAAUUUAUCUCUCGAGACUAAAAACAACUAACUCUAGGUUGAUUAACUGAUAUCUCUUUCUAAUUAAAACUCCUAUUGUCGAAUUAACUCGAUUUAUGGAUUCCCUUACUAGAUUUGACUCUAAUCUGGCAGAUUUAUGUUGUCCUAUCUCUAGGAUUGCAAUCAACUCCGCUUAAUUAUGGAAGAUCUUCUCUUAAACAGGGAUUUUUGCUCCACUGAAUAAGCAUAUCAAAACUUGAAUUAAUAUCCUGAAAUAUUAAAGCAAGGAUUAAAACUCAUAAUUAAGAAUAAAAAACAAGUUUUUAUCAUAUAAUUCAAAAGAUAAUAAGAUUCAUCUUAGGUUUCAUCUUCCCUAGGUAUUUAGGGAAUUUAGUUCAUAACAACGGGGGAAAACAUCUCAAAAUUGGGAAAACAACAAACAUAAAGAAACCCAAAAACUUUGGUAGAAAUUGAAUGGAGAUCUUUAGUUUUGAGGUAAAUCUUUCUUCCGAGCUGAUUCCAAUAGCUGUCUUCGAGUAUUGUCUGCCUUCUACUCUAUCCCAAUUUUGAUCCUCUUCUCGUGUGUUUAAAUAGACUCUGGAAUGUCCAAAAUAGCCCAAAAUUAACACUUUCCAAGUAGAAUUAAAAUAGGUCUCGACAGGGAUAUGGCCGUGUGGCACACAUGUGUGGCACGCCCGUGUGAUGGUGCUCAGGCCGUGUGUAAUUCUGACAUGGUUUUAAGUCGACACUGCCAUGACACACGGGCGUAUGGCCUACCCGUGUAUCUCACAUGGGCGUGUAGAUUACCCGUGUGGAAGUGUCUAGGCCGUGUGAAGCACUGAAAUAAACCCAUUUUGUCUGUUUUUUGCCUUUUUCUUGCACUUUUCUCUUUCCUAUGCUCAUCUGGAUAUAAAACAUGAAAUUAAAAGAUUAGGAGCAUCAAAUCCACUAAAUCUUAUGAUAAAUCAUCCAAAAAUAUGCCAAGCAUGGGAUUAAAAUAUGUUACUUUUGAGGUUUAUCAGUCCCUAGGGAGCUUAUAGGUAGCUUUCAAAGUUUGAUAUAGCCAUGUAAUAGUAUCGUCUGCUUAAUUUUUCUAUGUAAGCGUUUGUUUAUUUUAUUCACCAAAGAAAAAAAAUCUAUUUUCUAAGUGAUGUGUUAUUAUUCUAUUGAAUACAUCAAAUAGUUUUUGUUUUGGUAUUUUGUUGGUGAUGAGGAAUGUAAAUUAAAAUUUAAGUUAAUACCAAAAAAGGAAAACAAAAGGGAUACAAUUACUUAAAGGACUGAUUGUUUUACAUUUGAGUCAUAGAUGGCAAAAGACUCAUAUCAUUUGGUGGUUAUUUGGUAGUAUCUUUGAUUUUUUUUUUAAAUUAAAUCGAAUAUGAAUCAAAUUUUACCGGUUCAAAUUGAUUUCAUUCAUUGAUUUUUAUUUUUUUAAAAUUUAUUUCUAUAUACGUUUAAAAUUUAAUUUCAAUAAUUUAUAUAUAAAUUAUUUAAAUAAUUUUCUAUCCUUAGUUAAUUUAGUAUACUUAUUUUAUCCCUAUUUAUUUAGGUGGGAGCUGAAAAUAUAUUAUAUAUUUAUGUACUAAUGUUUUAAAUUAAAUUAUUAUAAUAUUGACCAUAAAUAUAUAAUGUAAAAAUUUCAAAUGUUGAUAUGACCAUAAAUAUAUAAUGAAAAUUUCAAAUGUUGAUAUGAGGUUCAUAUGUUUUGGUAUUUAUACUUAACUCUUAUAAUUUUAAUUUCAUAGGUAAGAAAUUGACAAUAACACAUAAUGAAAUAAGUUACAAAAAUGAUAACUGUUAUAAAAAAAAUAGAGAGUAAAGAACAAAGAGAAUGAGGGAGUAAAGAGAGAACGUAUUUUAUUGAUAAAUCUAAAUAUUUACAAAGUUUCUCCAAAGUCUCUAUUUAUAGACAUAAGAAGUAUAAAUAAAGUAGAGAUCUACCUCUAAUGAUUAUUAGAAUUAGAGAUCUACUUUUAAUGACUAUUAGAAUUUAAAAUACAUCAAAAUUUAUCUUCAUCUUGAUGGACAUCCACUUAAUAAGAUAUUCAUAACACUCCCCUUAGAUGCCUAUUGAUAGAUAAUGUGCCUCGUUAAAACCUUACUAGGAAAAAAGAAUUCCUAUUGAAGGAGUACACAUAUCUAUAAUACACAUAAUAUGAUGCCUCAUUAAAAACCUUAUUAAGAAAAUUCAAUGAGACAAAACCUCAGUUAAGGGAAAAAAAAUACAACGCAUAUUUACUCCCCAACAUGAAAAUAUCACAUACUUUCUCAUAUUUUACGUAUUCAAUCUUGAAUACUAGUAUUUUAAAUGACUAUAUGAAUAUUUUUGAUAAGCAUUUAUAUAACCAUUCUUUUGAAAGUUAUGAGUGAGGGAAAUUUUGGGGGAAAUAUAUUUUGAUCUCUUUAGAAGUUUCAACAACAAUAAUAACAAACUCUAAUCAUGAUCCCUCUAUAAAAAUACAAAUAGGUAUUUUCAAUCAUUUUAUAAUCCUCUUUCAACUACUAUUGACUAAGUCAAUUUACCACAUAUGUUCAAUUAUUUCAAGUUAUAUAAAUGAACAAUUUCCUGAUAAUUUCAAUAUGCUUCUGGCAUUCUAAAUCUUUCAAGGAUUUUAAUAUAAACUUUACUAUAUAGUGAUUCAUAAAAGCUUGAAACAAAAACCAUUAGACGCAAGUUAAAUCUUUUAUGAAUUACCAGUUUAAUAAUAUAUCUAAAGGUUAUUGCAUCCACCACAAAAGAAUAUUAUAUUUUUUCAUAAUCAAUGUCAGGGCUUAGCGAAAAACUUCAUAUUUUUAUUCCGCUUUUGCAAAACUACUUCAUUUGUACCCUCACUGGCUUUAUACCUUUAGAUAUUUGGACUAUUGGUCUAAAAACUCCACGAAUUUGAGUUGCAUCUUUGUAUUUUGACCAUCUAUUCCAUAUCUAUAUUUCUCAAUAUUUUUAUUCAAAAUUCUCCUUUCAUUUCAACAAUAAUAUUGCAUACAAAACCAUUGUCGACCACUUUUAUUAUUUGGUUCCACAUUUUCUCAAAUUGUCAUAAUUGAAUCUCCAACACAUUUAAAAUAUAUAAUAAUAAAAGAAUACUUGUAAUUAAUAUAUAUUCCCAACUUUCUUUGAGGAUUCACUCAUCUUUGUGCAUUAUAGUGGAGCAAUUGGAAUAUAUACACACAUACAAAAGUUCAAAGAUGGGAAAUAUUUAGCUCUUGAUUAAAAAUCAACUGUAAUGGAAAGUAUUUAUAACUUAUUGGCUUGAUACUUAUAAAAGUAAAUCAAUAUAAUCUCAUGUUAAAAUAGGAAGAUGUGAUGAAUGUGAAAGGGUAUAUAUAUGUGAUAAGGCCUAAUGGCCGAUGUGAUGAAUGUGAAAGUGUAUAUAUGUGAUAAGGCCUAAUGGCCGAUGUGAUGAAUGUGAAAGUGUAUAUAUAUGUGAUAAGGCCUAAUGGCCGAUGUGAUGAAUGUGAAAGUGUAUAUAUGUGAUAAGGCCUAAUAGCCGAUGUGAUGAAUGUGAAAGUGUAUAUAUGUGAUGAGGCCUAAUGGCCGAUGUGAUGAAUGUGAAAGUGUAUAUAUGUGACAGGGCCGAGUGGCCAACGUGAUGGAUGUGAAAGUGUAUAAAUGUGAUAAGUCCCGAAGGGCAAUUGUGUCAGUACUAUAUCCGGGUUAAAACCCCGCAGGCUUUAUGCGAGAGUAUUAUCCUGAUUAAUGUCCGUAGGCUUCGUGCUCGUACUAUAUCCGAGCUUUAAAGACCCGACGGCUAAAUGCUAGGAUUCAAGUAAGACUUUGAUAUUGAGUAUUUGCAUUAAGUUACCAUCAAUUAAGUAUUAUGUAUUCAAGAUGUUCAGGUACGUAUUACUUACUCAUCGGUGGAGUGAUUUCGAGGUGAAUUAUCAGUAUCAAAGAGGUAGGUAAAUGUGAUUAAUAUUAUAACUCCAAAUGUGAGAAUAUGCUUUGGAAAUAUUUGACCAUCUAGGUCAUUAUUAUUCGAAAGUAUAUAUGUGGCAGCCAAGUGUUGCGUUUAAUGAUAUUAUAUAUCGAGAUGAAGCUCUAGAUUAACUUCAUCGAACAGUUGAAAUGAAUGACCAAUAAUAGUGAUUGAGAACACUUUGUCUUGCUUAAAACUUACUAAGCAUUAAAUGCUUACUCCGUUUCUUUGAUUUUCUGUUUUAUAGAUUUUGGUUCUUCAGCUAUCGGACUCGGGAUUUUGAAGUCGAAGUCGCCCCCACUAUCAAAGCCCCCUUUUGGUACAAUUUUGGUUGAACUUCGAAAUGGCAUGUAUAGGACUACCCUUUUUGUUGUGGGUCAUGGACCCUUUGGAUUUGUAUAAUAUUGGAUAGCCAUGCGAAAAUGGCUUAUAUAUGUUUGAGCAUAAUGUUAUACUCAUUUGGUAUGGAUAUGCUUAACAAGGAUUGGCCAUGGGAAUGGUUAAUCACUAUCAUAAUUUGUGCUAUUUAUGCUAAAAGGGCUAGUUGAAUCAUGGAAACUAUGAAAUAGGUAAAGUCUACCUUAAAGGCAGAUGCUGACAGCAGCAGUGAUGUAGAUUUGGAAAAUCACUAAAAAUAGUAGGAAUGGAAUUAAAUAGUGAAUAAAUUAUGCAAACGAACCUUGAUGAAUCUAUUUUCAUAGGAAAGUAACGAAACGUUCAUAUGAACAGUAUAUUAUGAUAUGCUAAAGUUUUUGUGAGACAGGGCCAGAACGGUUUCUGGAUUCCCUGUUCCAACUUUGGAAAUUCAUUAUAAAUUAACCAGAGAUAAUUAGAAGUCAUUCCAUAUAUGAAUAGAUUCCUUUUUGAGUCUAGUUUCUAUAGAAACAAACGACAUCAGUAUUGAAGCCCUGUACAGGGAGAUAUCCAAGUCGUAAUGCGCAAAGGUUAGUGUAGUCGAUCCCUGUAACGUGGGACACUUUGACUAAUAAAAUGUACUAAUUGGCCCGACCAAAAAUUCUAGAAAAAAUUUUUAGAUGUAUAUAUGAGUCUAGUUUCAGGAAAAAAUCACGAAGCUGAUUUUCGAGUUGUGAAACUCAAGAUAUGAUUUUUAAGGUGACAGUGACGCAGUUAGCCAGCUUGCCUGGAAAAUUUAAAAUGGACUGCAAUAGUAAGCGAAUUUAGUCUGUGAACCCCUCGUGUCCGACUCCGGCAACGGUCUCGGGUAUGGGGUGUUACAGAAGCUCUUUUACAGAUGCCAAACGCAGUCAAAUUCUUAAAGGAGCUUUUAACAAAUAAACAAAAGUUGGAUGAGGCGUCGUAUGUGGAGUUGACUGCAAUUUGCUUAACCAUUCUACAGAAUAAGCUACCCAACAAAUUGAAAGACCCAGGGAGUUUUACGAUUCCUUGUUUAAUUGGUAGUUUAGAUGUUCAUAAUGCAUUGGCUGACUUAGGGGCAAGCAUUAAUGUUAUGCCUUAUAAAAUGUUUAAACAACUAGGUCUUGGGAAACCCAAACAAACUAGGAUGAGUAUUCAAUUGGCUGAAAAAACCAUUAGAUUUCCUAGGGGUAUCAUUGAAGAUGUUCUUGUUAAGAUCGAUAAAUUUAUAUACCCAGUAGACUUUGUUAUUCUAGACAUGGAAGAGGACAGUAACGCACCUCUGAUUUUAGGACGACCCUUUUUAGUGAAUGCUAGGACCAUUAUUGAUGUUGGCACAAGUGAACUCACACUUCGUGUGGGAGACGAAACAAUAACCCUUCAAGCUCAUAAUUCGAGUAACCUAUCGAAAAUUGAAGGUGGUUGUAUAAACCAUUCUGCUAAAACUGACCAUGUGGUGCAACCUACUUUUCAGGAAAUAAGUUCGAAGAACCUACACGAGCAAUGUUCAAGCAACAUCAAAGGACCUAUCUAUGAAAAACGAAGGCUAUAAAUCGAGGAGCUAGAUGAAUGGUAGACACAGAAACUGAGAACACCCGAUAAACCGAAACCACACCAUGACGAGCUCAAUCACGCACCAAAUCAACUUAAGGUUAGAGACAAAGUACUACUAGAUGCAGUAGACCCUCGCAUUGCCACUUCUGAACCUAAUGAAGAAAUUCUUCUCACAGUACUCAGUAUUUUCCAUAUGGUACAGUCGAGGUAAUUCAUCCCAAAUUUGACACUUUUAAGGUAAACAAUACAGUCUUAAACCUUAUGUUGAUAAAGUUGAUAGCAGGGAUGAAGAGUAUAAACUCCUCGCACCACCUUGACCAUGUAGAAGAGAGGUAAGUCAGGCUUAAGACUAUAAAUAAGCGCUUCUCAGAAGGCAACCUGAGCACUAACAGUAAUGAUCUAUUUAAAUCCUAGUUUUUCACAUCUAACCUACUAACUGAGUCUUGAAACAUAGGGUUUUCCCAUCCACACGGCUAGGUACAUGGGUGUGCCUUAGGCCGUGCUCACACCACAGGAGGAGACACGGCUGUUGGAUACGGCCAUGUGAAAACAUGGUAAAAUUUUUCCCCAAUACGGGAUGCGAUAAGUCACCACGGCCGUGGGAUAAGACCGUGGGUGAAACUGUGGGGAGAAGCGAAACACGGGUUGACACUGUUAUACUAACACAGGCAUGGACCUAUGUACACAGGCGUGGGAGAAGCGAACAAAGCAAGACACGAUCGUGUGACACGGUCGUGUACACCAACACGCCUAAGAAACACAGGCGUAGGUCGAAUGUUAGAAGAGCCCAAAUUUAAAAAUCGCGAAACACACAAGCAAAAAUUAGGGCACACAGGUGUGUCCCACGGCCAUGUGCCCCAAAAUCUAUAUAAACCCCUCACUAUUCAUCAUCCCCCUCCCCAAAAAUCCCUAACCCUAGCCGCUGCAACUCCACACACCCUGCCUGCCACGCUCGUGCGCCGCCUACAACACUGUUUUCGACGACUCAAGCUUCUCCCUUUUGCGUUUGUUUACUCUUUUCUCUCUAUUUUCUUUAAAUUUUUUGCCUAUUUCAUGAUUUCUCUGAUCUAUUUGACUAUCUUAAGUGAAUAUUAAUAGUAGAAUAAUAGAAAUACUCAUGCUUGUCAUUAGAGAAUAUUGCCAUUUUUUGUACUACAUUCAUCCUUUUUUUUUGUUUCCUUGGAUUUUAUGUUUACCCACAUACAUUCAUGCAUUAGAUUUUCCCAUCGUAUUAUUCUCAUAGUCCUAUUUUAAUGACUUGAUAUAUUUUCUUUAGUUGUUUUAGUUUUGUUCUCUUCAUUUAGUACGCGAGUCUCAUGAAAUAUUCCUAUUUAGUUUUAUUUUUCCAUGCUAUUUUUGGGACGUAUUGGUUGAACUUCGACUCUUCAAUGCAGGUAUAAUGUCAUCCUCAUGUGGUAAGAAGACCGUUGUUCCCGCCUCAAAGAAGAGGAAAGGAACAGCGUCAUCCUCGAGUCCUACCACAGAGAUUAGGCACCCGUUCCUCCAGGUUCCCUUAGGACCCCAAGAGGAAAUAGAUCAGAUAUUACAAGCCCGAACCCUAGGUGUGGGCCGCUGCAUUAACUGGGCUGCACUUGAACAGAUUCAUUUGGCUGAUGCAGUCCGAGCCCUCCUAACGAAUGACCCAUGGGGGCUCUUUUUUGAGAUCGUCGAGCCGACGUAUCUCGAGUUCACAUUGGAACUCUGCUCGACGUUCCAUCUUCAAACCGUCAUGACCAACUUCGACGAUCCUGAGAUGGUCCAGUUUCACCUUGGUGGUCUAGUGCACCAGUUGAGCGUACCCGAGUUCGAGAUUGCACUAGGGCUGUACACGGAAGAGUUCCUAGACGACAAUGAACUCGACACCCUACUCUCUCUCAAAGUACUGGAAGGACCUUGUCCCUGCCUCAGCCACCUAUGAUCCUAGCCGCUCCAAGGCAUCGGCUCUCCCUCCAUCAUUAAGGUACCUACACGCCAUCUUGGCUCACACUCUGACAGGAAGACAAGAGAGCAUCGGCGUCGUCAACACUCACAAUGCUUACUUUCUAUGGUGCAAGGCAAAUAAGCACAUCAUCGACCUCACCUACUCCAUCGCCCUCGCCAUCCGUCAUCAGAUGGAGCGACAUCGGAGGGGGUUAUCUCUAUCGAGCCCUAUGUGACUUGACUGGCUCGGCACUUCAGGCUCCUCAACACAGCAGCACAAUCAUCCUCCCUCACUCUCGUCAGCCAGAUGUCCCCACAGGGUAUCUUGAGCAUGCUAAGUAUGAGGGUGAUCGAGAAAUUACGUGACACCUACCCUCCUCAGUACCGCCUCGUCCAGUCCACCGAGGAGGAGGACCCAGAGGACAUUACUGAUUAUGUCCCUCCACGUUAUGAGGACCCACCGUCUGAGCCACCACCCAUCCAUCGUCCAGUUCAUGUGGUGGCUUCAUAUUCUCACAUCUCUGAGCGCCUUACACGAUUUGAUCAGCAAUGUUUUCAGCGCUUUGAUCACAUUGAUGAGACUCUACAUCAGAUUUGUCAGCACUUUCACAUCUCAUCGCCACCACCACAUCGCAAACCAUCUGGCGAUGACGAUGUUUAACAACUUUUUAUUUAUUUAUUUAUUUUACUUUUAUCUUUAUUUAUUUUAAUUAAGUACUUUUUUAUUUCAUUUUUCUUUAAUAUUAUUUUAAUUUUAGUUUUUAUAAUUUUUGUUAAAUAAUUCAUAGUUUUGGCUAUUUCAUUACGAGUAAUUAUGCUUCAUUAUAUUCCCUAAAAAGUUCCUGAUUCUAUCACAGUUAUAAAGAGCUCCAAAGCUCAUCAUCGCAUAGGAACUAAAAACUCCACUGGGAAAGGUUCUCUACGAUUGCCAUGUCCUGCUCGACCACGACCAUAGCUACCACCAGAUAUAAUAUUCUUUUGGCGCAGGACUUAUUGACUAAUGAACCUCUACCACCACUGGAGUAUCCUCUUCCACUCUCAUCAUUGCUUCGGCCGAUUAUUCUCCAUAACUCCAAUUCAAGGAGUUCAUUCAUCAUUCAAGAAGUUUCACUUCUCUCCCUAUCUUAUGAUUAUAUAUCUAUCUCUUUCAAUAUAUCUAUCUUUGUACAUUGAGGGCAAUGUACAUCUUACGUGUGGGGGGUCUUUUAUAUCAUCAUUAGAAAUCCAUGAAUUUUGUCUUAUUCUCAAGUGAAUCACUCAUAUCACCAUUAGAAUGAAUUUUAAUUAAUUUAUGAUUUUUAUUGAUAUGUCCUGAAUUAAAACAUAGGCAUUUAUGCAUUGAUUGUUUAAACUUUAAGACAUUAAGGAUAAGUUGAUUUUUGAAGAAUUAAAAAAACUUUUGGGUUGCUUCCCUAAGUUUAGGUAUUAUCUUGAGUUGAAAUUCACAAGUUUAAACAUCAAAAAGCCAUAAUUUUUGUGAGACCUUGAGCCUUUAGAGCAUAUUUUAUUCCUUUCAUGCUCACUUUUAUUAUGAGUGCAUCAGUAUUGAUUUGUUAUUUUAGAACUUGCUUGAUUAUGCAUGUCAAGACCACACCAUUUGAUUUGAUAUGUCAAGAUGAUAAAGGCACUUAGGUUUAACCCACUCACUCCACAAAAGCCUACCUUCAUAAUUAACCCUUAGUGAACCCCUUUGAGCCUAGCAAGCCAUUAAUUGAUUUACCCUCAAUUUUAACCCAUAACCUAUUAUUGUUGAAAUCUCCUGAUUUGAUCCCUAUUUUUGUCAAGAUUUGAUUUGAACUACUUGCUUAGCUAUGUUUUAUUCUUCAUUGUGAUAAUUAAGUUCUAUGUAUUUGACUUGUUCUUAAAAAAAUAAAGCACAUACUUACAUACAUAUUAGUAGUAAUUCGUCAUUUUUGAGCUUGAGUGUUAAUUCCAUAUUCUGAGAAGAAGCUCACUUGUUUUCAACUUAUGACUAGUUAUUUUUCCAGCUAGGUAAUUUUUCAAUUCAAUCUCAAUUCUAACCUUUUCCUUCAGCUUGUGACCACACCCCCUAACCAAAGCCAUGUUACAACCCUAUAAAAGACCUUUUUGAUUGAUGUAUCAGCUCAAUAUAUAGUGGUGGAGAUUUGAUUUCAAGCAAGCCUUUGGUAAUAACUUUUCAUAUUGACUAAUGAGUGCUUCAAUUGAUGUCUUUAAACACCUUGAGUGAUUUAAGUGAAUCUUUAGUGAGGAUGUCAAACUCUAUGAUAUUUUGAUCAAAGGUAAUCACUUAGAUGAGGGGAGACACCUAUGUUUUCGUGAUAAAAUGUUCAACUUGGAAUGUUUGAAACUUGAAUGUACUUUCAGUUGAAUUUUCAAUGUAUGAAUACUUAUGGAUUAUUCUGAGAUAAUAUUGAUAAGGAUUAUAAAUUGAGAAGAAUUUAUUUUGAUUGUGAGUUAAGGAUUUUGCUUGAGGACAAGCAAAUGCUUAAGUGUGGGGGUAUUUGAUAAACCAUAAUUUAUACAUAUUUUUAUCCUAUGCUUAGCGCAUUUAUGGAUGAUUUAUCCUUAGAUUUGGUGAAUUCUAUGCUCCUAAUCCUUUAAUUUCAUGUUUUAUACUUAGGUGAGCAUAGGAGAGUAAAAAGAGCGAGAAAUGAGCUGAAAACGGAGAAAAUUGACCCACGUGGGAAAUCAACAUGGCCUGGACUUCCUCACACGGGCGUGUCACAGGGCCGUGUCCCUUUGGCAGGAUAGAAACACAACUUACACGGGUAGACUACACGCCCGUGCCUAUUCAACAACCUUGACCACGGGCUGGAGUAAUCGCACACGGGCGUGUCACACGGGCGUGUCCCUGCCGAGUCCAAGUAUAACCCUAUUUGGAAAAGGCCAAUUUUGAGGGCUCUUAGGCAUUCUAAAGCCUAUUUAAACACCUGAUGAGGUACUUAGGAACGGGACACAGAGUAGGAAGCAAGGAAUUACUCAAGGAAAGCCGAUUGAUCCAUCUCAAGAGCCGGAUUCAUUAUCAAGACUAAAGAUCUCCCUUCAAGUUCCUUCAGGAGUUUUGGGUUUUCUUAUGUUUUGUUAUCUUUAUGCUUUCAAGAUGUUUUCUUUCAUAAGUAUGAACUAAACCCCUAAAUACCUAAGGGGAAUGAAACCUAAGACAGAUCUUGCUAUUAUUAUCUAAAUUGUAUGAUAAAUAUUUGACUUGUUCUUAAUUAUGUGUUCUUAAUUCUUGUUUUAAUAUUUUAGGAUAUAGAUUCAAGUUAAUGCUCUUAAUCAGAGAAGGAAUAGACCUUGUCUAAGAGUAAAAUUGUCAUAAUUAAGCGGAGUUGAUUGCGUGCCUAGAGAUAGGGUGACAAGAUUUUACCGGAUUAGGGUGAAACCUAAUAAGGGGAUCCAUAGAUCGAGUUAAUGCAAUUCUAGGGUGUUAAUUAGGAAUAGAUUUCAAUUAUACAACCUAGGGUUAGACGUUAUUAGUCUCGAGAGAAAUAAUAUUAUAACUUAGGGAUCUCUACCGAUCAAGUCAAAUGAAUAAAUCGUUUGAUUCAUAGUUGAAUAACAAGUGAAGUCUAGGUGGAUUUUUCUUUAGGUAUUGUCUGAAUCAAUCGAAUUUCCCCAAAAGUAUUCUCCUAAAUUUUCUUUCUAUUCAUUCUUAGUUUAGUAAUUAGUUUAGAUAACCAAACCUCUUAUUUUUUAGGCUAGAUAAUAAAAAGGAAGUAAAUACUAGUACUCGUGGUUCCUUUGGGUUCAACAAUCCGGUCUUGUUGAACUAUACUAUUGUUCGAUAGGUACACUUGCCUUAAUCGUGAUAAUAAGUUAGUCUCAAGAACAAUUCAUUCAUAAAUCUUUAAAACCUGUCGCUAAUAUCACGUAUCACUAAGUACACCACAACACCUUGAUUCCUCCCAACUACCCUAUCAGCAUUGAAUUCAUCAAUCUUUCGUUCGAAGGUGACCAUUGAAUUCUUUCAGUACUCUAAGCCUUCUUUGGAACAUUUACGAGACUACAUCUUGAAUCUUCUCAGCCAUAAAAAUAAUUAAACCUAUGAAGGAUUUUUUAAACUCCAGACUUUGUCAAAACUAAAAUAAGGAUCUUGCACUUCAAUAUUAUCCAAUAGAGCUGAAAGUUUUUUAACUGAAAAAAGAUUUACGUUGUUAUGAAUCCAUACAAUACUAUCUUUAAUAUCAAGAUUCAAUCAUAUUCCUUCAACAAGAACCUAUAAAUGAUGAAGCUUAAUCUUUUCUCUUUCCAUUAGUGGCCUAAAGAACAAUAUUUCCCACUGAACAUCAAUAAAACCAUCACAACAUACAUAACCAACAACCAUAACCCAUUUAUUAAUAGCCAAUCUAAACAAGGUUUAUCCUCUCCCCAAAAGUCAAUCUAGAACAAAUAUACUUCGACCAUUACACAAUCGGCUUUUUUAAGAAAUAAAAACCUAAGACUGUUACGAGUGCCAUAUUUUAUGGCAAUGACACAUCUCCAAAGAGCAUGCCUCUAGGUUGCCUAGCACCACUCCAAAGAGCAUCCUGAGACCACUUUUUCUUUUUGGUAAGUACACUUUUUUACACUUCACGCUGACAUCUUAUUGUAUUCAAAACCUUCCCACAAAAAGUCCCUUCUAGCCUUAUCACUUUUUCAAAUAACACUCUUCAACAUCUCAAAAAUGGACAUGUAAUACACUGGAAAUGCUGAAAGCACAAAGUUAAUUAACACUAAACGACGAACAAGAAAAGUGAUUACGCCCUAACGUGCGAGCGUCGAGGCUAUGAAUCAACACAAAUACAAACAAUAAACUUGCGGUGUACUGCAAGUUUGACAGUUCAGUUGUAAUAUUUAUAGUGUUACAAUGGAACACAAUGAAUAUUCCAGGGAUCGAACCCAAGAGAGUUCAAGGACAAUGUGAUCAAUGUGAAACAAGCAUACAAAUAGGAAGGCCAUCUAACUACUUGCUAAAUAUCAUAUUACAACAAAUCAUAUCAAAUAGGUAAUUACACUAAUUGCACAAUUUACAAUUCAAUUAACACAAGCGGUUGGUUGACUUUCAUGUUGCUAAUUAGCUUUUGGAUUAGGGAUAUAAAAAGAUUAAACUUUUAAUUGGUUAAAUUUUACCUCUCGGUCACCAUUUUACCAAAUUAGACGAUUUAUCCGGUUUAUCUCUCAACCUUACCGAACUAACUCGAGACAAUGAAAGUGGUUCUUGAUAGGUUCACCUUUUGAUCUCACCUACUUAAGUAUUCACAUAGAGUUGUCAAUUCUAGGUUUUGAAGUUUAUUCAAUUUAGUCCAAUUUUUAUAAUUUAGUCCCUAUACGAAAAAUUAACCAAACAACAUUUCCAUCAACCAACCAUCAUAGAUUUAGCUACCCAACAUAAUUUUUAUGUAAAUAACAAUCCAACACAUACUCAAAUAACUCAUUAAAAUAAACACAAGAGUAAGGUUAGAAAAAGCUUAGGAAUUUCUUGGAUGGUUGCUUGGAGAAGAUGACGUCAACAACAAUGAAGAAGAAAAUACAAAUGAAGUUCUGAUUUUUUAUGCUUUGUAAAGUAAAUAAACUAAAAUAUUUUGAAGGCUUUUAAAGAAAAUCAAAUACAAAGUAAGUUCAAGACUAGAUUGCAAAGAAGAAAAAAAGCUAUAGUAAAAACUAACUAAACUAACAACCAAAUUAACUAAGCUCAAAAAAGUAAUGACCUAAACCUAACAAUGAUGAAGAAGACAACUACUUAAGCUAAAAAUAUGAAAAAUAAAGUUGGCUUCUUUAGUUUUCAGCCAAAAGUGGCUUUUAUCAAUUGAGUUCAAUUCCAAAAUCUUGACAAAAAUACUCCUAAAAGUUAUGUCUUGGCUUAGGUUGGUGUUGGACAAAAGACUACCCUGCUGCAUUUUUCACUUUGUCAGGCAUCAGUGUCACAAUGCCCUCGAUAGUGGUGCACUAGUAGUUUUAAGUGUUCUCAAUGUCGCGUAGGGGUUCUUGAUGUUGCGGCAUCCAUUAGUUGGUGUUAUGACAUCACUGAUGGUGACCAUAAUUUCUUCACUUCAACACCUUCAGGGAUAUCAUGACCUUGGAGGCUCAAUGUCGCAACUCUCUCGACAGUAGGCUCCAGGUUGAUUUUUAGUUGAAGUUUUACAUCCUCAAGGUAAAGGGGUUCGGUGUCACGGCUUCAAUAGCAUUAGUGUUGUGAUACCUAUGUUGAAUGUUGUUUUCCUCAAAGUUGGACCAUUUUUGUCUCCCUACACCAGCUCAAACACCUUGUUAGGUCUCUCAUGGCACCAUUUUGUCAAUUUGAGUCUUAAAAGGAACAAAACUAAUCAAAAACAUUUAUUAAUAGUGAAAACUAAAAAUCAACAAAACUUUAGAAAAGACACCUAAAUUGCUUGAGAAUAAGCUCCUUGAGUGUUUUGGAAAGCCUAAUUUGACGUAUCAAAUUACGAAAAAUAAAAAAGGGAUCUAUUUUACCACAUCAUGAUCUUUUUGGGGUCUUUUCCCCUACGAGAUCCCAAUUACUAAUUCAUCUUGAAUCUACUCCCAACAGUACACCUAAAUAUAUAAACAGCAACUCAUUUUUUUUUAAUUUACAUAAAGUUUUUGUUCUUAAAUGGAACCCUUCUUCAAUCACAAUGGCAACCAUAUCUUAAAUAGAACCCUUCUUCAAUCCCAAUGGCAACCAUAUCUUAAAUAGAACCCUUCUUCAAUCCCAAUGGCAACCAUAUUCAAUUUUUGAAAAUUGACACUCAACCUAGAAUAAAUUUCAAAACAUCCCAGAAUACCUUUCAUGUUUAGCACCAUCUCUGUUGGGAUCUAAUGCCCUUAGUGUAGUGAUUAUGCUUAUCUAUUUGUAAUUUUUUAAACAAAUUAGUUUAAUAAAACCCCACCACCAUCAUUAAUAUCUUUUGUAUAUUAUCCCCAAACAGUUUUUUUGCAUGCAAAGCAAAAUGCAAGAAAACAUUAACUCAUUUAUUGUCUAUUAUAGAGAUCAAUUUUUUUAUAAUUAGAGAAAAGAAAAAGCUACAGAAUAGUCCUUACAUUUCAAUUCGUUAGCUGGUUGUGUUAGGUAAGUUUAUACAAUUUAAAAUUAUUAUAAAUGCUGAUUAAUUGUGUUAUAAAUACUUAUAUAUAUACACACUGAAUGAAUCUUGAAUGAAAUAGCACUGGUAUAAAAGUUGAGUUUGGACUCAACUGAAAGGUAAAUAGACAUGUAUGUGAUAAAUAUAUUCUGCGUAAAGUAACACAUGAUAUUAAGAUGAUGUUGAUAUAUGCUUUGGUGCUUGGGAAUAUUAUAGUAACAUGAAAGUUCAAAAUCAAGUAUAAUUGCCCGUUUGAACCUAGUAAACAUUUAGGAUACAACCGGCAUGCCAUUAGGUUAGAUGUGCACUUAUCUUGUUAGCACUAUGGUGAUCUUGAUAGUACUUUUGUACUCAUGUUAGCACUACGGUGCUCUUGAUAGCACAUUUGUGCCCUAUUAUGCAAUUUGGUGCCUUGUUUGCACUUCGGUGCUUCUGUAUGCACAUUUGUGCCCUAUUUAGCACCUUAGUGCUCCUUGAUACUAUGACCGUAUAUCUUAAUCCUUUUACUAUUAUUCACCUAGAUGUCUUGAUUAAAUAAGAGAAGUGAUUAACUUGUUGAUUGGAAUAAACAUUGAAUAUUUGGAUUGAAUUGAUUGAAAUGUUUUAAUGAUUUUCUUGUUACAUGAAUAUAUGAAAAACUUACCUGUUUCUUUUGAAAUGAAAUGUCAAGAUUGAUUAUGCCAUGAAUACUUAGUUAUAUAACUGUAUUUUUGGUUUACAAGGUAAGUUAGUCCAUAUGUUUUAUAUGAACUUACUAAGCUUUCAUAAAGCUUAAGUAGGUUUUGUUUCUUAUUUCUUGUAGUUGACAUUUUGCGGAACACGACUAUUGUAACACCCCUAACCUAUAUUCGUCGCAGGAAUAGGGUUACGAGGCAUUACCGGAUAAUACACAUCAUUCACAAACUUUUGCGCAUUCAUAAUCUAAAUCCAUUCAACUCAUUCACAUUGUCCCUUAUAAGAUCUUAUGAGGCCUUAAAACAUGCUUAAAAGAGGCUCAGGAUUAAACCGAUAACAUUUAAAAACUUUGGGAAAAUUAGAAAAAUUUCAUGCAUUCAGGGGUCACACGCUCGUGUGAACAGGCUGUGUGCCUCACACAGCUACCAGACACACCCGUGUCACAGACCAUGUGAAAACAGGGCAUACAUACUGACUUGCACUAUACGGCCGAGGACACGCCCAUGUGCCAGGCCGUGUGAAAUCUAGAGGGGUUACUGACUUGGGUCACACGGUCAACCACAUGCCCAUGUGCCAACCCGUGUGCCACACACAGCUAGUAGACACGCCCGUGUGUCUAGGUCAUGCCAAACCUAUAAGGUAUACUGACUUAAUUCAAAAGGGUACCCUACGGGACACACGGCCGUGUAUCAAGGCAAUGUGUCACACACGGUCAAGCCACACGCUAGUGUUCUCAGCCGUGUGGAAAGAAAAUAGGCUUAGUUAAAGCCACAUUUCUCACCCUCCUCAUACCUUCCUACAACAAUAUAUUUUAUACCAUUUCAACAUAUUUAUAGGCAUCCAAAACAUCAUCAACUCAUGCACAAUUCAUGCUAUAAUAACACUAGCCAACUUAAUACACAUUUACUACUCUAAUCAUAUAGAUUUCAUAUGCCAAAUUCAUCCAUUCCACCUAAUUUCAAUAUGCAUUUAUUCAUAUUUAAAAAUAACUAACUUAAAACUCAAAAUAACACCAAUUCUAUACCUUAAUCUCAUAUCAUACUAUGCCAAAUUUACAAGGCAAAUCAUUUAUAUCACAUAGGAUAUAUAAACACAUUCUAUAAGCAAAAUUCACAUCCCACAACUUUACCAAAUACAAGCCAAAUCACGUAGCUAUAAUUCCAUAACACAAAAUGUACCAUACAUGCCAUAUACCAUAUAUACAAGGCUUCAAAAGUACCAAAAAAUAAUCGAUAGUGUGAUGACAGUUCUUGACGAUCCCUGAGUCCAAGCUAGCUUUGAUUAUCUAUAAAAUAUAGACAAAUAACACACAAUAAGCUUCAUAGCUUAGUAAGUUCGUAAGUAAACAUCUCAAUUCAUCAAAUAAAUGUAAUUUAACUAUUUUCACAUUACCAAAACAAAAUCACAAACCUUUAAACAUGAUCAAAUACCAUCUCACUAAACUUGCUCAAUCUAAUACUCGAGUAAGUUCCGGAUGUACCUGUAUCACCUCGUACUAACCUCUUUCUCAACCACAUCAUUUCUUAUACUCGUUGAGCCAUUUGAAAUAGAAUCGGAUACUCAAGGAUCACAAUCGAUAAGUACCUAUACCAUGGCCCGUAGCCAAAUCAAGGUAACUUAUCCUGGAGUACCUAUACCAUGGCCCGUAACCAAAUCAAGGUAACUCCUCUCUGAAUACCUAUACUAUGGCCCAUAGCCAAAUCAAGGUAUUAUUUGCACCCAAAGUGCUGAUAUCAUGGCUUGAAGCCAAUACAUUAACCUAAUGACAUGUCAUUAGCAUCCUAACUAUUCUUAAGGUUCAACAGGAAAGUUUCACUUGUUGAUUUCAUCGUCGAACACAUCCAUAUAGUCGUAUUCACCAUUCAAACAUUAUUCGUAAUCUCAUAAUAACAUUUUAUGCAAUACAAAAGCAUAUAACAUACAUUUAUAAUGAAAUUACAACAUACGAACUUACAUCGUACUCGGAAUUGACGAAUUGGAUCAAUUACUCAAUAACUUUCGAUUUCCUUGGAUCUAAAUCUGAAUUCUUUCUUUCUUGAUCUUAAUCAAGGCUUCAAAGGCCCGAACCCUAAAACAUAUUCUAAGCUUCCAUUUCUUUUGAUUUCCGGUGAAGAAGAUGAUAAUUUAGGCUUAUUUUAACUUUGUUUUAUUUAAUAUUAACUUAAUAACCUAAUUACCAUUUUAACCUUAAUAUAAAACAUUUAAUAUCAUCCAUUUAAUUCCCAUUUAUAUAAAAUUCCACUAUCAAUGGUCUAAUUACAACAUAAGGACCUUUCAUUUAAUAAUCCAUGGUAAUUAAGCACUUUAAACAAGUAGAAUGCAACUUUUGCAUUUUACGCGAUUAAGUCUUUUUUCUCAAAUUGAGCUAUUAAACGAUAAAGUUAGCUCACGAAAUUUUCACACAUAUAUUCACAUGCUGUAAACACCAAAAUUAAUAUUAAAAUAAUUUUCCAAUCUCAGAUUUAUGGUUCCGAAACUACUGUUCCGAUUUAAGCUAAAACCAGGCUGUUAGAAUAAUCGAAUCUCUUUAAAGCUCACACUAUCCUGCAUAAACUCAGUAGCUCUUUUGAAAGGCUCUUUAUUGGUUAUAUGUCCUGUAUAUAGGUUAAAUGUUUAAGUUUUAUUUUGGAAAGAAAUGAUGUGAGACAUGUGAACAUUUUUUUUAUUUCUAUGGUUCAUAAAUGUUUAUAUAUGUAUGUGCUUUAUGUGGGUAUACAAAAGUUUGGAUGAAGAACUAUUAUUGACCAUUUGUGUUAAAUGUGAUUUUGGAAGUUGGUAAGUUUCAUCAAGGUUGAGAUGAAUGUUUUGGAAUGUAUGCAUAUUGGUGAUGAAAUGUUUAGAUGAAGUAUGUUAUAUGUACAACAUAUUGUUGUGAAAAGGUGCCUAUGAGUCAUAUUGGUUAGAAGACUAUGAAAUGUUUAUGUAUGAUAUGUUUUGAGAUGUAUUGAAAAUGAUAUCAUGGAUGAGUAAGACUUGUUUUUUAAAUGUUGAUUGCUUAGGUCAUUAAGCUUGUUAAAAAGAAAGGUCUAUGUCAUAUGAAUGAAUGGCCAUAAGAAUGGUUAGUUACAUGUUUGAUAUGAUCGUUGAUUAGUUUUUGUACAUGUUGUUUUGCCAUUUAUACAUUACAUGAAUCAUAGGCUUGCUUUAUAUAUGAUGAACACUUAAAAUGACAUAUAUUUGUCCCGCACGGCCUAGCAUACGGGUGUGUGUCUCACACGGGCUGGCCACACGCCCAUGUGGAUACUACAGGUUUAAUCGUAUUCAGAUCAUACAGUCACAGUUAGUUACACGACUUUAACACUUGGCCAUAUAACAUAUGUACACACGGGCACAACCUUUCACAGAGCCUGGCCAUAUGGUAGUAUGACUCAUGUUUUCAUGUUUGCCCUAUUUUGUUGCAAAAUUUUUAAUUUGAUCCUUAUUUAAUCCCGAACUUGUUUUAGAGCUUUCAAAAGCUUGAUUGAGACCCGAAUUAUUUUAUCAAUAAUGUUUUACAUGGAUUAUGAAAUGUAAAAUUGAUUUUUAAGCCAGAAUUGUAUGUGAUUAUCUUUGUUUACUAUAGUGACAUCUCGUGGCUCGAGUUUGGUGACCGGACCAGGUACAGGGUGUUACAACUAGGGAUGCAAAACCCUAGUUUAUUUAAUUAGGGCUGUCGCCCCAUCUAAUCCUAGUUAGACUAGGAGUUUGUUUUUCUAUUGAAAUAGACUUCUACAAUUCAAUAAGAGUUUCACAUCUUCUCUCUAUAAAUAGAUGACAUCGAUAAGGAUAAAUACAGAACUUUAAGAUAUUUUUAUUUUGCCCGAAAAUAGUGAUAAUUUAUUUUCUAAGUAUAAAUAAUAUUUUCCAGAAAAACAAUUCUGUUGGUUUCUAUUGAGAAAGAUUUUGCUUUCACACUAAAAGUAAAAUAAACAAUUUCCAGUUCUGUGUUUGAUUUGAAUCGUUCCAGCCAAUACUCAAAGUAAUUCAUGGUAUGAUAAUAGUGAAAAAGGUCGUUCGGUUGAAAACCAGGAAUGAUAAGGAUUCGUCUGGCCGAAAACAAAUGUGUGAUUUCGGUAAAGAGUUUAUUGCUAUAAAUAUCACAAAUCGACUCAGUUUUCAAAUUUUUUAUUUUUCGCUAUGCAAAAAAACUAUUUUCGAACUGGAUUUUUUCCAACAAGCUCCACUUCUACUAUGAUUUCUAACUUAUCUCCACUAUUGCUCACUCUUCCCAUUAACUCUUUUUCUUUUCCUUCCAAAUUAACCUUUGGGCCACCCUUACUCAAUUUUAAGACUUAUUUAUUUCCAUCACCUUCAUUCUUCCUCCCAUUCAGCAUACUUCUAUCAAUUUUCCUCCAAUAAGUCAUUCUUCUAUUGAAACAACCUUUCAAAACACUUAUUUUGAAGCCAAAUGUUCAAAACCAAUUUUUCUAAUAAUAUAACAACCUAAAAUUUACGGGUAUCAGAAAAGUGCAUUUUUGAGUCACUGUUUUCGUAAAACGGAUUCGUAAAUAUUUAUUAAAAAUAUUUGCGAAGUUUAUUGUGUGGUUAAUUAGGUUUUGGUUAGGUGAAUUAGUUUGAAUUAAGGUUAAUUAGAUAUAAUGAUUAAAUUGAAUAAAGUGUGAAAGCUUAAUUAUAGAACAGAGAAAAGUUAAGGGACUAAAUAAAUAAAUAAACCAAAUUGUGACAAUUGUGUGGUAAAAAUAAAGUACAUGUGUAAUAAUAUACAUACAUACAUUUGUAAUACAUAUAUAUUUACUUAUUAUUUAAGAAAAUAAUAUUAUAUUAUUAUAAUUAAAAUAAAUAAAUAAAAGAAACAAAAAUAAUUAAAACAACAGAAUGGAAAACGAAACAGAGAAGGUGAAAGGAGAAAGAAAAGAAAAAGGAAAAACUAGGGUUUUAAGGUUCAAGCCUAAUUUGGUAAGUCAAUUUAGUACAUUUUCUUGUAAUUUUGAUGUUUUUAGAAUCCUAGAACAAAAUAUUACUUGAUUUAAGUUGAAAUUUUAAAAGUUAGUGAAUUUUUAGAUGUUGUUCAUGUUGAAUAAUUUGAAGUAUUAGGGAUUAAAUUGAUAGAAUUUUAAGUUAGAAGUGAAAGGGAUUAAAUUGUGAAAUAAAUUAUAGGUUUUGAAGUAAUAUGGACUAAAUUGAAAAAAUUUUGAAAUUAGAUAUUUAUGGUGAAAUUAGAUAGUUGAAUUUAGUUUUAAGUGUUAAUUGAAUGAAAAUAAAGAAUAAAUUGUGAAGAAAAUAAAGUUAGUUUUGGUUAGGGACUAAAUUGGAAUUUAGGAAAAAGUUGUGUAUAAAUUAAAAUCAAUGUUAAAUUGUAGUGUAUUGAUAAAUUUUAAUUGUUUGAUUUUCGUAGCUAACGUUGAGUCAGAGACCUCGGUUAAGAAAGGAAAAGACAAGAUUAUCGAGGAGUAACUCGAGAAUUACGGUUUGUAUUUCUAUAAUCCGAAUCUAAUUAUUAUUAAUUGUUGUAUUUUGAUUAAUAAGUAUGGUAAGUGAAAUGAGGUAAGUAUUGAUUUUAUGAUGUUGAAAUUGAAUGCUUGAAAAUAUGUGAAUGUUAAUUAGUAAGGGAUAUUGAUUGAAAUGGAAAAAGUGAUUAUUUGAAAUGUGUAUUGAUGGGAAAUUGAAAAGUGAUGUAAAACCCUAUUAGCUGUAUCGGGCUAAGUCGAAUAUAGUUGGCACAUAGGAUUGGAAGUGUUCAGAGAUACUUCGACCAUGAGUCGAUGAGACACUAGGUGUCAUAUUAUUACUUCGGAUAAGUUCGAUGAGGUACUGGGUACCACUUUACUUUGGCAUGGCCAAUAAGACACUAGGUGUCAACUUAUUGCUUCAAUUAUCCAAUGAGGCACUAGGUGCCACACUUGUGUGUUUUGGUUGGAUCCGUGUAUCCGCCAAAGUCCAAGUUGUGUUAAUAGGGAUAAAUAAAUGAAUUGGCAAAAAGAUUGAUAUUGAAUAAUAUUGAAUGUGAAUUUGAAUUUGAAAUUGGACAUUGAAUUGAAUUGUACAAAUGAAAUGCACGUACUAAGAGUUCCUGAAAAGAAUAUUGUUAUUGCUAAAUGAUAUGUGAAUCAAAGUGAGAAAAGCUAUUUGAAUUAGCUAUUGAUGAUAAAUGAAGGUUAAAUGUAGAAAAUGAAUUAUUGAUUGACUAAUGUUUAUAUUUGGUUUAAAGUGUAUGUUUUAUAAUGUUAUUUCCUUUAAAGUAUUUAGAUUAUAAAAAUACCACUGAGUUUUAUACUCAGUGUCUGGUUUGUUUCUGUGCGCAAUUUAGGUUAAAGUUGAAUUGCCGAAUCAGCAUCCAGAGCCAAUCCCAAACUCAAGUGGUGAAGUUUAUUUCCUUUUAGUAAUAGCAUGUACCUAUGAUGUUAUACUGGUCAUUUUGGGAAAUGAUUGUAAAUAACUUAUAAAAUGAUAUUAGUUACUUAUAUAUAUGAAUUAAUAUAUGUAUGUCAUAUCAGGGUUAUAAAUGGUGGGUUUAAGUUAAUGCAAAAUGAGUAUGAAAUAGGCUAAAAUUUAAGUUGAAUUGGCAUGUAUUUAGAUAUGGUUUGAAUGAAGUAAUAUUGAGUAAUUUUGAUUAAAUUAUGUAAUGUAUUUAUGUUGGUAUGUUGGUUAGAUCAUUAGAUUGAUUAUUUGGCAUGUUUUGGAUGUAUAUGAAUGUGUUUUGGAUUGGUUGAAUAAUUUAAUUUUGAGUUGCUUGUUAUUUAAGAUUUGCAGCGUUGAUAAACUUGAUGUAUAAAGUUCAUUUUGAGUCCACACGGCCUGGCACACGGGUGUGUGACCAGACCGUGUGAGACACACAGCUUAUACACGGGCAUGUGGUUAGGCCGUGUGUUCCCGGUAACUUAAAUUUUCAAAACAGAAUGCUUAGGUAAAACCACACGGGAAGAGACAAAGGCGUGUGUCUCAGCCGUGUGAAGAACACGGCCUAGCACACGAGCAUGUGGCUUAGCCGUGUGAGGUAAGUCAAGGAGUUACACGGGGUAGGACACGGCCUGAAGCACGGGCAUGUCACAGGGCCACACAGGAUUGUCCCUUAACUACACGGGCGUGUGUGCCCUACACUUAGAAAAAAUUUUUUAAAUUUCGCGAAAAAUUUUCUAAACUUCAAUUAAGUCCCGAUUUAUUUCCAACACAUGAUUUGAGCCUCGAUGGCUCAAUAAAGGGACAUUAUGAUUAAAUUAUGAUGUAUAUGAUAAAUUAUUAUAUGAUUUUAAAAAAUCUGGUAAACGGAUAAGGGUUAGGGGGUGUUACAAAUAACACGUCUAGCAUCCACCUUCUGUGCAAACAUUAUAAAUCUGAACCUAACACCCUUUUUAUUAUGUUUUGCUAGAUUGAAAAAACCCACCACUUUCCCAUGGAGUUCAAAGACUUUCCACAAUCCUUUCUAAUGGAAUUGAAGAGGGAUACUAAAAACAUACAACAUUGUCGCCAUGCUUUUUUUGCAAGUUUUUUACCAAUUGCACCUUAAAGAAAGGAUGAUGGAGUGUCUAUCUUAUUUUGAUUGGCAAUUUUUUUACUAAAUCUGUUUGGACCUUAAUUUGGUGAAUGUUGGUGCUUGUUAGCAACCCAUUAUUGAAGACUAAAUAUGUUAGAAUCAAGUCAAGGGUCGAAUUGAAGACUUUCAAUACAAUCAAAGUUCCCUUAAAUAAAAGAUUUGAUCUUCAAAGGAGUUUGGCUACUAGAAAACCUCUUCCAUUAUUGAAUAUUGAAAACCUUUUAAAGUGGUUAUUUAUAAGAAUAUGUUAUUGUAAUUCAACAAGCCUGUUUACUUGUAUAUAUAUUGAAAGACUUGUUUAGGUUAAAAGCAUGAAUUGAGAAAGGAUUAUACCUGUUCAAUUAGAAAGUGUUUUAUUGUGUGCAAAUUUUGUAAGUAAACUGAAUUAAGUCAAUCAGUUUACAUCUAAACUUGAAGGAGGAAAGCCUUAAAGGGAGAAUAUCUAACUUGAAGUAUAGGAGUGAGAUUGCCCUUAGAGGGAGAAUUAUCUAAGUUGCUACUUGAUGGGUGGAUUGAACUUCAAUCAUACUUACUUGUUGAAUAUAAUGAAUUAACUAUUUAGAUAAAACUUAUUAGUUGUAAAAUAAAAUCAAACUAUAUAAACUAUUUUUUAGUAUUCAUCUCUAUUUAUUUUUUUUUUUUGCAGUUAGAACUUAACAAAUAUCUAAUUUUUUUUUAAAGAUAACACAAUCAACUAUAUAAAAAUUUCUUGCCUUUUUAACUUCAAUUAUUUACCAAAUCUAUUUUGCUAAUAGUUUAAUAUACUCAUAUAAACCAAACAUUUGGAUUUGUCUUUUUAGAUUCAUGGCGCUAUUUUUGAACAUGAGAUUCGAAAUGUGUCAUGUAAUACGUUUAAAUAAAUUUGACUCUAGUUGUUUAAUGUUCAUAUUCAUAGAAAUAGGAAUUUGGAGCCCUAUUUUAGGCAUCUGGAUCUUAGAACGUCAUUUCCAAAUCUGGGGUUCGAAAUAUGUCAUGCAAUACGUUCAAGUGAAAUGACUAUUAAUCAUAUAUACAUAUAAAUUAAGGUAAUGAUGGUCUGAUCAUAUAAUAUAUUAAAUCAAUUCCACAAAAUAAAAUUCGAGUAUAUAUAUUCGUGCAUUGAUCAUAGCAUACCUCACCAACAGCAUUGACGACAGGCUGUUAAUCAUUCACAUGGAAAGGUCCCAAAAACAUUGCUUUCACCAACAAUGUUCAUAUUCAUGGAGAUGUACCCUUUUGGGGCUAUAAAAAAAAACGGGUUCAUAUGUCAGUUGUCAAGCAAAAAAUCAGAAAUAAAAAGGCACCCAAUACUUUAACUAGUCACGUUGAAUUGAUUACUUGUAAAAUAUUUUACAAAUUCAUAACCAUUCAAAAAAAUAUAAAUAAAUUUUAAUUUUUGAAUAACUUAAACUCAUUAAAUUAUGAGUAAAUUUUUAUAUUGGUUUUUUCUAUUAAUAUCAAUCGAAAGUUUUUUGUUCCCUUCUUUUCUACAAUCAGUUUUUUCAUGAAUUUACAAACAAAAUUCAAAUAAUUUUUUUCGUCGAUCUUCGACACUGACUAUCAGAUAAACUUGAGUCUAAAGUAUGCUAUUCUACUCAUUGAUGGGUACUAAUCCACCAUACCAAUCGUCGAAUCAUCACUUGAAACUUGCUGGCGGAACUUUUAAAAAAAAUAGACUUAACAACCUAAAUAAAAACUUUUAAAUAGUUUAGUGGCUUAAAUGAAUACUUUCGAAUAGUUUAAUGAUCAAAUUGUAACUUCUUUUAAUUAAAUGAUCAAAACAAAAAUUUACCCAUAAUUUAAUACUUAAUAAUAUAAUUUAUCCUUAUUUUUAAAACACAAUCGAAAAUCAAAUUCAGAAACCGUUUCGACAUUGACCAACGCUAAUGGUAAAAAAUUUCAACUACGUAAACAGACCGCAAGCAAUCAAAAACUAACUUUAGAAUAAAUAGCUUUCAGCAUGCAUAUAUAUAAUGAUAUAUAUAUAUAUUAUCAUAUGUAUAUAUAUUAUCAUAUCUUUGCAGUUAGGCAAUGGUCAACCUAGCAAUUUGUUUUUACAAAAAAUAGAAAAAUUCAAAGGUCGAUGCUCUUCUGAGGAAGGCUUUCACUAUAUUUGAAACCCUAAAGGGAUAAAAAAUGAAUAAUUUAAUCAGUUUCCGACAUAUUGGUGUAUAAGAGUUUUUAUUUUCCAAGUUUGCUUGUCAAAGAAGGGAUGGUCCACUGCAUUAAAGGUUACAGAACCUAGACUAAGUACAUUGUUUUCAACUGUAAGAGUUGAAAGACAUGACUUUUUAACGUAGAUUUGAUGGAGUUUGAACAACAUUAUCCGAAUUGUCCAUCUCUUUGAUAAAUUUCUAGUGGUUGAGAUAAGGGUUUAGUGAACAUGAUUGCAUGAUCUGCUUUCCUUUCUAUCAUUUUUUUCCCUUUGAUAAACAUGGACCCGUCACCCGUGGGAUCUAUCUCUUAUCUUGAGAUUGUGACAUUUGGUUUCUGGUUUAUUUGACUUUGGAUACCAUGUACAGUGAAUGUCACCUUGAACACUAAGUUUAAAGCUUUAAAAUGGUGAUCAGAAUCGCAUGCACCAGAUAAAUGCAACCCUAAGGAGCUUAUAAUCCAAAACAAACUUAAAUUUUGAAAAAAAUUCUUCUUUGUAGUCUCAUUGUUUGUUACUAUAUAUCCCUCAAAGUUACAUCAUGGUUCCAACUUGCUUGAUUAAUAAUGGAAGGAGCAGCAGGAAGCUUAUGUAGGACCCCAUAAAUAGAACUGAACUUCUAUUUCAUUCCAAGCUGUUGGGCUUUCUUUUCCAUUGAUUUGUAUUUUUCUUUCAUCUUUUUCAUAAUUUGUACAAUGAUCUGUUUAUUUGGAUCUGUCUAAUCUUUCUUACUUCCGAGUCAAAUGAAGGGUGCAAAAUCGCGUAGAUUUCAUCUGUAUGUAUGUCCUGCAAUGUGUUUUCAUAUCCUUUUAAAUAUAUUAUCAAUCUUUUUUUUUCUUUUUUUUUUGGACUUGGUAUCCAAAAGUCAUAAAAAUCCCGAUUAAAUAUAGAGUUAAACCAAAUCGAAUUUUAUAUACUGAUAACUCCUUCCCAAUUCAUAAAUAUAAGGACGAUGCGCUUAAACACACUUAAACUCAUAUUUUUUAAUAUUGAUAACAAUAAUCAUUCCAAUUGAUUUAAAACUCAUUCAACACUAAAAGAAAUAUUUAUAAUAUUAUAACUUACCAAACAUAUCUUCUAUACCAAAAGUAAGUUAUUUUGAUUAAAAAUAUCAGUUUCAUCAAACCCUAUUUGAUCAGUUUCAUCAACCCUCGUUGUACGUCUAGAAGUAGCUAGAAAUAUCUAUCAAUCGAGCCGAGCUUUUUUCCAAAUCUAGGCUCAAGCUCAAUCUAAUUUAACCCGUCCAAAUUACCUAUUUUACAAUUUUAAUAUUAAUAUUAAUUUUUGAGAUUGAAAAAUCUAAACUCAAGCUUUUAACUCAAAACGGACAGCUCCUCCAACCAUGAAUUCCUCUAAAAGAUUUUUUAUAUAUAUAUUUUUUUUUUAUUUUUUGAGAAAUGUUUAUAUUUUAUAAAAUAAAAUAAAAAAAAGUGUAUGGCUACGGGGCCAGAUAGGGAUUCCUGAAAUUAAAAUGAGAAACAUAUAAAAUCAAAGACAAUGGACCGUCCUUUCUUACGCAUAUAAUAUUAAUGUUAGGUAAAGGGACAUGUCUGCUUUCUUUUUAUCCACCUUUCUCCAUCAUUUAUAUAUAAAAAAAGACUUUCUCCAUUUUAUUUCCAGAGAAAGUUCUCCAUAAUUGUAUUUGUAUGACAUUCAACAAAAAAAAUUGUAUUUAUCUGUUGAAAAUAAUUUACAUUUAACACAAUUGGGGAAGCUCAUUUCCAGAAGCAUUGAAUCACCAUCCAUCAAACACGUUUAACUGUAAUUAAUUAUUAUAUUAGUUAAAGCAAAGAUAACCAUAGAUUAUUAUUUCUAUAUUAUUAAUAAUUAUUUUUUAUAACAAUUUACAUAUUCUUAUAAAAAGCAAAUUAUUUACAUGUACACACCACAACUUCAACCUACAAUAUAAAAUUUAAGAUCAACACCCAUAUUCAAUGGAUCAUAUAUUGAAUUUCUUAUUUUAUUUAAUCUAAAUUUACAAUUCUUUUUUUAAAUCAAAAUCAAAAUUACAUUUUUUAUAUGUUUUAUUUAUUUAUUUAUUUUUAUUAUAUUUAAAUAGUUGGUUGAGUUGAUAGAUUUUAUCUUAUUUAAUCAAUUAUUGAUAAUAUUAUGAAAUUAAUUUUUCAUUUUAAAUUAUGUAAAAAAUUAAAAAAUAUAUAUUUAUGGGCAAUUUCACCUAAAGCCUCAUUUGUUGUUAACAUUUUUUAUUAAUUUAUUUGUUACAUUUUUUUUCCAAAGUUACAUAAUAUUUUUUAUCAUCCGAAUUGUGGUGUGUGUCAUAAUCUAGUACUAUAUUUAAGUUUUUGACUACCCUGAUGUCAUCAAUCAAUUGGAUCCCAAUUUGGUCAAAUUAAAAAAAUUACCAAAAGUCUUAAUUUUACAAAGCAAUAUAUAUUAUUUUGAAGAUACUUACAUAUGAUGGGAUUUGGACCAAAAAUAUUAUAAUUUUAGUCUCUCAAUUUUACCAUUUUAACCAAGGUCUAAUUUAGUUAUUAUAUCAAUUAUUUUUCUUUUUAGAUUUGUUACAUAAUGAGUGUGUCAUAAUGUAGUAAAGAAUUAAUUAUUUUUGCGUAUGAGGUCUUGUCAUUGUUUGCAAAAGUUAAGAUCUCAAAUUUAAAUCUUAUUAUGUGCAAUUGUUAUAUAUAUAUAUAUAUAUAUAUAUAUAUGAGUCUUCAGUCUUAUUAUGUAUUGUUAUUAUAUCUCAGUUUUAGUUUGAAUUAUUCUGAUUUUUAAUCUAUUUAUUGAUUUUAUUUUAUUUUAUAAUUAUUUAGACAUAUAUUUAUAAUUUUACUAUAAUUACAUUAUAUUUUUAAAAAAAAGUUGUUUGUUAAUUUCACCAGUCGUUUGUUGACCUAGAUAAUUAUCGUUGGAUUAAAAUAAUAUUUUACUAGGGAACUAAACUAAAGUGAACAAUGGAAUGGAUGAUUGAAAACCCAAUUCUUUGAGCAUAUUAUACGUAAUAAGUAAGCAAGGGUUUCUAGGCUAAGCCAAGGUGAACUAAUUAGUUCCACUAUAAAGAGAGUAAAAAGUAGAGUGACCUGUGAAAAUGGACGACCCAACAGUGUUUUCCACCAUUGGAAACCAAACAUUGCACGUUGGGUGGAUAAUAUAUAUAUAUAAUAUGAGUCUUAUCAAAAAUAUAAUCCAACAUUUCAUGUUAUUUCAUAAGCGCUUUUUUCCAGUUUUACAAGUAUAAAUAACAUAUAAUUAUAAAAACAUAUAUUUGAAUAAUUAUAAAGUAUGGCUAAAUUAAUAUAAAACAUAAACGAAGAAUUAAAAUAUAAUAAAAAUAGUUUAUACGUUACAAAUUAUUUAAUGCUUUUGACUUUUUAGCAUUUUUCAAGCAUUUGUUUUUGAAAAGCGAGUAAUAGGGUUUCAUUGUAUGAGAGAUACAAAUAGAAUUUCAAAACUAUACAAGUGAAGGAAAGAACUCCAUUGAUAUGUAGAAUAAAAGAAGUUUUUUUUUCCGACCAAAAAUAUACUUUUGAUGAAUAUUUCAUCGAAUAAUUUUUUUUUUGGCUGGCAGGAAAAUAAUUUUCUCAAAAUUUAUGAGAAAUGUGAGGGGUUUGAAAUUGAAAUAAUGGCAUAUUCAAGGAAAAUAAAGUAUAUAUCCACUAUGGAUGGAUGGAGUGCCAUUUAUUCACCUUAAGAUUCCUUAAGAGUCAAAAUACUAUUUAUGUAAUUGUUUAAGUUGUGGCUUAUUAAAGGAUGUUCAAUUUUUUUUAAGGAUAAUUUGAAUUCGAAUCAUAGUUGUAAAAGAAAUAUUAUUUAAAUUUUAUUUUGAUUUAUGUAUGUUUAAAAUGACUGAAAAGUAUUGGUGUACAUUAAAAAAAAUCAUGUCAAGUGAAAAAAGAAUUAAAUGUCAUGGUAUUAAUUCAAAAUAUAUAUGAAGGGAUAUUUUUAAGUGACAUGGUAUGUUUUUUGAAGGGUUAAUUUUUAUUUUUUUUAAGAAAAGUCUUUAAAGUGUCAUUCAUUGGGUAGUUAGUUGAACUCCCAACAAUCAAAGGUAUUGUCCCUAUAUCAGGGUUUUGUCCUCGACCUCCUCUAAAAGCCAUGUACAGUUCACUGGGGGCACCUCCCUUAGUGGUGAUAUAAGGAUACAACUUGCAAGACUCAAUGGAGGAUAAAUAAGCUAUGCAUGCAUAUGUUUCCAAGUAUAUUUGUUAAGUGUUAUAUGAUUUCGAAUUUGUUGAAUAAAUGUAUGAUGAAGAGUAAGUGAUAGUCACUAGCUCGAUGAAUUGCAUGAAAUAUAUUAUUAGAGUGCAUGUGGAGUACGAAGGUAUUUACCUUGACAGGGUAAAUGAAGUUAGGAAUAUUGGGGGACUAAAGGAUUGGACGGAUUGAGAAGGGAAUACAGAGGAGUAUGGUUGUGUCGUGGAAUGAUAUUGUCUAGCUUGCUAGAAUGAAACUGUGACGACGAUUAUCGACUGGUCCUUCAGGGUGACACUGUGAUGAUGAUUCAUAGGUUCCAUUGAGCAACACCGUGACGAUGGUCUGCAGGCUCUAUAGGGCGACACUGUGACGACAGUAUAUAGGUCCUACGAGGCGACACCUCAAAGAGGUUCUAGGUGUAAGGCCAUAGCUUGACUAUGGUAACCAAUAGAGUCCAUCAGGACAGUGAACACGAGGAUUUCAAGGUGUAAGACCAUAGUUCGGCUAUGACAACCAAUAGAGUCCACCAGGACAGUAAACACGAAGAUUUCAAGGUGUAAUUCCAUAGCUCGGCUAUGGAAACCAAUAAAGUUCAUCGAGACAAUAAACACGGGGAUUUCAAUGCGUAAGACCAUGGCUCAGCUAUGACAACCAAUAGAGUCUGUCAGGACAUUAAACAUUGGUUCAUACUGAGUAAGACCAUAGCUCAGCUAUGGUGUCAGGUAAAGUCCGCCAAGAUGUUGAACGAUUAUGGCGUGUCUGGACGCUCGUAAAUGGAGUAGUUCAAAGAUCCUCCAAAAUGUAAUGAUAAGAAAAAACGUGUAGAAAUUUCUGAAGUUGCAAGCAAGCCUCGUAACGGUAAUUAACUAUGUUGAGUUAUGGAAAAUCCGCGAGUAUGAGUUCGCAGGUUUAGAUGAAUUAACCUAAAUUGGGGGUUAUAAUAGAUGAUCAAGCGGAACCUAAUUCAAAUAGUCUGUGGGUAAAAGGCAGCCAGAGACGGGUAAGUCCACUGAGAUCUACUCAGAGGUAAUGAUUACUUAAACAGUCUAAUAGGUAGAGUCAAUCAGAAAUCUGCAAAGAAGAUGAGUGUUGACUAGAAUUAAGUAACACCGAUUAGACCACAUAGGGUUAGCAGAAGAAGGAGUUUGCCAAAUGCUACGUUGGACAGAUAUUCUAUUGAAAAGUGGUAGGUUACAGCUCGAUAUAAAUUAGAUGUUAAUCUCAUUUACCCAGAAUUUUGGAACGAGAUAAACCAAAAUUCUAGGGCCAGUCUGUAAGCGUAAUGAUCCGAAAUUAAGGAGAAUAUUGGUGGAAGACAACCAGUGGUAGGCAAUGAACUUUUAUCCAAGAGGUAAGCUGGUUAAUGUGCAAAAAAAUUUGGUGUGAGGCAGAAUUAGGCAAAGACCAUAGAGAUUUUGUAUCAAAAAAAUGAGGCAUAUAAGUUUAAGAUAAAGAAUAAGUUCGUCAACGACGAACUAUGAGAAAGGGUAGGGUGACAAUUACGCCGGUGAGAACUGUAGAAGGCCAAAGAUAGACAUGGAGUUGGGAACUUCUAAUUUUAAAAAUUUUAUUUCCUAAAGUUUAUGAAAGAUAUUUGUGCACUAUUUUCAUAGAAUCUCACUAAGUUCAAUUGAACUUACGAAAUUACUGCAUAUUUGCAAGACAAAUGUUUGACUCAAGAAUCGACGAGAGAGACCAAACUAGAUGCUGACAGUUGGAGGGGUGGACAUAGAUGUCAUUCAUGUGUAUAGAGGGAAAAUUCAUAGAGGCUAUACCUCGAGGACUAAAUCAGAUGUAUUAGUGUUAUGGACUUAAAUCAGAAUUGUAAAUACUAUCAAAUCUACUAGAGUAAUAAAAUUGUAAAAAUUGUAGCAUUAGAACAAUGAGGAUUUUUAGCUAAAGCUAAAUCUUGUAAUUUAAUAGAGUCAAAAUAUUUAUAAUAAGUCAAAAUAGAAGUCAUGUCAAGCUUUCAAACUGAUUGUGACAUUCGGUAUUGAACCUGGCGAUUGGGUAAGAUAUAUGGUGUUACAAUCGCUCCCUAGUGUGCCUGCAUUGGGAUUGAGAAUCAACACAAAAACAAUCAAUAAUAGGGUGGCAUACUGCAGUGUAACAGUUUGAGUUGUAAUAUUUUUAGUGUUACAAUGAAACAUUCAUGUAUUCUAAGGAUCGAACCUAAGAGGGUUCAGGGACAAAGUGAUUCCUAAGCAACAAGCAUGCAAAUAGGAAGUCUAGUUAACUACUCGCUAAGUAUCAUAUUACGAUAAUUCAUAGUCAAGAGUAAAUUACACUAAUCAACUAUCUAACACCAAAGAGGAUCAAAUUGUAAAAUAAGCAAAAUUACACAAGUAAUGAUUCAAGAAACACAAGUGGUUGGUUGACUUUCAUGUUAUUGAUUAGUCAGUGAAUUAGGGAUCUAAAAGGCUUAAACUUCUAAUUGGCUCAAAUUUACCUCUCGGUCACCAUUUUACCAAAUUAGACGAUUUAAUCCGGCUUAUCUCUCAACCUCACCAAACUAACUCAGGCUAAACGAGUUAAUGUUCAAUAGAUCUCCUCUCAAUCUCACCUAUCUAUACGUUCCUUAAAGGCAUCAAUUCUAAAUUUUGAAGUUUAUUCAAUUUAGUCCAUUUUUUACAAUUUAAUUCUUCUACAAAAAACUAACCAAACAACAUUUCCAUCAACCAACCACCAUAAAUUUAGCUACUCAUCAUCAUUUCCAUACAAGCACACUCCUACAUACAAUCAAAACAUACAUUAAAAGUAAGCAAAGAAAAAGAAGGUUAAAGAAAUCUUAGAGUUUUCUUGAUAGAUGCUUGAAGAAAAUGAAGAUGGCAAUAAUAGUGGCGGAAAAUAACCUCUAAAGUUCAAAUUUUUAUCUAAGAAAAUAAAAUGGAGCUGAGUUAUACUAACUACUAAGGAUUAAACUGAAAAUACAAAUAGAGUUGGAGAACUAAAAGGCAAAUAAAACGAAGCUAUGAUAAAAACUAACUAACUAACACCAAAAAAAAAAAACUUAAACUAAACAAUAGAAAUAAAGAACUAAGACAACUAAAAGACUAAAAAGAUGAAAGGAAAGUAAAAAGUGAACAACCUCUUUAGUUCUCAGCCAAAAGUGGCUUUUAACUUAUGAUUACAACCCAAAAUUUUAAAUCAAAAUGCCCUUGGAUGUUGUAUUUUGAAUGGUGUUGGUGUUGGACAAAAACUACCCCUACAGUCAAUUUUCUCCUCAUCAAGCAAUGAUAUCAUGAUACCCAAGCUCUGGUGUCGCGAUAUCCUAGGCAAUAUUGAAAUUGAGAGUCUUGGAGUUCUUGCUAUCGUGAUACCCAUCCUUGUUAUCGUGAUAUUAUCAAAGUUCGCCUUAAUUUUCUUCACUUUAGUACUAUUAGAGAUAUCACAACUUCCAUGGCUUAGUGUCGUGAUACCCUCCAUUUGAAAGAUAAUUUCGAGUUUGGGCCAUUAUCGACUUCCUACACCAACUCAAUCAUAUCGUUAAGUCCUCAUGGCACCAUUUGGCCAAUUUGUGUCUCAAAAAUAGAAGUGUUCAUGGGCUGGGCCAGGUCGGGCCCAAAAAAUGGGCCUAAAAUUUUGCCCAAGCCCAACCCAGAUAAAAAUACUAAAACUCGAGCCCAGCCCAGCUCGCCCGUAUUAAUUUUUUAUAUUAUUUUUAAAUAUAUAUAAUACAUCAAAAAUACUAAAAACAUCAAAAUAUAUAUUUCCCAACAAAUUGAAAAAAAAUUUAAAAAAUAUGUAGACUUAAAUAACACUAAGAUAGAUACGAAUUAACAAGCGAAUGCAUCUAAAAUAAUAAAAAAAUUAACAAAUGUCUUUAAAAUAAUAAAAAAAUUAAUAAUAAAAUAAGUUUUAUACAAUAUCCAAACGAUAACAACAAAAUAGUAGCAACAUAAUAGUAAAAUGGUAGCAAAAUAGGGAGAAAACAACAAGAAAAUAACAUUAAAAAAAUGCAAUUUUUUUUAUCCUUUAGUGAAUUCGGCCCGGGAAAAAAAUACCUUACUCGAGGCCCAACCCGUUUUUUAAAUAGGCCUUAUUUUUUUGUCUAAGCCCAUUUUUCGGGCCUAUAUUUUUGCCCAAACCCUCCCACAUUUCGGGCGGGCCUUCGGGCCAGGCCGAGUAGCCUGUACCAUGAACACCUCUACUCAAAAGGGUAUAAAACUAAAAAAAAUCAUUUAUUAACAACAAAAGCUAAAAAUCGACAAAAGUAAAGAAAAGACACCUAAAUUGCUUGAGAAUAAGCUCCUCGAGUGUAAUGGAGAGCCUAAUUUGACAUACCAAAUUACAACAAAUCAAUAAAUUGUCUCCAAUGUUGCAGAAAACCUAGAACUUCUUAAACACACAUUAAAAAAUCCCAACUUAGCUUGCCGUAAGCUUUAAACAUAUCAACUUUAAGUGCCACAAGAAUUCCCUUCCUUUACCUCUUUGAUCGGAUGAUAUGAAUGAUUUCACCACCCAAUAUUACAUUAUUCAUGACACUUUUCUCUCUAACAAUGACAUUUUGAAAAGGUGAAACCAAAUCUUUCAUCAAAUUUUUUUAAUAGUUAACAAGUGAUAAGUGCUCACAGAUCAUGUAUUUUAUGCUCUUAUUGCUUUACUUUUUAUUGAUCUUCAUGUAAAAAUCAUGUCUUAGCUUCAUUUGCGUAGUUAGUGUUACUUUUGCAUACAUUAGCUUUUUUUUUCUUUAUUUCUACUUUGAUUUUAUAUUAGUUAGUAUUAAAUAAUUAUUUUAAUAUUUUCGUGACUUUAAUUAAGUGCAUAUGAGCUUGGGAUACAAUAUUGAGGAUUUCCGUGAGCAAAACUGAAUGAUAACAAGGAGGGACAAAAAACAAUAAAUGGGCCACGACCCAAAAUACUUGGGCCCCAACGUAAAAUUGCACAACUUAAUGCCCAGACUUAACGCCCCAACCCAAACGCAAUGCCCUAGCAUGAUGCCUUCGGGUGCCUCAACGCAAAGACCUUGUGAGCCCCAAUAUUGUGAUACCAAGCCAUUGUGUCAAUACUUGCAUACCAUGGAAUUUCUCGCCAUUUUGAUUUCAGACUCAAGGUUAUUUUUGUCCUUAUUCAAAUAUUAAAGUCCAAGCAAAUAUUGUAGCCUAAUUUAGGUUAAAUAGACUUUAUAAAUAGGAUAUUUUUAGAGGGUUAGAAACUUUUCUUCCAUUAACUUUUAACUUAUUGCAAACUUAUUGCUUUUUUGCGUUUUUCUUAUUCUAUGGAUUGUUAAACCCUAUUUUCUAGUCAAAGGAAUUUCAAAGUUAUGAUUCUACAAAGCUUGUGACAUCUAAGUGUUCUUAAUCUUUUCUUUGUUCUUUGGUAUUUGCAUGUCUUUUGAUUUAAUUACAAACAUUCAGGUUUGUUAAAUAUAGGGCUCGUAUUCAAUUGCUUAGAAUAUUUGUCUUGUCAGAAUUAUUAAAUCUAUAAUUAUUCAAUUUAUUCUAAUACUUGUGAUGAGCGGCAUAGGUGGGUAUGACGAAGAUAUACAUUCUAUGUUGUGUAGGCAUGUGAUGUAACUUAAAUAAACCUUAUUUGUGUGUUUAUUGGUUAGAAUUGAAUCUCUUUCAUUCUUAAUGCUAUAUAGAUAAAAUCCUAAGCAUUCAUUAUAGGAUUAUUUAUCGAUAAGAGAAAUAAUUAAUGUCAUUCAUCUUGACUAUCGAAAAUGUAAAAAGAGAUCGAUGGUUACUAGAUAUUUGUUGGUAACUAUAACCAAUUAAUUAAAGAACACUAAAAAUUAUAUUUACAUUAAUGAUUAAAUUCAUGAAUCAAAUGAAAAAUUUAUCUUUGGUUGUAGCUUCAUCUUAUUAACUUUCCCUCAACUUUUGAUUAUCAUUUUUUUUUGUUAAGUUUUAAUUUUAGUUUUCUUUAAAAAGAAACCUUCGUCUUAUUUAUUAGAAUUAUCAUUGGUCUGUAUCGAUAAGAUACUACUUACUACUAUUUGUAAGUUUAUUUUUUAGUAUGAAUUAUUUUCAGUGGUCUUGAUAAUCGUACAAAUUUUUGCGAUGUUGCUGGUGCAGGACUUCGUUGCAGUUCGAUUUCUUGAGUGCCUCGACGCGCACAAUGCAUACCCCAUCACCCUGAAGUCCCUUCUCUUAAUGAGUAAUGACGAUCGUGGCACAACGCAAACUUGACACCUCAAAAUUCAAAGCCUGCACACUUCGACACAAGAUCUGGUGCCCCAUCACCACUGAUCUCCUUGGCCUCGAUGUUUGGCAACGCUAUUAUUCGUGCCCCGACACUUUCGAUUCCACACCCUCGUAUCAUGCUUCUCGCACGAUGUAGAUGAAAGAAAAAACUUUAUUAUUAAGAAAAUAUUAAUUAAAAAUUUUUAAACCAUCGAAUCAUAGGUAGAAUGUAACUCUUAAAUGAAUCUAAUUCGUAUUAGAUCGAAUCAAUUUAGAUAAAAUCAAUUUGAGUUUUAAGAUAUUUUUGUUGAGGUGUGAAUUUUUUAGUAGUUUCAAAUAUUUUAUAUUUUAAAUUAUUUUAAACUUAAAUUAUUUCAAAUUUCGUGUUUAACUUCUUAGUAAUCAAAACCUAUUUAAUUAAAUUUAGAUUCCAACAUAUGGAAACAGAUUUUUGAAAUCCUAUCAACAUUGAUAUGUCUAUUUCUACAGUGGAACAUUAAUAUAUUGAAGAAAAUGAACAGAUCUCCCAUGAACUUGAUUGACUCCCUUGCUCUCAACUUAUAUGAAGCUUCUCUCUUUUGAGUUUGGAGUUAAUUUCAUUUUUUCUAUUUUCCGUCUCUUUUACCGUAGAGGUGUGGAGCCCAAAAAUGGACCUCUGCUUUGCUGGCUUCAAGCUCGCCAUUGUUGGUUUUUUAUGGGUUUUGCCUGCUGAGAAUUAGAGGGAUAAAAAAAAAAAAGAAAGAAAGAAAGAAGAGAGGAGAAAAAGGAAAGAAAGAGAUUUUAUAUUUUAUAAGUUGUUGGGGCCAAACCCCAAAUCUUUCAUAUAAAAAGACUUCUCCUUUUGAAGAAUGACGAAAAAAGAAAAAGAAAAACUCGCCCCUUUCGUUUUUCUGCUAUGUUCUUUUCUUCUUCUACUUCAAUUAUCUCAUCACUAGUUGAAACAAUCCAAUCCAAACCAAACCAAAUCAAAAGCCAAAACCCAAAUCCGAACUUCUUUUUUCCUUCUCUUUUGACGUGAUUGAUCCAUAGAUCUGUUGAUUCUGGUUUCAAGCAUAGACCAAAGUGGUCAAAGAAAUAAAAAGGGUAAGCUUCUUUUUCAUAUUAAUUUUUUAAUAUUUAGUGUGGGAAUUAUGAGUGGAAUUGUGAUUAUUAAUGGGUCUUUUGAGGGAUAUGUGAAACACGGUUGUUUUAAAGUUCUCAAUGUGAAACAUUAGACCUUCUGGAUAUUCUAAUGCCUGACCAAACUACUUUGAAUAAAGAAAGAAAAAAAUAUUGAGCUUUGACCGAUUCUGUUGUUUUUAAAAACCCUUCAUGUGUUUGUUGAUUUUUCCAGCAAAGUUACGGUCAUGGCUUUCCUCUUUUAAACUAAAACAAUUUAAGAAGGUAGCUUCUUGUACAUCAUUUAUUGGUCUACUACUGCUAGCUGUUUAUUAUAUUGUUAUCAAGUUUAUUGUAUUAUCUGAUUGAUGCUCUUUACUAUUCCUUGAGGCUUCAGCAGUAGGAGAAAAUACUUACUUCUACUUGAGGUUUCCUUGAUUUAGCUGCUUUUGAGUCGUAAUUUCACAUUGCAGUAUUAUUAACUUUUUGGCGUGCUUUCUUGUUUAUGUUGCUGUAGUGUUCCAUUAUUGUGUCAAGAAGCAAAGGAGCGUAAGGCUCACGGUUCAGGUUUCUAGGUCCUAGUUAUAUUCAGUGCUCAUUUAGAUGUGGAGAAUUUGGAGGGUUUUUUGGAGGAGAUGAGGGAUGUUAUCUGGGUUUAUGAACUUCUUGAGGGCCUGUUUUCGGCCGAGGUCGGAUCGAUAUGUUCACUCAAGUUCGGAUGCUGGAAGUCGCCAGGAUGGGCUUUUGUGGUACAAGGAUACAGGGCAACACUUCAAUGGUGAGUUCUCGAUGGCAGUGGUUCAGGCCAAUAAUUUACUUGAGGAUCAGAGCCAGCUUGAGUCUGGUUGUUUGAGUUCACAUGAGUGCGGUCCCUAUGGUACUUUUGUUGGUGUAUAUGAUGGGCAUGGAGGCCCUGAGACUUCACGUUACAUCAAUGAUCAUCUCUUUCAACAUCUCAAGCGUAAGUACAAUAUGUUUGCUAGGGUUACAUUCUUUUUAAGCUCUAUUUUACCGAUUAAGUAGAUGAAAGAAAUAUUAAAUAAGCAAUUGUUUUGGAUAGAGUUAAAGGAUUGAAGGAAUUACGUGAACUUUGGUGUUUUUGUUCCAAGUCUAAACAGUUAUAGGUUCCUAAGUGUCAUUUUGUUAUGUUGUGCUUCACUGCUGAACUUUAGCUGUGUGGCCUGGUUUUUAUCAUUUAUUUAUUUAUUGCUGUUUUGUUUGGUGAUAUUUGUUAUUCAUGUGACACUUAUAUGCUCAGGGUUCACCUCAGAGCAACAGACAAUGUCAGUUGACGUAAUACAAAAAGCUUAUCAAGCAACAGAAGAAGGUUUUUUGUCUCUCGUUACCAGACAAUGGCCUAUGAACCCACAAAUUGCUGCUGUUGGAUCCUGCUGCCUGGCCGGUGUUAUCUGUGGUGGAACCCUUUAUGUUGCCAACCUCGGUGAUUCCCGUGCUGUUCUAGGGAGAGCUGUGAAAGCCACAGGAAAGGUUCUAGCCGUUCAGCUCUCAGCUGAGCAUAAUGCGUGUAUAGAAUCUGUGAGACAGGAGCUGCAAUCAUUACACCCGGAUGACUCGCAAAUUGUAGUUUUGAAGCACAAUGUGUGGCGUGUAAAAGGUCUCAUACAGGUAUUUCACUAUGCUAACAGUUUUUAUUUUGAGUAGUUACUUAACUGCUACUAUUGUCAAAUAAUAACAUCAAUUUCUAAACUGCAACACUUGUUCAUAGGUGUGAUAAUUGGUUGGGGAAAAAUAGAAUUCAGACUUGCUUAUAAUUGUGGCUUAUGUAUCAUUUGUCUACAAAGAGCUUUCUUUGUGCCACUUUUAUUCAUCUGUGCUGCAGAUGCUUAGAGAUUUUUGAACCUGUUCUUGUCCAAAUUGAGCACUAUAGAGCAUACUACUAAUGUACAUUUGAAAAGUUCAUCUGAGCUAGCUUGAUUAUUCUUGAUUCUUAGGGAAGAAGCAUGAACCUGGGAAAGUGAUCAUCUUACUUUUUAAAAUAAGAACUGAAAACUGGUCUUUUAGUGUUCCUGGAUCAAGAAUCUAUUUUAUGGUUGCAAUUUGAAGGCAAGUUCAUGGGAAAGAAGGGGUUUGAUCUUUUAGAAAGAAAGAGUCAUAUCACCUGCAUGAUAUCUUCUCCUCCUAUCGGUAAAUAUUGGGUGGAUUCAUGGAGAGGAAGGAUGUCCAAUAUAAUUAUUGAUUCCAAUCAGAUGCAUGGAUUUAUCUGCAAAGCUAAAAGAGAGAAGGGAAAUGGGAAACUUUGGUAAUUGGCAAAGAUUAUAGGAAGGGAUAAGUAGUGCUACUGGCUGUUGCCAAAAAGUUUUGCAAUAAAAACUUUUUUUGGACUGUGUGUUGUGCAUGGUUAUUAUUGAUAUUGCAUGUAUCCAUAUAUUCCAAGUCAAGCACUAAAAUAGUGCAUGCUAUCUGUCUAGGAAUUCAGAAUUGUAAUUUUGUUUAUAUGGUUUUCCAUGGUCUGUUAUGCCUCUGAUUCCCCCUCCCUGUUCUUUUUGUUGAGAGUCUUAAUGAUAGAAUUCUAAACUUUCAGAUAUCCAAAUCUAUUGGUGAUGUAUAUUUAAAAAAGGCUGAGUUCAACAGGGAGCCUUUGUACCCUAGAUUCCGCCUCCGUGAACCUUUCAAAAAGCCGAUAUUGAGCGCAGACCCAUCAAUAACAGUGCACCAGCUGCAGCCACAUGAUCAGUUUGUGAUAUUUGCAUCUGAUGGGCUGUGGGAGCACCUAAGCAAUCAAGAAGCUGUUGAUAUAGUUCAGAAUCAUUCACGAAGUGUAAGUUUAUGCCUCAAUAUUUUAUGUUUGAUAUAGUUCAGAAUCAUUCACGAAGUGUAAGUUUAUGCCUCAAUAUUUUAUGUCAUCCAUCUUGUUAUGAACACUACUCUUUUCUUUCAUCCCUCUGAAAAUGUCAUUUUCUUAGAGUAUGAAAGUCUUUUCUAUUUGGUUGCUGAUUAUAGAUUAUAGAAUAUAGAAAGUUAAUGAAGAUUUGAUCGUUUAUCUUGAGAAUACUUCCUUUGUCGCAUGAGCUGUGGCAUUUUGCAGCUGCUGUUAUUGCCACUUGACAAUUACAAUUUUAAUCCAUAAGCAAAAUACUUCAAUUGUGACAAAUCAUCCAGUGGAACACAACCACUCUACUCCACAUUUUAUUCAAUCUUAGACUAACUGACCAACUAUGAAUGGUGAUAUGCUCCAUAAGGAACGUGUUUCUUUACUUCUUGGGUAGUUAUUAGCGCAUGUUGGACAAGUAACUUGCACGCAUGCAUGCACAAAUGGAUGCUCAUGCUGGGAGGAGACAUGAUUUUACUUGUUCCUCUCAGUUGUUUGUUUAUUUUGGUUUUAUUUCUCUUUCAGAUUUUCAGGUAUAAUUUCAUUGAUAAAUGUUGCAUAUGCAUCAUAUCGGCGACAUCAAGUUUAUCUUAAGGGUAACAAAAGAACAGAAUUUGUUUUUGUAACUUUUGUUGGCUUUGGACUUCAUGCAGGGAAUUGCAAGGAGGCUGGUGAAAACUGCUCUACAAGAGGCAGCAAAGAAAAGAGAAAUGAGGUAUUCUGACUUGAAGAAAAUUGACCGUGGUGUCCGUCGCCAUUUCCAUGACGACAUCACCGUAAUUGUGGUGUUUCUUAACUCAAACCUCGUGAGCAAGGCCUCCUCUGUUAAGGGUCCUAAUCUAUCUGUUCGAGGGGGAGGAGUUACCUUGCCUCCUCGUACUUUGGCUCCUUGUGCCAUGCCAGCCUAAUCUGGCAGUACCUGGUCAUAUGCCGCAUUUCAUGUUUUUCAUGUUGUAUAAUUUUCUUAUGUGAAUACCAGGUAGCUUCCGAAAGCGAUGCAAGCCUUCGAUUCUUUAAUGUACACUGUAACACUUGACUGAAACUCAUACUUGUAUUUUGCGUCUGCGUGGAAACACUUAAAAAGAGAACUAGAAAGGAGUACAAGUUACAGAUGACAAUGAUAGUAGUUAAUUACGUGGGUAGUUCCCUUAAGUCUUUAUAUAAUAGUCUCCUUUUGAUCUUUAUCUGGUGCAUUCCACUCUUUGCUGGACCUUUAAUAAGACAAAUGGCUGACACCUAGUUUCUUACUGGAUCUUAAUGGCCGCUAAAGCCAGAAAAAACCAUAAGGAAGGAAUGGAUGAUAAUAAAAUACACUAUUAAACAACUUGAAUGUUGAUAUGUAAUAGACCUGGCAUGUUGUACGUACCUGCUUCUUACGGUGUUGCAUUGUGCAAAGGUUGUGAGAUUGGGUGAGGCAGGUCAAGGUUAUUACAUCACUUCACCUGGCUGGAGUGGAACUAGUCAGUGAGGAACAACUCCAUGUUUCAUCUCAGGGUUCCUAAUCCGAAUUUUAGCUGUUCAGGCUUACCUGGUUGUCGGCUGGUUACCCAGUUUGUCACCUAAUACUAUUUCAUUAAUCCAGUAAUGGUUGUUCUAUAAACUUCAGCUGCGUAUUAACAAAAGAAAACCGAAGUUUAUUUCUAUUAAUUCAUAUAAUCACUUUUGGGAAAAAAAAUAACUCAAGUACCUUAAUUUUUGUACCUUAAAUGUAUAAAGGAAUUAUAAAAUAAUGGUUGUUGGGACAUGAACUGAAACCAGGUUGAGGUUGUCCAAGGUUUUUUAACCCUCUUACUCUCUGCUCCAUUGGAAAUCCAAAAUAAAAAACCCUUCAACUCUCUUUGACUGGUGUCGUUAUGUUUUUUAUUUCUUGACAUUCAAUCUAAUCCAACUCUAGAUUCUUGUUCUAUUCAAAGGGAGAAUACAAUAUUUUUGGGGCAAACCAAACUUGGGGUAUUGAAAAUGGAGGAAGUAGGCAAUUCCCGAGGUGAGGAGUAGUGGCUUUUUUCCCUCAACAUUUGUCAGAUUGUGUCAAGCCAUUUUCUCGCUAAACCCACACCAAAUAGCCCCUUCACAUUAUUUAUUAGUCCUUCCAACCCUACAGUAUGGCUCCAUUCUCAAAGCCAUUGAGCCUUCAUCUUCAGCAUCAAACAAUAAACAAAGCCAAAACCCACCAAAACACCACUAACUCAAACCCAUUUGCAUUUGCAACUGCUCCUCAACUAAGGUUUCAUGUAAACUAAACACCUGUAAUUUGGCAAUUGCAGUGGGUGACAAACACAGACUAAAAGUGAGUGAUAUAUAGAGUUUGUGUGUUAGGAUUGCACAAACUAUUAUAUACUUUUGACUUGAAAUGGAAUUUUGAGAUUUGAUUCUUUUAUCUCCAGAGGACUUUUGAGGCCUUUCCCCAUGAUCCUUGGGGUGAAUUUUCUCAGCUGAAUUUUCAGCAUUGUCCUCUGUACUGAAACCCAAGAUUCUUAUGAAUAAUAUUUUGUUAAGUACAUUUAUUCUCAAACUUAAACUUGGAUAUUUGCAAACAAAUGAGGAUUUGUUUUCCUUUCACAAAAAAGGAAAAACAGUAGAGUGAAGCUCAUGCCACCUUGUAAAACACAGGCUAAUUAUAACCUGCAACUUCAUGUGGAAUUGUCAGUAGUUUCUGGCAUAUCAUAUAAUUCAUUUAUGGACCAAACAAGAACCUUCUUUUUCUAAACAUCACCACUCAGAACUCCAAAUCCCUGCAAAAAUAUAAUGCUAUUCACCUAUUGCCAAAUAUAAUCUCAGUUAAAGAAAGAGAAAGGCAGUCUAAAAAUCUUCGAAGAUAACAGAUUUAUCCAUAUUAGUAAAGACAAUGACAUUCAAGCUUAAACCUUUCUGCUUUUGUAAUUUCCCCCACUUAACAACUCAUUAAAGACUUUAAACAAGUAAUACAAUUAACCUAAUCAUAUUAGAGAGAUUGUAUAAUCUGAAUACAAAUACAAAAGUAAUUUAAGCUCAACAUAAGCAUAAUAUAAUACAAAAAAUAUUACAUAUUUCCAAGCAAAAGACAACUCUCUUUCCUUUCUCUGGGGUGUUUGCAGUGGUGUGGUCAGCAUCCUUUAACUAGAGUACAUUUGACUCUUCUUUUUACUCACCAGACUGCCCAAUGGGGUGGACACUGUCUGCUUAUAAGAAAACCUGUGCUAAAUUUUCUCAGAAAAAUAAUAUACAUUUUUUUAGUGUUUUUAUUGCACUAAAAAAGAUAAAUAGAGACUGAUUGCCGUUGUUUUACACCAAUUUUAUAGUGUCCAAAUAACUAAACAAAAAAUGAUUUCUCUCUCCUUCUCGAGCCCCUACCUUCUUCACUUUACCUUAAUAUCUCUAAUCUCUUUCUUGCCCUUUAACUCUGUCAUUUACUGUGUCACUUACCAUUUCUCUUAUCAGUUAAUCUCACUCUUUCAUCAUAGUUAUCUAUUAUCCAAAACUAAAUAUGUUUUAAGUGUCCUAAUAAGUAACUAACCUUAGCAAGGGCAUUAUAUUUAAAAUCUUAUACUUUGCAGGGGCUAGCAGGCUAGAAGAUUUCAAGAAGAAAACUUUCUUUCUUUUUAAAUCAAAAGAUGAAAUGGUUCUAAAACUUCUCAUAAAGCUACAUUUUCCUUCUUUUGCCUUGUCCCAAACCCUUGUAAAAUUUAGCUCAUUCUUUCUUCCAUUUGUUGCAACCCCACCUCUUCCUUCUUUUAAGAAAAGAAUACUUAGAUUCCUCCAAAAGAUCAUCUUACUUUACCCUAUCCCCAUAUAUUCAAAUGUUAGUAGCUUCUACGCCUAUUGUAACCAGAAAAACAAAAAGGAAAGGAAAAAAAACACUCUCCAGGCUUUAGCAAAGAGAAAUGGGUUGUGUUGCCUCUAAACUAGAGGAAGAAGAAGAAGUUGUGUCAAUUUGUAGAGAAAGGAAACGACUUAUAAAGUUAGCAGUAGAUAGAAGAUAUGCACUUGCAGAAGCACAUUUUAGGUACUGUCAAGCUCUUUAUGCAGUGUCAGCUGCCAUUAAGCUCUUUGUAGCUCGUCAUUCAUCACCUCCUUCACCUUUUCUCAUCACUUUUCCUCCACCUUGUCCACCUACACCACCAGCCACUGAUCAAAAUGUGAUAGCCAACCCAAUGUUGCUUCAACAAAGACCUUCUGAGUCCACCCAUGAAGCUAUUGCUUGUGAGUCUUGUGGCUCUUCAACAAGCUCAGAUAUUUCAGAUGAAGAGACUGAAUCAGAGGUGGUAAGAGAAGAGCAGCAGCAGCAGCAGCAGCAGCAGAAACAACAACACCAACACCAACACCAACAUCAACCACCACCACCUUGUGGGUACUUUUAUAUGCAAAUGCCACCACCAAUGCCAUCACCGCAAAGAGAUUUUGGCUGGGACUUCUUUAAUCCAUUUGAUGUUGUUAGACCAGAGAUUAUAAGUGGAUACAACAGGUGUUCUGAUGAUGAUUUAAGAGCGGUGAGGGAACAGGAAGGGAUACCAGAGCUAGAAGAGGAAGGAGAUACCAAAGAGGAAGAGAAAAAAGUUGUCCUUGUUGAAGAAAAAGAUACUAAGAGGGAACAAGAGGAGAGUGAAAGUGGCUUGUUGAAAGUAAAGGAAGAGACUCAUGUAAGCCAAGGAGAACAGAAAGGGCUAACAGUGAUUGAUAGCCCAGAAAAAGGAAGGGAACUUUUAGAAGCCUUGAAAGAUAUUGAGGAUUAUUUCGUUAGGGCUUAUGAUUCUGGCAAAGAUGUUUCAAGAAUGUUGGAGGCUAAUAUGGUUCAUUUACAGUCUGGUCUGGAGGGUAUUAAAGGUGGGUUUUUUUUCCCCUUAACUCAACUUUUACUCUGUUGAGGUAGCCUUUUCUCUUAUUCCAGAAAAACUGUUAAGUUUCCAUUUGAAGUUAUCUUCUGCUUGCAACUUGUGGGCUGACCUUCAUUUUAUAAGUAUUUUUCCAGAAAUGAGGAUAGAAAAGGGAAAGGGUUAUGUAUCUCAGGUUAGCUUUGCAUGAGUCUUAGUUUCGUUGGGUGUUUGCUAUCUCACCAUUUAUGUUUCUUCUUCAUUCUCUCCGGCAUGAUGUUAAAUAAAAAGCCUUGCAAUGAUUUGUUUUUGUUUAUAAAAUCUGGAAAUCUUUGAGCCGUUAAACCCUGUAUUUGCUCAUGUGGCUCUAACAUUCAGUUAUUACCUUGCCUAGCACAUAUUUGGAUAAAUACGUGGAAAGACUUAGAAAAGUUAAAACAUACUCGUAAGUCGUAUCCCAUGCUCGCCACCAAGUAUAAAGCUAAAUUUGGAUCGUCUUAAUGUCCAUAUCAAUAUCUAGUAAUCAUUAGACUCUGCUAAUUUUAUUGCAGAGAACUCAACCAAACUCAUCCAAGCUAUCACAUGGCAUCGAUCCACUUUGUCGAAGCCUCAAUCAUGUAAGAGUCUUGUGGCUUCAAGUUCUAAAAGUUCUUCAGCAUGGACUGAAUAUAAGAACGAUCUUUUCGAUCAGUAUGCGGGAAUGGAUUCAGGAAGUCAUUCCUUAACACUAGAAAGACUUUAUGCAUGGGAAAAGAAGCUCUAUGAAGAGGUUAAGGUAAACAAAAAUACUACCAAUUAAUCUUUAUUUUUCUGCAAAGUUAAUGAUUUAUUCCUACAAAGAUUUCAGGCUUUGUAGGGUGUGUGACGUAGUAAUAACUUUGGCGGCUUCUUUUCGAGUUCAUAAUAGUGGGCUGUAUGUAGCUCGUAUUCGACACUUAUGUUUGACACGUAUCAGAACAUAGUUAUGAGAGUUCUGCAUUUGCAUGUAUACCAUGAAUUCUGCUUCGGAUAAAACUCUGAUUUGUUAACUUACUUACACAGGCUGGUGAUAGUACAAGGAAAAUAUAUGAGAGAAAAUGCUCUCGACUGAGAAACCAGGAUGUGAAGGGAUAUGAUGAGCUUACAAUGGAUAAAACCAGAGCUGCAGUAAAGGAUUUGUAUGCCAGAAUCUUGAUUGCGAUUCGAAGUGCCGAAACAAUCUCAAAGAGAAUUCAGAAUUUAAGAGAUGAAGAACUAUUGCCUCAAAUUAUUGAACUGUUAAAAGGGUAGGUAAAAGAAUCUUCAAAAACGAACCAGACAAGACUGUUUCUUCAUUUUUCAUCCAAACUUGGGGUUUCUGAUUCUACUUUUCCUUUGUUGCAGCCUAACACAAACCUGGAAAGUUAUGCUUGAAUCUCAUGAAACCCAAAACAAAAUCCUUUCUGAAGUGAAAACUUUUGCUUGUCCUUCGUAUGGAAAAUUCUGCAAUGAUUCUCACCGGCUUGCUACGCUUCAACUAGAAGCCGAGCUUCAAAACUGGCAUGCUUGCUUUACGGAGUAUGUCGCAGCUCAAAGAGCAUACAUUCAGGCUCUUCAUGGUUGGCUAACUAAGUUCUUGGUUCCUGAAGUUGAAUUUUAUUCAAGAGGAAGGAGCUCUGGUGCACCAUAUGGAGCUAAUGGGCCUCCACUUCUUGUUAUAUGUUAUAACUGGUUAACUUCCAUGGAUGAGUUACCAGAUAAGGCUGUCACCUUUUCACUGAAAAGCUUUUCUAAAGAUGUAAAGGCACUGUGGGCUCAGCAAGGGGAAGAACAGCAACAAAAGAGGAAAGUUGAUGGUAUGGCUAAAGAACUUGAUAGAAGGACUAUGGCCUUCCAGAAGGCAGAAACCAGGUUCUUGGAGUCCAAGCUAACGGAAUAUAAAUCCGAGAUGGAGACAGAACAGCAGAAUGAAUAUCUAACGGAGAAGAAAGAUCAGUUGGAGAUGAUAAGGAAGAGGUUAGAUGUGGAAAGAGAAAAACACCACAAUCACAUGCAAGAAACACAAAGAAUCACAUUAAAUGGAUUGCAGACUGGAUUUUCAACUGUUUUCGAGUCCUUAAUUGAAUUCUCCAAGGCUUCUAUGAAAAUUUACAAUGACAUUGUGACACUAAGUGAAAAAAUGGGGAAAGUGUCGUAUAUAGAAGGCAGCUCCCAGGUUGAGGAAAAUAGUAGCAGAUGACAUAAAAAAGGUUAAAGAGAUUUGAGAAUCUUAGGUUGAUGGUUUUGAUGUAGUUCCACUUGUAUAUUAUUACAUCAUGUUGAUGCAGCUUGCUUAGGCAAAUUUAGUUAUGUUUUCCAUGUUUUCAUUCUGAUGAAUAGCUGAUUGUUUAUUAUCACUACAUGUCUAAUGGCUGUUGAUGAAAAUAUCUUUGCAAGAACUUCAAAAUUAUCAGUAUCAUCCUUCUGUUUCUUGUGUAGAUUGUGACCUCAACCGUUGCAUUUUAAUAACAAUAAGAAACUUUAGCAUCUUUGAAUACACUUAAAGACAGUUUCAGCAGGUUUUGCAUCUUAAACACGAUAACAUUUUGGUUUGGGACAACUCUGUUCAUAAAUUCUAUUGGUUUCUUGUAUUCAAACUGCGUUGUUCCAGAAAUGGUAGAAAGGAAUAAUGUAUAAAAUGAUUCAGAAAUAUAACGAUGAUAUUUUAUUUAGCUAGCUUGUUUGACAAAAAUAUAAUAUAAAUUUUGAGUGUGAUAAAAAAAUCCAUGAAAAAUAUCAUAACCUAUAAAAAUAAAUUAUUCCAAAUCCAGAUAAUAAGAAAUGAGAAAAUUUUAAGAGAUUAAAUUAGUUCUAACUUUAUUUUUUUUUCUUUCAUUUUUCAAUAUGUGUUUUUCUUUCGAUUUUUUCAACUUUUUUACCAAAUACGCCAAAAGAAAAAGGAAAAAUAUAUAUUUUUUUCUUUUAAUUUUUUUAUUUUUUUACAAUUUUAAUUUUUUACUUUUCAAUUUUCUUUCCACUCUACCAAGUAAAGACCAAGUGCCAAGGCAUAUGAUUCAACAAAUCAAAUUUCAAUAUUAACCCUUCUAGAAAUGGUAGAUUACUGCUCUAUGAAUAGUCAUUGCAGCAGUAUUAUUUGAAAUUACCAAGGACAGAAAAGCACCCAAGACACAAACAGAAUAGGUUUCCCUUGAGGCAGACCAGGCCAGACACACAAGUAGAAGAGUUGUCUUCAUCAUUUCACUAUCCACCUUUUCAGUAAAAGUUGUCUUUUGGGUUUUAUUCCACAAUGCUUGGAUGCAAAAAGAAAGUGAGGGCUCACAGGUACCAUGCAUUAGCACUAACAGCUACUUAUAGAAAACCGAUCUCUUCAGUAGGAAUGCAUGAAAAUAAUGGAGCCAACCCAUCAAACAAAAGAUAAUUACUCGUUCAAACAUAAUAUCGGGUAUUCAGAAGGAUUGGAGUUUCAUUAUCUUCUAAGUGUAAUUUUGUACAACAUGUAAUGAUACACAUCCUAGCAGGCUUGAUUAUGAUCAUGAAAAUGAAUAGUUACAGGUUUUACAAUUUAAAUAACAAAAACAUCCAACUUAUUCCUACCGUAGAUAGAGAGAGACCAAGAAUUGAGAGAAGAGUAUAAUUUCACCAACUACAGUAGCUGGAGAGUGUAUUCCAAGAAAUGGGACUAUGUCUACCUGCAACCAGUUUUCAACGGCUGAUCCCACCACUGCACCAGCAACAAGCCCCCCUAUAGUUAUUAAUGUAGCCUUACCUGCAUAAGGGAAAAAUGAUAUAUUUUUUUUCCAAACUGAAGUUUAAACAAAUUCGGAACUCACACAAGUAUGCAGUGGCAAUCUAAUAUAUUGGAAGAAAGGGUCAUAAAAUCCCAAAGGUGCCAACUUCCUUUUGCUUUAAAGGACUUCACUAGCAAAGCUUCAUCUCUACUUGGGGAAAAAUGUCAACGUUCUCAUAGAGAGAAAUUAAUCAAAAUUUCUAAAAAUUCAGUACGAUCCUAUAACCAUGAGAAAUCUUCUUCUAUGAUUGAUAAGGGGAAUUCAGGGAAUUUCUAGAAAUAAAAUUUCACAAGCAAUACCAUAUGACAGCUGAAUACAAAUAAAUGCUAUUAAAGUAAUAACUAAAGUGGCUUGAACUAUAGUAAAUUGCCAGCAUGAUAUAUACAUUUUGCCAUCAUAUACAAUGUUUCGGCUCUUCUCUCUUGAUCCCUCGUCUUUCCUUCUCCAUUUAAGAUGAAAAACAAUCUGAAUAGCAACUGAACUUUCAUAUUUGAGAAAAUAACAUAUAACUAAAGUUCUAUGAUAUAUGCAAGAAGCCACAUUACCUAACUUCAAGUUCCUUCUGGUCAUGAAAUACAAGGAAGCUCCGAAGCUACUUGCUAAGAUAAGCCCAGCAACAUCAGGUCCGGCAUAAGGAAUUGCAGAGGAUGUAGAAGUUUCAUUCACAUACGUCAGGACCAUAAGAGCCCCAUAUACUCCAGCUUGUAAGCCCAAAUCACCUGUAGAUGGUGUUUCAACUGAAACAGGUAAAUUCUUCGUAGUCGUUUGCACCCACUGAGGCAUUGAUCUCACCCCAAGUGGAUUAACAGGUUUAACAUCUGCAAAUCUAAUGCUUCUGUCUACAACUUUUCCAGCUCGUCGUUGUGUUAAGCUCCUCAUAAGCAACAUGUCAUAUGCAGCCUCAACCUAAAACACAAAUCAAAGUAUUAAGAAAGCAAAACUAUAGAGAACCAUACAGGAGUCAAUAUCCUCACCGGACAAAAGAAUAGAUGUAAUAAAAUAGAAAAUAUACAGUUCACAUUCAUCCAAAAAAAAAAAACAAGCUUAUCAGUUAAGUGAGAAAAACAUGCAUAGAUGAACCACCAUAAGCAUCAUAGGACCACUUUGUUGCAACGAUAUAAUAUUUGUUUAAUCUAAAAAAUGGGAAAUGUUCCACAAGGCACCAUCCUAAAUAUAUAUAUAACAAAUGGGAAAGCACAUGCUAUACAGAAAACUCUCUCUCUCUCUCUCUCUCUCUCUGGUUGGAAAAGUGCUCUAUAAAGAACAAUUCAAAAUCCAAGCAAUACACACAAAGUAAAAAACUGAAACUCCUAUUGAAAACAUAAAUACAAGUCAGAAUUUUGUUGAUUUACAAAGCUCAUAUAACAGAUGACAAAAGAUAACAAGUUAUUAAGGAAACAUUCAAUAAGCCCCUGCAAUACCAAAGAGACAAAUCUCAAAAAUUUUCUACAAAUAGAUUCAUUAAUAUCUAAAAACUCACCAUCCAAAACAUCAAACUUUACGUGAAUGACAAAAGAAAGAAAAAUAAUACAUAUGAAUAAGUUCAAUACUCAGAAGCAAAAUUAUCAAUAUUUUGACCAAAAUUUAAACACUUAUGACCCAAAUCUUAAAAUUUUCAAUGUGAAAAAAGAAAGGCAAUGAAUCAACCUGGGCGAUAGCUUCUUGGUUAUCCUUAAUAGAGGCAACAAUCGAAUUCUUGGCGCGAAGAAUAUCAUCAAAAGAAGCACUUUCGGAGACUCCAAGGAGAUUGAGCGCGUUCUCAACAGACAUCUCGAACGGAGCGGAGUCAUCAGCUCGUGAACCGGCACGAGCGGCUAAUGGUCGUCGCGUAUGGAGGAUUGCGGCGGCUCUCCAGGGCUCGAUUUUAGCGGGUUUUAAAGAAGGGUGGGUUUGGUUAGGGAGGCGCACCGGCGGUCUGGGAAUAGGGGAGCCGGGAGUUAGACGGUCAGGCCGGACGGAGAGUGUGUGUGCAGCCAUUUCGGAAGAAGAAAAAAAGCAAGGAUUUGAUAUUUUUUGGACAACAAAAUAUAAGGCCAAUGUAAUAGUAAUUGGGAGUAUGUUGUAUAUAUUAUAGGUAUUAUAUAUGCAAAAUAUAAAUUUGUAAUUUGUAAUUAAGUUGAAUUAAUUAGUUAAAUGAUCCUAUCUUAUUUUUUAAUUUAAUUAUAAAAACAAUUAAGAUAAAAAUUUUAAAAAUUAGUUUAAAUUAUUAAUAUUUUAUAUCCAUUGAUGGUACAAGUCAAUAUUAGUUGAAAUAGAGCAAAAACACAAAAGAAAAUUUGAUAACAAUAAAAUGAUACAUAUAUGCUACAUAGUUUGGACUAAAGAUAGUUCUCAGGUCGGGUUCUGACCGAGUUUAAGAAUGGAAUUAACGCAUUUUUAUGCUAAUUCAAGCUUGACCUAACUCGAAAUAUGAGCUUAAAAUUUUACUUAAAUCUAUCUAUAUUUACAAAUAGUUAACCCAAGCCCGUUUUAAAUUUACUCAUAUUAUUUUUAAAUUUUUUUAAAAUAUUUAUAUUAUUUUUAAUUUAGGAAUUUAAUAUUUUUUUUGCAUUUAUUAAAUUUUUAUACAUAGACCACUUAAUAUAUUUUUUUAAUAUUUACAUUAUAGUAUUAUAUAUUACUAUAGAUUUAAUAUAUUUUUUUGGUUAUAAAUUACAUAACAUAGUAUAUUACAAAAUUAAAAAAAGAAUGAAUGGAACUCAAGCUUGAGAUGAGCCUAUUUUUAAACAUAUAUUUUGUUCGAACUAAUUUUUUGAGCUUAAUAUUUUAGAAUAAAUUUUCUAAAACAAGAAAAUUAAAAAAGAGUUUGAAAGUCGUAAUUGAAGCAAAUAAUUAAGAUGCUCUAUCUAUACUAAUUCAAUGAUAUCCAUUUAUUAUAAUAAUAUUUGAGAUGCUCUAGUUACAAUUUCUUUUUCAUUUUAUUGCAAUUUUAAUAAUUAUUCAAACUAUAUUUUUGUUGGAUGUGGUAUUUUCUAAAUAAAAUAAAAUUAAUCAUUUCAAUAUCACUUAAGACAAAAAUAAAAUAAAAUCAAUUUAAAAUUAGAAUAUGGUUUUGGAGCCAGUUUACUAAUCAAACCAAACUAAAAUAGUCAACAAAGAAAAGAAGAGUCCGUCAGCAAGUUACUUGUUAUGGUAUAAAGGAAUAACAUGGACAGGAAACAUGUUUGCCUGUGAGUAAAUUGGUCAAUGUGGAUCAAUUUAAAUCCAGUAUAUAAAUUUUAAGAUUUUUAAAUUAUUUUUGCUUUGAGUUUAGAUCAUUUUUUACCAGAGUUAAUUUUUUCAUAAUGCAAUAUCACUAAUAAGCAUAGUUUUUCCAUUGUACUUCCUGUCGAGGAAGAUGAGCCUCACAUUCAAGCACUUAGGAACCAAAAUACAAGGCUUAAAACAGAUUAUCAGCCAACUGAUUAGUUUCCUAGGUAAAUCUAAUAUAAAUAUUGCAUAUAUGAAAUUAUGAAUGCACCUAUGGGUUUGGAGAAUAUGCAAGGCUGAAACAAUAACAGCUAACUUCAAAACAAAUCAUAUUCAGGAUACAACUUUCUUUGAUUCCCAUCUACUAUAUACAGUAGUUUACAAGAGCAUCCAUGUUAAGCAGGGAUGGAUCCAUAAAAGAACUCAUUCAAUAAUUGUUUCAAAUUCGAAAGAUGAUUAAGAAUAACUAGCUAAUGAGAAACAUCAGCCUGCUUUUGAUGUUCUUACCACUGGUGGGAGGAUAACGGAAUCAAGAUUCUUUGGAUAGGGAGUCCACAAGCCAAAUCCGCCUCGACUCUCUUUCAUGCUACUACCAUUUCCCUUAAAUUCGCUCAAACUUUUAAUCCACUCUACUUUAGAAGAAUGCUCUCGAGUAUGCAGGUGCAAGACAAAUAGUGAAUUGUACUCGCAAUUCUGAAACAUAAAGAACUUAAACAAGCCCCUUAACCUGUAAACAAUGUAGCCAAAGCUAAGCUGGUCUCUUGGUGUGAAGAGAUUGACUUCGUUGAACCACAAGCAAUUGAACAAAUUAUUCAGAGCAGUAUGUUCCCUUAUAAUUAUGGCUCCCUCAGGCACGUCUGCACUUGGUUAUGACGAAAUAUUUAGUUUGCAUUGACAGAACUAAUAACAAGAAUAUUACACAUUCUUUAUGAACUCAGAUUUCGUGUAAGAAUAAUAUGUAUCCCUUCGUACCACUAAUAGUAUUUUUCUUCAAACUCCAUGGCUCCAUUCCCUCAUAGUAAUAUAUAUUCAUCUGCAGAUCAAUAAGAGGUCUGGCAUAUCGCUUUAUCCGUUUGUUUGCAUCAGCCUCCUCAUAUAUACUCUUAUGAUGUUUGUGCCGAGCAAUCGCAUAAGUAUGUUUAUCAUGCCAUAAGUAUCUGCCAAUAAGAAAUAAUUCAAUCUAACAGCUUCUGCAUCAUGAUAAUAAUUCAAACUUCAUAUAGCUUGGGAGAAAUAAAUCAGUAAGUCCUUACCAGAAAGGUUAUUGGUUGAAUGCUUUCUUUCAAACAGGUAAAAUUUAUGUUAUAUCAAAAGAUCAUAAUGCAUGCUUCUCGCAAAUUUAGAUUCUUUAAGAAAAAUCUUAACUCAAUCUAUCAGCUUCUUUAAGAAAAAUCUUAACUCAAUCUAUCAGCAAUCAUCGAUCACAUGGUCACCUAUUGCAUUUAAGACACAAUUAUUACUACAAACAGAAUAUUAACUAACUUCAAAGAGUGCCAUAAUAAGGCCACUCUUUAGCAAAACCCAUAAACCUAAAGUAAUUGUAUCAUUUCCUCUAAUUCAUUCACAGGGAAAAUUAUGUAAGCUGCAAAGUUCUUAACAAUUCAUUAACUUGAGAAUUUACCUAAUUUAUAAAUAGUUAUAUCCAUGGUGCGUGCUUUAAUAAAUUAAAAGAGAUUGUCUUUCCGCUAAUUCAUCAACAGGGAGACAAUAUGGAAAUGGCAAAGUUCUUAACAAUUAAACAACACAUAAAUAUACCUUUCGAGAAUAAGCAAUGGAUCAACUAUCAGCUCCAUUUUACCAUCAAUCCAUAUGCUGUACUGUGCUUCAGGGAAUAACCUGUGGGUUAAAAUUUUGGGAACCUUCCCAUUCCUUCUAGGUUCAUCAUAAGGUAGAUGCUUCAAUGGGAUAAGCCUCCAUAUGCCUACCCACAUCCCCUUAUCUCUAUCUUUCCUGACGGUCACAUUCUUUUUAAUAAACUUGAGAGAUACUUCAUCAACAACCAUCAGAAAACAGAAGAGCUUCUUAGAACGAAUACUUAUAUUUGAUGGUUGAUGAGGUACAUCAUAUCCAUCAAAAGUCCCAGAUGCAACCACAAACCUACAUUUCUUGACAUAUUCAAUAUUCGUCCUCAACAUAUAUGAUACGAAGCCUAAUGAAUUAGGGAAAAAGAAUUGUUUCUAUCCCCGGGAUCUAGGCCAUUAUUUUCUUUAGUUAUGAAUAAGAGCAGGGGAUUAAAAGCAAAUAAAAUAAGUUCUACCUUCAUAUUAGGCUUUAAUUUGAAACUCUUUUCUCUUUGCAGCCAGCUUUGGUUACCUCCAAAUAAUGGGAAGGUAUGAGAUCCAUUGUUAACCAAAUCCUCUUCCUCAAUAUAGGUUAAACCUUUAACAAUUACAUCUGGUGUUUUUCCAUCUGGAAUAACUAUUUUCUCAGGGUCACUGGCUAAUGGAAUUGGACAACCUAUUUGAUCAAUUUACAAUCAAUUUUAAUAGUAUAAAAGCAGAGAGAUCAGAGUUUAGGAAAAGAAGAGUCUGCAUGACCUUACGAUGUUCUGCUUUUGGAGUCAAUCCAUGCAAGUCCUUCGAGAUGAAUACCUUGCUCUCUUUGUUACAAAUAGCUGCAUAAAAGAGGAACAAUAUAUCAUUUCAAACCAAUUAUGAAACAUGGUUACAAUUUGCAGACCAUAAUUUUAGGUUGCACAGGACAUUUUCACCAAGAAUGGAUGUAACCUAUGACUACUCGAGAAUUAGUGAAGCACAUGGAAAGGAAACAAAGCAACUUCUGAAUUGCUUUGUAGGAAAUUCCCUAAUAUAGGAAAGGACCACACCAAUCUUUUUCCAAGUAUAACCAGAUUAAUUAAUUAACAAAUCCAAAGGACAUCACUUCAUCAAACCAUGUCUUAACAUAGAUGUUGAAGUAACAGCAUUCAUUAUAUAUAUGUGCUCUAUAGGCUAAUGCUGGAACAUCUUUCCGGUUUUAGGAACUAACACAAGCCACCAACCUGAGCCUAGUUCGCUCACUGGACUCAUUGGCAACUAGAUCAGAAUCCAUUAAAAUAUUUGAUCAAAGUACCAGAAAAGUAUUAACUCCGUUCAUUCUCCUAACUUGUGUGUAUCCAAAGGGUAACAGGAAGCCAAUUACUUAAAUCCAAAUGAAGAAAAAUGUACAAAUAUACCAAAGUGAACAUAGGCCAAAAAGAAGAAUGGAACCAGACCUGAAAAGAAAGAAAACGAAGAUUGGCAAGAAAAAACAUGAAAUAGUAAUCCAACAAGAAUAACCAACAUCCAUAGAAUGCCUGCGACAAAAACCAAUCGAAUAAAGCCUUGCUUCCACAUGAUCUUGAUGGGAUUAUCUUGAGGCAACCUCCUAGAAGAAAGAAAACCACCUCCAUCAUCUGCAUCAAGACAAUCAGAAUCUGCAUAUCUACAUCUCAUCAAGUGAUUCCAAUGAUCAUAAUCCAUAAACCAAAACAUGUAACAAUUACAAAAAUUACCCUCCAUUUUAAAGAAUACAAAGAUAUAAUAAGUACAACAUAAACCAAUGCCAUAAUCAUAACCCAAAUUUUUAUUCCAUCAACAUAUGUGAAGAAAAGAUACUAUGGAUUUUGUUCACCUGUAGCAUACGGGUGUUGAUUAUUACGUUCUCCUCUACGGCUUAAGCGAAAGGAGAGAGGCCGUUGAAGCUCGGUAUCCAUUAUUAUCCUACCUUCACUUCAUCACUAAUCAAUAACUUCAAAAAAAUGUAGAUUAAGAUCAGACCAGGAAAGUAUUAAAUCCACCUAAAAAUUUGAAACUUCAACAAAAAGUAUCAGAAAUUAGGAUUCUUGGCAGAACAUAAAGAAACAACAAGAAGAACGACUUUUGAGUGCAAAAAAUCAAGUAACGAAAAUAUUAAUACCUACCCAUGUCAGAGAAAUUCAUAAACAUAAACAUAGAAGACCUAAGAGCUUGCCGACUCGUGAGAAAACAAAGGACUCUAAUAGGGGUAUUGUACUAUUGGGAGCAAGCUCAUCGUCUACAUGCAAGUGAGGUACUAUUGCAGGCAAAAUUGAACUGGAGAACAGGAAAGGGAGCUAAUACAAAAAAUCUAGGCAAUCGAAGUUGGAGAAUGGUGAAACAGAAACAAGUCAUGCAAAGGAAAAGGGUCGUGAAGAUGCAUAAAUUCCCUCCACAAAAAUAGGGGAAUAGUGAAACUAAAGAAGUUGAACUCAAACAUGUGCUCCUUCAGGGAUCGAGUAAGGGAAGAACAGAUGCUUACUCAAAGCUUAUAAUUGACAGAACAGAAUAGGGGUACUGUGAUAGCUGCUGUUAAGCCCUUGCUUCCUGUGGAGCCUCUGAUGGCGUUAUACUUAUUUUUAUUGAAGGUAGACCGACAUUGAAAUGCAGUUUCCAUGGUUUAAGAUUUAAUGGAAAAUUGUGAUGUGUUAAUGACGAAAAUGGGUAUCUUCUGUUUCAAUUUUUAGGUUAAAUGAUAAGUACGAUCCCUCUAGUUGUAGAUUUGUGCAAAUUAAGAGCCAGUUUGGUAUUGUUAUUGUGAAGUUGAAAUGUUUUUGAAAGGUUGCAGGAAAAAUGCUCUUGAAAAGAAUCUACUGUAAAAAAAAACGUCAUUUAAUGUUACUAUUUUAAAAAUAUAAUUUCCAAUCUAUAAACAUGUUUCAGAUAUAUGAAUAAUUCGACUAGAAGUUGUAAACUUGUAAUGCAACAAGUAAUCAUGAAUAUAAAUAUAUAUAUAUACAUAUACUUAUUCAAUAACACAAUUUAAUAUAGUUACUUUCAUUAUGUUUGAUCGAAGAGAAUGGAAUAGUCAAUUUCCUUUUAUUCAUUACGUUUUUAUAACACAAUUAUUUAAUUAAGUGAAAUUCUAUUCUAUUCUUAGUGAAAUUGUCAAAUAAGCAUUUAGCCCUCAACCAUAAGGAUGAUUAUUUGACUCUCAUAAAAAAUAGCAAAAGUAAAUAUCUUUCCAAAAUAUCCUUUCACAAAUUGCUAAAUUACAAGAUAUUAUUUUCACAAAUUUGAUAAACACAACCAUCAAAAAUUAGUAUGCGUAAAUUUUUUAGAUGAAAAAUCCAACGAUUCUCAAUUAAAGAUGGCGUCACCAUCCUUAAGAUAUACAAAUAUAUACUGGAUUCUAAAUUUUUUCUUGAAUCUGGUUGAAUGCUUAGAUAUUAGAGAAAGAGACAAAGAAACAUGCUUAAAUGUUAAAAAAGGGAGAUCAUGAGUCGCAAAUAUGAAUAUUUUUGGGCUUUCAUGUUUGCUAGGUAAGAGAAAAGAGUGAGAAAGGAGCAAUAGACGAAGUGAGGAAGAAGCAAAAAGAUGAAUAAAAAAAAUUACUAGAAAAUGAGAAGAGAGAGAAUUAAGAAAAAAAAUCGAAAAAGAGAGAAAAACUAAAAUGAAAUGCCAAAAAAAAAGAAUAUUGUUUUAUGUGUAAUUAUAAAUAAAUUUUAGGUAUAAUUAUUAAAAUAAAAUAAAUUAUAUUUAUUAAGAUAUUUUUAUCAACUAAACAAUGUAAUAUUAUUAUUUAUCUAUUUCAUUCAACCAAUUAAACUAUAUAAUACUUAUUACCCUCUAUUCUAUUAUUAUCUAAUAAUGAUCAUAUUCACACUCUAUUCUAUUGCAACGAACUAAACGACUAUGUACCAAAAUGAAUCAAUACCCAAUAAAUAUAUAUAUAUUUCUGUAUUGGUAAAAAGGAGAGGAUAAAAAGGAUUAUGCUUUUAUAUACUAGACAUUACAACAGCCAAUAAGUUAAAGUAAUAAAGAGUUAAAAGGUAAUUGUUUGACGAAAUUAAGGGGUUCAAACGAUUGAUUUGGUUAUUAACUGAACCGAACUAAACUAUCACUAAUUGAAUUAGCUAAACUGUAUAAUCCUUUAACUAUUAAUUGAACCGAAAAUUUUCAAAAAAAAAUUAACCUAACCAAAAUAUUUUGGUUAACCGAAUUAACCAUGUUGGGGAUCGACUUGAUUAAGCAACGAACAAGUAAAAAUAGCAUAAGAAAUUGAGAAAUUGAACACACAAAUUUAACGUGGAAAACCUCUCCAAGAGGAUAAAAACUACAGGCAAAGAUAAUUUUACUAUAAUGGUAAAAGAACGAAGAGAACAAAAGGAUAGAGAUAAAAAACAAAACCCCGAAACUCGAAAACAAAGAACCCUCAAAAUGUAAACACAAAAUUCUCCAAAAGUGUUAUGAGUUCUAAUUUUUAAUGGGUGUAUUUUCUAAGGUUGUAAAAGAAUUUAUUUAUAGGUUAAAUUCGUAGGUCAAAUAAUAAUAAAAUAAUCUAAACUAAUUAGAGUUCGACUUAAACAAAUAAACAGAUUUUAACCGGGAGAUUAUCUCUCAAAUUUAACUAAAAUAUGAGGCAUCCUCAACAAAUCUCCAUCUCGACUCGUAUUUCCACAACGCCAUCUUUACCAAAGCCCGCCUCAAGCCUAUCUUGAACUAUUCAGGGAAUUAAUUGAGUCGAAUCUAUACUUAGAAGCUGAAAGACUUCUAACCUUCGACUUAUGCACCGUUGAAUCAAAAUUAACCUGGGUCUAAUUUUCACGAACAUAGUGCCCUAACUUUUCAAAAACCUGCAUCCAAAAAAGAAUCUCUCUUUAAUGAAACGAUCAUACCUUUUUCCCUCCUAUGACCAAGUUGCAUCCACUCCAAACGAGUUGACUUCAACUCCAUAACGGACGAGGGUUGUUCGGUUUCAUUAGUCACUGUAGAACCUUCCAAAAUAUAAAGACUGCCAGUCUUUUUACCUUUUAAUAAAACGAGAGCCCCACGAGACACCUUAAUGCCGCUCAACUCGAUGUUGAUUCUAUAACCUUUCGAGUCUAAAAUACUCAAGGAGAUAAGAUUCUUUCGUAAAUUAAGUACAUGCCUGGUAUCUAAGAGUGUCCUAAUCAUCCCAUCGUGCAUUCUAAUUUUAGUAGUACCAAUACCGAUUACCUUAAUGGAUGAAUCGUUUCCUAUGCACACAACUCCAUCUUCAAUUGAAUUGUAUGUGGAAAACCAUUCUAUGUUGGAACACAUGUGGAAAGAACAUCCCCAGUCUAGGACCCACUUGGACGUAACUUCAGAGCUAUCACUCAUUGACACUAACGAGAAAUCAUCACCACUUUCGUUGGCCAAAUUAGCACCAGCUACAUCUUCCUUGUUACUCUCAGUGUUCCCUUUAUUUCGUAGUUUAUAACAAUUUGUUUUGACUUGACCUAACUUCUUACAAUAGGGACACAUUUUGUCUCACUUCUUUGAUACUACUAAAACAAAAACUUGCAUAUAUUCUUUACUAUCCAAACCAAACUCAUUUUCAAGUUUGUCUUUAUUCAACAAAUGACCAUUUACAUCCUCGAACGAGAGUUUGUCCCUGCUAUAAAUUAUGGUCUCCCUGAAAGACUUGUAUGAAGAGGGUAAAUAGCACAAUAAUAGCAUAGUCUAAUCUUCAUCGUCAAUCUUAACCUCAACAUUCUUUAAAUCAUUCAAAAGAGUAAUAAAUUGACUAAUGCGACCUCUAAGAAGCUCUCACUUGUUCAUGUGAAACGCAAAUAGACAUUGUUUCAAUACUAAACGGUUAGCCAGAGACUUAGUCGCAUAAAGAGUUGCUAACCUUUUCCACAAGGCGGAUGAGGUUAUCUCCAUCAAUACCUCCUACAAUACCAUAGUCGUGAGACACAAUUAGAUUGUAGAUAGGGCCUUUUCAUUAAGCUCUUCCCAUUCUAUCUAAUUUAGAUCCUUAAGCUUUUUCCUGAUAACAUCCCUUUUCAAGCCAGUCUGAAUUAUAAUUGCCGUCAUCUGAACUUGCCAUGAAUUGAAAUUUGUGACACUAUCGAAUUUCUCAAUAUCAAGCCUUGUUGUUGUCAUUUCCGAAUGGGCUGAUCUACAAAAAUUGAACUAGCUCUGAUACCACUUAUUGGGGAUAAACUCGAUUAAACAACGAACAAGUAAAAAUAGCAAAAGAAAAUGAAAAAUUGAACACACAAAUUUAAUGUAGAAAAACCCCUCCAAAGAGGAUAAAAAACCAUGAGCAAAAAUAAUUUUACUAUAAUGAAAAAAGAACGAAAAGUACAAAAGAUGAAGAUAAAAAUCUAAAUCCCGAAACCCGAAAACAAAGAACCCUCAAAACGUAAACACAAAAUUCUCCAAAAGUGUUAUGAGUUCAAAUAUUUAAUGAGUAUAUUUUCUAAGGUUGUAAAAGAGCUUAUUUAUAGGCUAAAUUCAUAGGUCAAAUAAUAAUAAAAUAACCUAGACUAAUCAGAGUUCGGUUGAAACAAAUAAACAAAGUUUAACUGGAAGAUUAUCUCUCAAAUUUGAUUGAAAUAUGAUGUAUACUCAACAAACCAAAAUUUAUAUAUUUUUGUCUUUUGGUUAAAACAAGUUUAAAACAUAAAAAAUACAUUGAAAUUAACCGAAAUAUAUGUUUUUUUUUAAAGUUAAUCGGAAUUUUAUAUCUUGAAACACUACGUAAUUAAAAGCACUAUAUAAGUAUUGACAUUAACAAAUAAUAUUAAUUAUUAAGUUUGAUUAAUUCAAGUAAUUCGAUUAAUUACCUAAUUUCGAACUGAAUUAACCCAAUAACUGAAAUUUCAAAAAAUCAUUAAAUGACUUUCGACCAAACUAAGUUCAGCCAUCGACCGAUUAAUUGAAUUAGAUCGAUUCGAUCAAUUAAUUCGAUUUUAACCGAAAUUGAACACCCCUAAGCGAAAUACUGCUAUGCAAUUUCUUGGAGAAACAUGGGAGAGAAAUGGAUGUUGCAAAUAACUCUAGCAAUCGUGCUUGAAUGCAGAUAAUAUAGGUUAAAUGGUGUUAGACAUCCCAAACCUCAAAAGCUAUUGCACCUUUCUCUACUUUUUUCAUUUAGUUCUAAAAGUUCCAAAGUGCUUCUAUAUCCCAGACACACUAUGUUUGGGAUUUGCUUUUGCAGUACAAAAGUGCUUUUGGGACUCAAGCAGCAACCUUGAAUGCAGCCUGUCUAUUUAUUUUUAAGGUAAUUGUAUAGUUAGUUAUCUAAUUUUUAUAAAUUUUUAUUUUGGGUAUCGAAAAUUUAAAAAAAUACAUUUUAGGUAUUAUUGUUAACAAUUAUUUUCAUUUUGGUCACCCAUUGUUAAUUUGAGUUUAAGUAAUGUUAUUUUACACUCAUUUUAGUCAAGGUAAGUUUUCGUUUUGGCCGCUCAUUUUCAUUUUUAUAAUUAAUUUUAUUUAUUUUCAAAAAAUGACCCUUAAUUUUUACAAGGAAUUGAAUUAUUUAGUUGCAGAGAUUGAAACCCAAAUUUUUCCUAUAAAAAAAUGUUUUUUUUUCCUUUUUUACUAGAAAAACUAAAAUUAAUUCUAAAAAGGAAAAAAAGUAAAUUAAAAAAUGGGUUUUACCUUUAAAAACCCAAGUAAUUAUAUGUAAAACAUCAAGUUUUUCUCUAUAAAAUUCCAUGUAAAAAAUUAAGAACGAUUGUAAAUUUUCAUAUAAAAAAAUCAAGAAUAAGUCCCAAUGAGGCCUUGUCGUAGUUAGCAAAGUCGGAAGUCUUAGGUCUUCAAUACCUUAAUUUGAAUCCACUAUGUACAACUAAUGUUGUUGGCAUGUCUACAUUUUAGUUCGAUUUAGCCAAUAUUAGUAUGGAUUAUUCUAAUAUUUAAUUUGUUCAUACUAUAAUAAUUGCUUUUAUUUGUGGUUGUUAGGAUAUUAGAAAUUUAAUUGUAACAUUUCAAAGUAACGAUAAAAGUAUUAGGGAAGCCCUUAUACUUAGGGACAGAUUGCAUUUCGAUCUUUCUACUGAAAAAUUGGCAAAUUAAUCUUUCUACAUUUCAGAAUGUGCAAAUUAGUCUCUCUAUUAAAUUUUAUAUGUUAAAUGAUGACAUAAAAAUGCUAAAAAUAAUUUUUUAUAAGGUAACCUAUUAAAAUGGUCACCCAACUAUGUCUUCCAUUCUAUUUUGGUCACCCAACAAUUAAUUUUUCUGAUUUAGUUACUAAAAUCUUAGAAAUUAAAUAUUUUAGUCAUUUUGAGCUGAUGUGGACUUUUUUUUAUUGUUCUAGUAACAAAGUUAGUCCAAUAGUGUUUACAAAUUCUAUUAAUUUAAUACUAAAUAUAAAAAAUUCAACACUUAGCCCUAAAUACUUACAGAAUUUGUCAUUUUCAUUAUAAUUUUAAAAAAUUCAAUAAAUUUAACCCUCACCAUUUACAAAAUCUAUCGAUUUAGUCCUCACUCUAAAAAUUAAAAAUAUAUAUUUAAAAAAUAAUUUUUAGUCUUGUAUAACCCAUCAGCUAAUCCAUGUGAAAUAUUAAAAUAAGAAAAAGAGUACACUUUUCAAUUCACUUGCAACAAUUUCUUUUAAAAGAGUACCCAGUGUGAAGUCUAAAUUAUAGUAGAUGUUGAGAGCCAAAUUUAUUGAAUUUUUUAGAAUUAGAACUAAUGAUGUGAGUCUCAAGGCCCAAUUUCAAGCUCAUGGAUGUGAUGGGUUUACACUAUUCCAACGCCUAAUAACAAGGUCAAAAGUCAAGCAAAUCAAACCAAUAUUCGAUCAGAGACAAUAUGUGAGAAUGAAUCUUUUCAAGAAAAUGGGGAAUGAUACAUGCACAAAAUGGAUGAAAUUUAUUAAAGUCAAUUUAACCAAGCUGCUAAUUUUCAAGCUGAAAAGAUUAGUCAACUUGCAAUGAAUUUUUUGAUGGGAUACAAACAUUUAUGGGCUUAGAUGUCUAUAAAUCGUUUGAAGAGUUGACUCUUAUCUUCGAAAUGCAUUUUGAAUCACUCGAUUUCGAGUUCAAGAGCUCAAGUUAUGACUGUUUUAAUGAAGAUUGCACGAGCAGAAUUUUUGGACAGGAUUAUUACGAAAAUUACAAGUUUUAGGCUUUUUAUUCGAAUUUAAAUUAUAUUGGGUUCGAGUUUUAGGCUUAAUUUUUUAUUAUAUACGAGUCCAAUAUUGUAUUUAUUAAGUUUUAUUAUUUUAUUAUUUAUUUUGAAUUGUGGAUAAUUUUUAAGUGUUUUAAGUUAUUUAGGAGGUUUAUGUCAACAAGAAAGUUUAGUUUAAAAUUAUUUCUUAUUUAGAUUAAUUAGAGUUUCAGUAUACUUAAGAGUUUUGUUUGGAUUUAAAUAGUUGGUCUAUAAUGACCCAAAAGUCAGUGGUGUCGAAAAUUACGGUUCUAAAAUACCAUUUCCAUAAACCAUGUUUUUAAAUAUUAAUGUUUAAUAUUUACGGGGCUAGUAUAAAAAUAUAUUAAAAUUUGGUCUAGUAAUUUUGUUUAAUUUAUAGUUACUUAAGAUAUGAGUGUAACAAUCCUAAAGUCAAUGGUAUUGGAAAUUUUGAUUUUGGGACCCUAUUUCUGUAAACUGAACCCGUAAAUAUUUUUAUUAAAUAUUUACAGAAUUAUUGAAUAGGUGAAUUGAAUUUUGAAUAGGCAAUUUUAUCAAAAUGGUGAUUAAUUAAUGUAUACAAACUAAAUUAUAAAAGAGCUAAAAUCUCAAUUACUAUACGUUUUUAAUAAAAACAGUUAAACCAAGCUUUGUUAGGAAAUUUAUUUUGAUAUAACAAAUUAAAAUGUUUUUGAAUAAAAAUUAUGUAUAAGGAAAGAACUUCAAACAUUUUGAAACACUUAGAAAUUGUUUUUUAUAAGAGCAAGUUAUGCUAAGAUACUCAAACAAAUAUUUUAGAAUUUUAAAAAAAGUUGGAAUUGCUCCAGUCCAAAAAGUAUCGAUAUUUUUUGGUAAGAUCGAUAGUUUUCAAUUUUAUCGAUACCUCUCUAAAAAUCUAUACUAAAUUGGCAUUUUGACUUUCAAACAAUCUAGCCAAGUAUCGAUCCAGUAUCAUUUGGUAUCGAUAAAUUUUCUUUGGUAUCGAUAUCUCUAGCUCCAACGAUCCCUGAAUUUUUCAUUAAAUGCUAAAAAUAUGGAUACUUUAUUAGCAACUACCGAUACUCUUGGUUGCAAGUGAAUUAAAUGCACUUUUUAUUUCAUCCUCAAUGGCUUUAUUCAUUUCUCUAACAACCACAAUGGUUGGACAUUAAUCAGGAGGUACAAAUACCAUCUUUAAAAUGCCCUACAACAACAAGAGAAAUUAGCUUAGAGAUCAAUCAAAACAACUUUGUGCUUUCAGUUCUUAAUAUUUUUCUUUAUACACACUUUUGAGCUUUUAUUGUAUUCAUUCAAUUCAAGUUUUUCUCCUUGUAUUUGAACUUAAUUUUCAAACACUCCGAUCUUGUAAAGGUUAUUUUUUAGUUUGCUAUUUGUAUUCACUCUUUAAGAAAGUUUUAUCUUAUGGUUUGGGUAGAAAUCUUAAUGGAAUUUGUAAGGUUAAACAUUAUUCUCAGAGUUUAAUCAAAUUAGUGAAUUUGGGAAAAUUCUUAAUAGUGGAAAGCUAAGGUAUUGGAUUAGGCAAUUGGGGUUGAACCAUAAUAAAUCCUUAUGUUCAUUCUUUCAAUUUUCUCUGUGUAGCUUCCACAAAUUUUUAAAAGUCAAUUCAGCUACCUCUUGGUAAUUUUGAGUUGAUUAAUUGAGCUAACAAUUGGUGUCAAAACUAGUCUCUCUUAGACAAUUUAACAAUCAAAGAGGAGAUCCUUGAGGAAGCUCAUCAAUCAACAACUCUAUCCAUAAACAAUGACGUUUGCUUUUGGGUCAAUUUUCCUUGGAGAAUUUCAAUCUAUCUUCAAGCCUCCUUAUUUCAAUGGCCUCCUUAUUUCAAUGGUGCAAACUAUUCUUAUUGGAAGACAAGGAUGAUUUUAUUCAUUCAAGCUAAUGACCUUGCAGUUUGAGAUAUUAUCAUGGAUAGUCCUACAAUUCCAUUCAAAUAAGAAUGAAAGCUUUUAGUUCCAAAGAGCAAGAAAUAAUGGAACGAAGAAUAUAGAAGGAGUAUUCAACUUAAUGCCAAGGCCAACCACACUCUCUUUUGUGCACUUGGUCCCAAUGAGUAUAGUAGAGUGUCAUCAUGUUCUAAUGCAAAGGAAAUUUGGGACAAAUUAGAAGUCACUCAUGAGGGAACUAGUCAAAUUAAGAAAUCAAAUGUUGGAAUUCUCACACUCAAUUAUAAGACAUUCAAGAUGAAACAUAUAACAGCCUGUUUUUUAAUGGUGUCAGAAAUAGUGGUUUCAGGGCCACCAAAUCUGACGAGUAAGUUCGUAAAUAUUAUUAUUUAAUAUUUACAAGUCAAAUGUGAUUUUUUAAAAAUGUUUUUGAUUUGAUAAUUUAUGUUAUUUAAGCAAUUAAUUAAGUUCAAGUGGCAAGACCCUAAGGCCAAGUGGUUUUAGAAAAUGAGAUAUCGGGAUCUCGUUUCUAUAAACCAAGCCGUAAAUAUUUUUAUAAAUAUUUAAGGAAUGUCAUUAAAUAUUUAAGGAAUGUCAUUAAGGUGGUAUUAAAGUUUUUUUGAAAAUUUUAACUUUUCGAUAGUUAAUUAAGCGAAAAGGACUAAAUCGUAAAACUUGAAAAAGUCAAUCGCUAUUAAUUUAAAGGUGUUAAUUGAUUAAAUAAUUAUAAUUAGAUGGCCUUAUUGAGUAAAUUAGCCAUCCUAAAGAUAGUGGGACAGUUGGAUGCUUUAAUUUCUUUUAAUUAUAAUGCUUUAUAUGUUAUUUUAUUAAUAAAAUAAAAUAAAAGGUUAAUAUAAUAAUGAAAACAUAAUAAAAAUAAAACAUAAGUGAAUAUUCAUCAUCUUUCUUCUAUUUUGGAACCGAAUACCAUAGAUUUAGGGAUGAAGCUUUGGGUCAUGGUGAUUUUCUCUUGCAUGGUAAGUGAUUUUUACCCGGGUUUUAGUAAUUUUGAUUUUUUAAGAUCGUUGCAACUAGGUCUAACUAGCCCGUACCUUCGAUUUUGAAACUGUUAAAGAUUUUGAAUGUUUCCAUUGAUGAAUGUAGUGAUUUUUUAUGUUAAAUGAUGAAUUUUAAAUAUUAUUUGUUAUUUAAAAGUAUUUUGUUAAGUGAUUUUUGAUGAAUUUAUCGAUUAGGGACUAAGUUGCUAAAUAAUAAAAGUACAAGGAUUUGAUGUGAAAUUUUUGAAAAAAUGGGCUGAAAGGGAGGCUAUGAAUAUUCGAAUAGUGUAAAAUUUCAAUAAAAAUGGUUAAUUUGCAUGUUUUAGGCUCAGGGACUAAAUUGAAUAAAAGUAAAAUUUUAAGGGCAAUUAUGUAAAAACAUAAAAUGACUAAAUUGCAUAAAAUGCAUUGUUUUAAUGUCUAAAUUAAUAGUUUGAAUAAAACUAUUAAUUUAGAUCAAGAUCGAGUGGAAAGUUAAAGAGAAUGAAAAAUUACCAAAAUGCUCUUGAACUUUGUCAUUUAUGCAAUUUAGCCAAGUAAAUUCAUAACUUGGUUAGUACAAUUAAUUACUUUUUCGAUAAAUUAUUAUCUAUUUGUGUAUAUAUGUGAAUAAAAUUUGUUAACUUGAAGGAAACAAAUAAAACCAGGGUUGAAAGAUACUAUGGCAACACAACAUAAAAAUGUACAAGACCAUGGUUAGACCAUGGCAAUGUUUACGUAAGACCAUAGCGAGGCUAUGACAGUUUUUUAGAUGUAAGACCAUGGUAGGACCAUGGCUAUAUAUAUAUAUAUGUAAGACUGUAACGCCCCAAUUUUCGCGAAUUCUGUGAAUGUUGGCAUAGGUUUAAUUAUGUUAGUGGGCCUUUAGAAGGCCCAAACUUAAGAUAGAACCCAAUAAUUUUAGUUAAUUUUUGUUCCAUAAGAAAAAGGGAGUGAAAUUAUGAAAUAGGACCUAUGUGAAAAUGUUUGAAAAUGCUAUAGGCUAAUUUGUAGUGGCCAAAUAAAUAGUAGUGCAAAAUAGAAGGAUUUGCAUGUCAAAUUCCCCACUUUUAAUGUAGUGGUCGGCCAAGGUGAUGGAUAGUUGAUAAUGUAUGCAUUUUAGCAUUUUAAUAGUUAAUGGAUGAUGGGCAUUAGCAUUUUAAUAGUUAAUGGAUGAUGGGCAUGGUAAGCAUUAUGGGCAUAUUUUUAUUGGAAUUAUGGCAUGAGUAUGGCACAAAUAUUAGUAUAUCAUUUAUGUGUCAUAAAAUGUUGAGUGAUAAGAAUAACAAAAGGAAGUAAAGGAAGGUUUUUGUUCAUUCUUUGUUCUUCAUAGCCGAAUUUGAGAGAGAGCAAAUAGGGGAGGAAACCCUUGAAUAUUCGAUCACUAGGAGGGGGAAAAAUUGAAGGUAAGUUCUUGGUACUUUGCUUCUAUCUUGAUGUUCAUGAGUUCUUCUUGAUUCUACCCUAACUCAUGAAGCAUAUUUUGGUUUUUGGUUGUUGUUUCAUGUUCUUUUGAUGAAAAAUGGAAGAUGGGUGAAGUUGAGCCAAACAAAUGAUCAUGCAUGUGCCUUAGAUGCUAAAGGGAAAAAUCGGCUAACAUGUUGUGCUUUAAAAUGAUGAAAUGGAGAUUAUGCUUAAGCAAAAAUCAUAGAUAUGUGAUGAUUGAUUGGUGAUAUACAUGUUUAAAUAACAUGCAUGCAAGAUAGGUGUAUGAAAGAGUGAUUUGGUAAUAAAUCUGCUUGGGACAGCAGCAGUAACGUGACUUUGGAAAAUCACCAUAAAUUGUGGGAGAUGAAUUCGAAGCUGAAUAAAUUAUGUAAUUAAAGCUUAAUGAGUCUAGUUUCAAAUGAAAUAAACGAGAACAUAUUUUGAAUUCUGUACAAUGAGAAAUUUGAUUUGUAAUGAAGAGUGGUCAGAUUAGUCAAACAGUGAAACAUGGGAAACUUUAAGAAAAAUCUGGUAUUGAUUGGACAUACCAAAAAUUCUGAAAAUUUUAUGGAUAUAAGAUAUAUGAGUCUAUUUUCAGGGAAAAUUAACGGCACUUGAUUUGGAGUUUCGUAGCUCCAGUUAUAAAUGAUUUAGUGACUGUUGCUCAGGAAGACAGCUUGCAGUGAAAUUAUGAUUAUGUGGUAAACAUUGACAAAAAUUUGUUAAUGAGUUGCUUAUUGAUUUCUUAUAAGCUUACUAUGAUCUGUAGGUGUGGUUGGCCGAAUAUCGUAAGGGGUUAAUACGUAGUUUGUAUUUGAAUAGUUAGAUUAACGUGUUAGUAAUCCAAUUGUAGGCGGUUCGUGUGUGGAUCUCGUCAGCAUAUCGUCGCAAAUAGGUGUGUAACUAACACCCUCUUUCUUAGUCUAGAUCGGCAAAAGUCGAAAUGCCGAAAUGCCGAAAACCGGUAUUUUGUAGAUUUGCGAGUGUGCAAAUGCUCGUGAGGUAAAUCGAUUAAUGUUUUUGGUAAGCUGCAAUGUUUGGACUGCAAAGUGCAUGAUUUCUGUGCCCUCGAUAUUUUUGGGCUUAAUGGGCCAAAAUUGGAAUGAUGGGCCAACGGGCCCAAUUCGGUAAGAACCCUCGGUAGUGAUUCUGUUAGUACGUGAAAGGUAGGAAUAUGCAUGAAAAACCCUAAAAUAGAUAAAUUACUGAAAUACCUUUAAAAGUGGAAAAUUUAUAGUUUUACCCCUAAGAGAUAAAUUACCGAAAUACCCAUAGGUUUAAAUUGACCUAAAUGCAUGUUUGACUGUUGUUAUUUACUGCAUGCCAUGUUAUUAUUAUCUGAUGCAUGGGACUGGGAUAUUGACAGAGGAAGUACUGAAAGUGGCUUGUCCACAUACUGGAGGCUUUGCCUCAAUUUACUGUUAACUGAGUAGCAAGGCUGCAACUGUGGAGUGUUGGGCUGGGUGGGUUGAGUUAUUCCCCACAUGGAGUGUAUGGCUGGUACGGGUGGAGUGUAGUGGUUGGUGGGUUUAGUAGUCUCCCCAAAUGGGCUUGCAUAUGUUUACUGAUGUUGCAUGUAUUUUGAAAUGGGCCUAUGGGCCAUACUGUUAUCUGAAUAAGGGGCUAAGACCCAGUUUAUUGUAAUCUGAAAAGGGCUCUGGCCCAGUACCACUGUUACUUGAAUGGGCUUAGGCCCAAUGGGCUUGAGCUGACUUGGGCUUUGAAUGGGUUUUCCUUACACACUGAGUUUCCCCAAAAUCACCCUUCUUUAACCUUGCAGGUGAGCCUUGAUGUGAGUGACUUGGAGCCGGAGGGGAUUCAGAGUGGCCAUGGUGAAUACUUUUAGGUUUGAAAAAAAGAGACUGGUUUUCUUAAGUUAUUUUUAAUUACAAUUUAAUUUUUGGGUUGUAAUAAGGCCAUUUUAACUUUAUUUUCUUAUUUGUUAUAUUAUUAAAAACAACUUUAAAUUGAUGGAUACUAAUUCAAAUGGGCUAGACUUAGGGCGUGAUUUCAAAACGAUACUUGUUUUUUUAAAAUAACACGAUGUCACGAAUAUUCGAUUUACCAAAGAAAUUUCAACUUGUUAUAACCAAGUGUGGCAAUGGAUGUGGACAUGUCUAGGAUUGGAUCCAAUCGGAGAGCUUGGUACUUAAGCAGCCUUCAUGGCUCACCUCCUCUGUUAUGGAUACCUACCUGGUGCCCAGCUUCCAUUCACUUUAACCUAUAAUGAAAUUAUCUUUUAAAACACUAAGUAGGUUUUUCUGGAUCAACAAUAUAAAAUGUUUUGAACGCUUCGAUGUGGCAUGUCGGAUCCGGCCAUAACGUCUGGGCCGGAUUUGGGGUGCUACAAAGACCAUAGCUGGGCUAGGACAUUCUAAUGAUAAAACUAUAACCGGGUUAUGGCACUAUGAGCGUAAGACCAUGGCAAGGUUGUGGCAGUGCACAUGUAAGACCAUAGUUAGACUAUGGCACAAUAUGAAACGUGUACUGGGGUUUCAAUUGUCUUUACAGUGUUCAUCGAAUAUGAAAAGGGAUGGUUUCGAUCGUCGAUUAAAGAAGAAAAGAUGAUUUCGACCAUCAUUUAGUACACUUGUAUGAGCUCCAAUAAGGGUUCCGAUUGACUUCACUAUGACAAAUAGGGAAAGGUAUGAUAUACCAAUGAUCAAAGUAUGAAUAUUCAUGAUUAUGAAAUGUAUGAUUUAAGUGAUGUUAUGUUUAUGUACCAUAUCUUGCCAUGUGAUGAUAUUGUUAAGUUAUGUGUUUAAUCACUAGCUUGUGGCUAAGGUAAAUGUUAUGUUUAUGUCUUUUGUGUUAUACAAAUGAAAUGGUAAGUGUUCGAUAUGAACCAAGACAUGUGUGUAUGAAACUUAUUGAAAUGUUGAUACAUGGAAAACAUGAUAUAUUAUGAAGGAUGAUAAAUCCAAUUGGAUCAUGCUCAAGUAUAAUGGUUAUCUAUGUUAAGUUCACAUGAGUUAUAUUCAAUUAUGCUAACAUGUAUUGUUGUUGGUGCUUAGGCUUGUGCAAGUUUAUGAUUAAGUUAUAUCAUGUUUAAUCUUAAUGAAAAACAUUGAAAUGGUAAGUGCUUAAUUGGUAACAUACUUAUAUCCAUGAAAAGGUGGAAUAAAUCAAAGUAUGUAAUUUCUUAUGCAAUGGUUGAUUAUGAAGUUGAUUCCAAAAAAGCUAUGUUUAAAUGCACUAGCUUGUAGUCAUGGUUGAUGUUAUGCUUACAACUUGUGUGUUAUUCAUAUGAAACGGGUGAGGAAAUGUAAUGAAAUUGUAAAUUCAUAGUUGAAAUGAAAUUUGAUGAAAAGAGAGUAAUGAGUUUGAAUAAUGUAUUAUAUUUGAGAAAUUUACGUAUGUUAUGGAUGAGUAUACCUAUAUCAUGGAUAAAUACACUAAGUCGGGAAUUUAUAAUGUUGUUUAGGCUUAUGAUAAGCUUUGGGAACAGAAUGAAAAGAGAGUAAAUUGAGAAGUGUAUAAUCUUAUAGAAAUGUUGUUGAUUAUCUAUUAAGUCCCAUGAAAUCCUAUCAUGUUAUGAAUGAUAAAUAUAUGUGACAUUAAUGAACUUAAUCAUUUGUGAGUUGUUGAUCAUAUCGAUUUAUGAAUCUUAUGGCAUUGGCAUAGAUUUAUGAUUAUUAUAUAAAGUUUAUUAUUGAAAUGGAAUAUUAUACUUAAAGUUUAUACGAACUUACUAAGCAUACAUUGCUUACGCAAUUAUUUUUCCUUUACUUUAUAGAUUAUUAAAAGCUCGACCGGGUUGGAAGCGAGUCGGAGAUUCAUUACACUAUCCAUCGAAUUUAUCAAUAGAUUUUUAGGUUUUAGUCAUGGUUAUAAUGGCAUGUAUAGGUGCACUAUGUCUAAUGUUUAAUUGAUGAGUUUGGCAUGUAUAUGUCAUUUUGGUUGAUGAUUAUGGCAUGAAAUGUUGCCUUGGAUUUGAGUUAGUUAAAGUACUAAUGAUGUCUUGUUGGUUGUGUAUAAUAUGAUCAAAUUGAUGCAUGGUUUUAUGGCCAAAGUGGUAUGUGUUGACAUGUAUAUAUAUGUGGUUUUGUUGUAACGCCCCUAACUCGAAUCCAUCACCAGAAUAGAGUUACGGAGCAUUACCAGAGUUAUCGAUAUAUUUAUCAGAUAUUUUGUUUCAUCUAACGUUCAUAUUUGGAACCAAUUAAAAUCAAACAUAUUGUCGCUUAAACGUAUUUAUUUUUCUCGACAUGUUUUACUUGAAUUUAUUACUCGUCUCAACAUACUUAAUUUCCUUGUAUCAACGUAUAAAAGAUAAUCACAUAUUUACAUGUCAUGAUAAAUAUCAUUCUCUUUCCAUUUCUUCAUAAACGUAAAUCAGAUAAUUCAUUAUAUCAAUAUUUCAUGCAUUUAAAAAUACAAUUCAAGUUACACUAACUUACCUCAUUGCUUGUUCAUAUUUGUAAUUUCAUUAAUCCGAUAUCUUUUUUUUACACGUUCAAGUCUCGUAUUCGAGUCAUUCAGAUCUUUAUAAAUAAAUUUGAUCAUCGUUUUCAUUUAUUUCAUGUUCUAAUACAUUCAAUUAAUACUCUAAACAAAAUUAUCAUUUUGCCCCUAAACUUUUUAAUUAAUGACGAUUUAAUUCUUAGGCUCAAAAAAAUAAAAUUCUUACAAUUUAAUUCGUAUUUCCAGCCGUUAUUCUCAUACAAAUUGAUAACAACCCAUGUGUAAUAACCUAAAUUUGCCCAGGCCUUAAACAAAUAAUAAAAAAAUAAAGGAAUAUUUAUUUAUUUAAACAGUCCAUGUACAGAGCCCAAAUUACAAUAUAAGCCCACAACCCGUUACACUCUUUGACCCAACUCGGUAAAACCCAAAGACCCGAUUACAUUUUUUAGCCCAACUGAACACUUAAAACUACCGAAAACCCGGUUAUACCCAACCCACAAGUGGACGGCCCAAGUAGACCCAAAACUCAUGAAGGCCCGAGAGGCCCAAAACUUAAAAUUUCCAGCUAGGGUUUCCAACCCUAGCUCUUUCUCCUCGCGUCGCGACAGAUUCUAGAAAGUUCGAGGAGCGUCUGUCCAGCUCCCGGAUCAAGGCCUUUUCAAUGUUGUACCAGUGACGUUGCAACUCCCGAAAUCAAGGCCACUAUUCAAUGCACUAUAUCAGGGCCUUUCAACGCCCCAUCAGUGCCUCACCAUCUCAACGACUCCUCAACCACCGAUCGUGCCCCCAUCAACGCCUCUCCAGUGACCUUUCAGCGCACCAUCCCAGCCACCGAUUGUUUCGCUGCCGACGCCGAGAUCUUCGCAUUCACAGUGGAGACAGUACUGUGGUUAAGCCAUAACCAGUGCACGAACAAGCAUCCAGGCAGAUUCGCAUCAACAGCAAUCUUUGCCAGAUUUUUUGGCACCUGCAAGCAAAAAAAGAAACCAGCAAAAAAGGCAAGAAACAAACAGCAGAAAAUAGAAACAAAAAUGGAAAGAAAUCUUUGAUUUUUUUCCUAAAAUUGUAAAAGUCUGAGGCUAUAAAGCCUCUCUUCAACUUGUAAACAGGGACGCUUAUUCACGCUGAAAAAGAGAGAAAGAUACACUAAGUACACUGAUAAAGGCUUACAUAUAGAAACAGAGAGAAACAAAAAAAGAGAAAUACAUAGAUUUACACACUUAGAAAGAAAAACACAAAAAGUUGUAUUCAUUUAAAACAGAGAAAUAAAAGCCAGUUUCCUGUUUUUGAGGUAAUCGAAUCGUUUUUUUUGCUUAUUUUUACUCACAUGUUCUUCUUCUUGCAUGUAUAUACAGAUUUUUUAAAAAAAAUAACUAAGGAAAACAAAGGGAGGAAGAGAUCACCUGAUGAUUGGCGAAGGAAAUGAGGGUUUUUUAAACCCUAGCCACCGUGUACGGUGGCCCAGACGGUGGUGCGUGGAGGCGCGUAUGAGCAAAACACGGUGGAGCCUUGGGAAGAGCCAGGACGGCCCUGUGGCCAGAGCUCCGAGGGCCAGAGGUUUUCUCAGAGAAUUUUUUUGUUUUUUUUUUGAAAUGCAGGUUGC